rnacentral:lncRNA from 1 species
GAAGGGCCUCUUGGUUUGUUUCGUGCUAUUUAGGGCUCCAUUGUCUCUUUGGUUGCUGCUGUAUAGAAAAAAAUAGAAAGGAGUUAAUGUUAACUUAGGGUGAGUAAAAGUCGAUUUGAUUUAAAAAACUCGAUAAAAAUUUUAAAAUUUUGAAUUAAAUAGUUCAAGUUUUGAGUUAAUCAAGUUAUUUGGAUCAACUCGAAUAAAAAAUUAAGUUUUUCGGUUUAACUCGAAUAUGAAUUACACAAUUCGAGUUAAUCCAAAAAUCCGAAUAAGAAAAGAUAAAAUUACGCCAUUUUGAUAAAUGUUUACUUUUUCUAAAAUUAAAAGCCAAAACCAUUAAGUUAAAAGGCAAAACUACGUUGUUUUGACAAAUGUUUACUCAGUAUGUUAAAAGGCAAAACCAUUAUAUUGUUUAUGUAGUUAAAUAAUUUUAUACUUCGUUUACUAGUUAAAUAAUCAGUUCACGUAAACAUAACAUUAAGUAUAAAUAAUAGGAUUCGUUAAGUCGACUCGACUUGACUCGAAAUUUUUUACUCGAUUCGAUCCGAUUCGAAAAAAAUUUCAAUUUGAGUUCGGUUGCUAAAAUAGGAUUCGUUAACUCAACUAACUCGAAAUUCUUUACCUUAUUUAACUUGACUCGAUCGAAUACUUACCCCUAAUGUUAACACCAAGAAGUCAAUUUUGAACCACUACCGCCCUCACUAGCCAAACAUCAUGUUCCAUUAGUAAACUGGAAUAACAUAUUUUAAUUUUAAUCUCAAUGUAAAUUUUAGUGGAUAUCAGUCAUAUUGGUGCGUUUUCAUCCGUUUCAAUUUGUAUCGGUGCAUUAAUGGUCGUGUAACUAACUAUAAAUUCAACUAAGGCAAGCGCACCUAUCAAAUAGUAGUAUAGUUCUGGUGAGACCGGAAAUAUCGUAUCCACGAGGACUAAAAGUACUAGUAAUUACUAUCUUUUUAUUAUCUAGCCUAAGAGUUAAAGUGUGUUUUAAACUAAAACUAAUUAUCUAAUUAACUAAGAUUACGAAAAAGAUGAAGUUUGGAAAAUACUUUAGGAAAAACCGAUGGAAAAGACAAUACCCAAGGAAGAAUACACCUAGACUUCACUUAUUACUUCUAAAUUAGACAAUUUAUUCACUUAACUUAAUCCGUAGAAAUCCCUAAUUUAUGUUAAUAUCUCUCUCGAGACUAACAACAACUGACUUUAGGUUGAUUAAUUGAAAUCUCUUUCUAAUUAAAACCCCUAUUAUCACAUAAACUCGAUCUAUGGAUUCCCUUAUUAGAUUUGAUUCGAAUUCGGCAGAUUUAUGUCGUCCUAUCUUUAGGAUUGCAUUCAACUCCGCUUAAUUAUGGAUGAUCUACUCUUAAACAGAGACUUUUGCUCCACUGAAUAAGCACGUCAAAACCUGAAUUAAUACCCUGGAAUAUUAAAACAAGAACUUAGAACUCACAAUUAAGAAUAAGAAUAAAUCUUUAUCAUAUAAUUCAAAUAGUAAUAAGAUUCGUCAUAGGGUUCAUCUCCCUUAGGUAUUUAGGGAGUUUAGUUCAUAAUAAUAAUGGAAAACAUCUCAAAGUUUGGAAAACAACAAAACAUAAAGAAACCCAAAGAACUUCUAGGAAAUUGGAUGGAAAUCUUCAAUCUUGAUGUAGAUCCUGGCUCCGAGUGAUGGCUGUUCUUGAGUAUUUUCUGCCUCCAACUCUGUGUGUCCCCUUUAAUCCUCUUCUAGGGUGUUUAUACAGGUUUUAGAGUGCUUUCCAACCCUCAAAAGUGGCCUUUUCUAAGUAGAACUAGACUUGGGCUCGACAGGGACACUGCCGUGUGCCACGCCCUUGUGCAAGUGCUCAAACCGUGUGUAAUUCUAAGUUGGUUUCUAGUCGACACGGCCAUGACACACGGGCGUGUGGUCUGCCCGUGUUCCUCACACGGGCAUGUGGUUUACCCGUGUGGAAGUGACUAAGCCAUGUGCAACACUGUUUUAAGCCUAAUUUGUCCGGUUUUGGCCCGUUUCUCGCUCUUUUUGCUAUCCUAAUCUCUCCUGAGAAUUAAAAACAUGAAAUUAAAGGAUUAGGAGCAUCAAAUUCACUAAAACCAAGGAAAAAUCAUUCAUAAGUAUGCCAAGCAUAGGGUAAAAAUAUGUAUAAUUUACGAUUUAUCAUGCAUACUAACCUUUACUAGUUGGUGCUAUUUUAAAAUUUAUUCGAGAUUUUAAAUUUUAUUUAUUUAAAAUUUUUAUAAAUAAUUAUUAUUCACAUGUCAAUUAAGUAAAUUGUUCACGUCAACUUUGCGUGUUAGACCUUGUAAUGUAUAUGGUAAUAUAUGAUUUGAGAUAUGUUUUCACGUAUACAUAAUAUAUGAAAAUAUUUUUAAAAAAAUUAAUAAAUUCGAAAUGGUACACAAAAACACAUUGAUAUUGGUUUGUUCCAAUGUUAAAACAAAAAUAAUACAUUCAGCGGAAUGGUAGUGAUAACCCUAAGAUCUAGUGGCUAACUUCUCUUGUGAGAUUGGUGCCCGUUUCUGUCGAACCCCUUGUGGUUGCUGUAGCAACGUAAAAAUUUCGCUUUGGUCGCUAGUUGAGGCAAUUAUUUAAAAAUUUGAAAACGGGAUUUUGGUUUUAAAGAGAAAAGGAGUCGCCACCGAUCUUUUUUUUAGGUGUGAUCGGACACCUAAUAAACCCUCUUUUUCUUUUGAAAGAAAAUUUAUUUUUGAACAAAAAUGAAGGCCAAAUUUGGAUCUACGCGAAAAUCCAGAGAAAAAUAAGGUUCGAGAGUCGGCUACGCACGAGGAAGGUAUUACCCCCUCGCGACGCCCAAAAUUGGUAUCUUGUUAAACACGCGUUGUCUUAAUCCUCAAAAAUACAAGUUUAAUUUAAUAUUUAAUCGCGAUCCGAUUGGAAUACGAGAAUUCAAAAAAAAAUUUAGAAGGACGUCUCGUUUUUAACACGAGUCAAUGAUAUCCACCCAACAUAGCGAUGAAAUCAGCGACUUAGUGUUGAAAUCGGUACGUUGCCUAUUUGUUGAAAUUAAAACCAUAGAAAAAAUAUCAUUUGUAAUAGGAAUUUGUAUAUGUUAAUAAUGAUGAUAAUGAUAAUAAUACUAGCAAUAAUAAUAAUGAAAUACAAAAAGCAAAUAUAAUAUAAUAACAAUAUUAAAAUAAAGUAAUUAAAAAUAAUACUAUAUAAAUAUAUAUAUGUACAUAUAUAAUAAAAUCGUACACUAAUAUUAAUAAUAAUAAUAUGUAUUAAAAGGUAAAAAAGUAACAGUAAUAAUAAUUUAAAAAAUGAUAAUAGUAAUAAAAAUAAAAAUAAUAGUGAUAAUAAUGAUAAAUACAAAUAAUAAUAACAAUAAGACAGAUAAUAAAUAAUCGAAGGUUUGAAAUUAUUUAAAAAAGAUAAAAAUAAAUGAUGAGAUAUUAAUAAUAAGAGUAAUGAUAUAUAAAUAAAAUAAGUGUGCUAAAAUAUAAUAUAUAUAUAUAUUAAAUUAGUUAACAUAAAAAUAAUAACGUACGUGUAAAUACAAAAAAGGAAAAUAUAAUAAUAAUAAUAAUAAUAGCAAUAAUACUAUAGUAAUAAUAAUAAUAAGGUAUAAUAAUACAUUAGAUAGUAAAAAAGGUAAUAAUAAUAAUAAUAAUAAUGAUAAUAGUGGUAUUAGUAAUAAUAAUAAUAAUAGAAAAUAUUAGUACGUUACUAACAAUAAUAUAUGUUAAUAACAAUAAUAACAUAAAAAAUAAUAAUAUGGUAAAAGUUAGUAAUAGUAUGUUAAUAAAAAUAAUACUAAUGAAAAUAAUACUAACGGUAAUAAUAAUAAAAAUAAUAGUAAUAAUAUUAAUAAUAUUAAAAAAAUAAAAAAAUAAAGAAUAUUUAAUAAAGAAACGAAAAUAAACGAAAAAGGACUAAAAUUGAACUAAAAACAGAAUUUUAGGGGCAAAUUUAAAAAGAAAUAAAGGGAAAAGGACUAAAUUAAGCGCGCAAACAAAGAAGAGGGACUAAAUCGGGCAAUAAACCCUCCCUCCAAAACGCGCAGUAUUGCAAGAGACCUGAUUGAAAUCCAAGCAUAAAUUCGGGGCAAAAUUAAAAAUCCCUAAAAACUUAAUUGUGAAUUAACAGAAAAGCGGAAGGGCUAAAAGCGCAAUUAGCCCUUCCAAUGAAAAAACACUCGGAUCCUGAGUGGAGCGGGUCGGGUCUUCGGGUUGGCGCAUAAAUGACGCCGUUUUGGGGUGUUUUGCAACUGAAUGAAACGUCGUCGUUUUGUAGUGUUAUAGAAGGCCUUUUUUUUUGCAAAAGUCUUCAUUUUCUCCUUGCUUCAGGAAAAAACAACUCCCUCUCUCUCAUUUCUCUCUGGCCAAGGCCAGAAUCCAGCAAGAGGACCACCGUCAACCGUCAUCACCAGCCACCGUACACGGUGGUCGGAAAUUCGAAAGGUAUAUAUAUUUUUUAUUUUUUAUGCUUUUAAUAUAUGUGUAUAUAGGAGGGAAUAGAAUCAGAAAUAGGAAAGAAAAAUAAAAUUCACCUUGGGCCUUUCGGUUUUGAUUUUUGAUGUUUUGGUUUUCCGAUUUGAAACUAUUCUCCUGCUUUGGUGUUGCUAGAUUCAGUUUUUGCCCUUAAAGAACCAAAUGCUUUUGUAUUUCAAUGGUUGUCGAAUGUUACAAAUGACUUUGGCUUGGCUUUUUAAAGCCAUUUACAUGAUUUUUUUAUUACUUUCUGUCUUUUCUUCCUUUAAUUUUGCAGGUGCAAGUGGGCGGUGGUGAUGCGACGGGGCGGUGCUGUAGUGGGCAGGUGGUGGCAGAGGGCAAUUGGCCGAAUGCCAUAGGUGCGGCUGAAGCUAGGUUUUUUUAUUUUCUUUAGGAUUGGGUUAAUUGGGCUAAGGUUUAGGUCUAGUUGGGUUAAGUCUGUUGGGUUUGGGUAUUGGGUUUUCAUGGAUUUAGGGAUUUGGGUUUUGGGUAUUUGGUUGUAAUGGGUUUAGGGAUUUUGGGAGGUUGUUUAUUGGGCCUCGGGCUAAAUUGGGCAUCUACAGCUGCUCAUAUUUGCUCAUUGUCGUGUAACGAGAAUGGAGCAAAGAUUUAAAGAAGGGCCAAUUUUGCUCGGUCUUGCUAAGUCUCGACUUUCUAGUGCUUCUCUUUCUUAGGUAGCCUCGUUCAGCCCACUGUAUCUUGUUGCUUUGAUCUGCUUUAUGUAACUUCAGAGGUAUAGGACUUGUUGCUUUAAUCUGCUUGAUUCUUCAAGGGUAUGAGGUUCAUAGCUUCAAUCUGCUUCACUGCUCCACUGCAACUUCAGGGAGAUAAGGUCUAAUAUCUUCAGUCUGCUCCACUACAACUUCAGGGUUCCACUACAACUUCAUGGAGAUCAGACUUGUAAUUUCAACCUGCUCCACUGCAACUUCAGGGAGGCAAAAUCUAUAUAUUCGAUUAGCUCUAAUCUUUAUUCUUUAUUGAAAAACAAACAUCGAGAAUAGCUCGGCAUACAAACUGACGUUCAACUCAUCUCUCGGAUUAUGAGUUAAUCUUUGAAAAGAGUAAAAAAUUGAAAAUACCUCAGUGUGUGACCUGAGGCUCAACUCACCUCUCGUAAUAUGAGUUGAUAGAAAUUAAAAAUACCUCAGCAUGUGACCCGAGGCUCAACUCACCUCUCGUAAUAUGAGUUGAUUUUUUUGAAACAUAAACUAAAAAUACCUCAGUGCGUGAUUUGAGGCUCAACUCACUUCUCGCAAUAUGAGUUGAUUUUUUUGAAACAUAAAUUGAAAAUACCUCAGUGCGUGAUUUGAGGCUCAACUCACUUCUCGCAAUAUGAGUUGAUUUUUUUGAAACAUAAAUUGAAAAUACCUCAGCGUGUGAUUGAGGCUCAACUCACCUCUAGCAAUAUGAGUUGAUUUUUUUGAAAAACAAAAAUUAAAAAUAUCAGGAAACAAAAAAAUCAUCUGGUGGAACUUCAGGUGUCUUUUUCUUUGAUCCAGUAUAACUAUCAUCAAAUCCUCUUGCUCUACUGGAGUACCUGCAUAUGUUAUGCAUGAUGUUAUCAUGGUAUGCGCAUGCUUGUCUUAAAUGUCUGUAUGCCUACAUGAUUAUGCUAUAUGCCUUGGACUUGUUUGUCAUAUAUCUCUUUUCGUCACGAUUCUUGUGAUGAUCUGUAUUCAUUGUUUCGAUUUUUGACUUUCUCUUUAGGCUUUGUACACGUUCUCCAACUUUAUGAGUAAUUUGUAUUUCUCAGAUACCACUCUUUUGCCCCCUGUUGAACUUUUUCCUUGCAUUGAGGCCUCGUACUUAUCAAAUUAUCAUCCGAGUAAUGCUCAACCUUUCUUUUUGUUUAGAGUAUAUCAUUCUACUAUUUAUUAUUCAAAUAAACCAUACAAUGAGAUGCAUGAAAAAUGGUCAGGUAGGUACAAAAGAGAUACUUCACAUUUAUUUAUUUCGAAGGUAACAAACAAAAAGGUUAACCAAGGAUGGUAAAAAGGUGUCAUAAAGAGAAGGGGAUGGCAUACAAAUGCUCUAGAUAUUCAACGCAUGAUCUCUUCCACGUUACUUAAUCAAAAAUCUUUUCGAGCAUGGCUUCUUACGUAAAAGAUUUCGAGCUUUCAGAAGUGCUUCAAAUACUAUAGCUUUGUCGUUUAACCUACUGUUCCAAUCGCCUUGCUUUUUAAGCCCAGGUUCGCUUCAUUAGGACGCCCUCUCAAGUUUUUAUCCUAAUCCUUUUUGUUCAUCAAGACGCCCUUUUUGGGUUUUCACCUUGAUUUAUUUUUUUUAGGCAUAAUAUUUCUUUACAGCAUCAUCUCAGUGAGAAUCAAAGCUCCACCUAAGAAAUCCUUCUUUACGACAUACGGUCCUUCCCAAUUUGGUGCCCAUUUUCCUCGAAAGUCUAUUUGUAUUGGGAGAAUUUUUCUCAGCACCAGUUCUCCUUCGUGGAAUUCUCUUGGCCGUACUUUCUUGUCAUGGGCCGCGACCAUUCUCUUCUGGUACAUCUGUCAAUGACAGUUUGCCUUCAAACAUUUUUCUUCGAUAAGGUUUAACUGGUCAUAUCGAGCUCAAACCCACUCUGCUUCCUCUAGUUUUGACUCCAUUAAGACUCGUAGAGAGGGGAUAUCGACUUCGAUGGGUAGCACAGCUUCCAUUCCAUAGACCAGAGAGAAAGGAGUUGCUCCCAUAGAUGUUCGCACAGAUGUGCGAUAUGCAUACAAAGCGAAUGGUAGCUUCUUGUGCCAAUCUUUAUAUGUCUCGGUCAUUUUCCCAAUAAUCUUCUUAAUAUUCUUGUUGGCCGCUUCAAUUGCUCCAUUCAUUUUCGGGUGAUAGGGUGAUGAGUUAUGAUGCUUUAUUUGAAAUUGUUCACACACUUCCUUCAUCAUCUUGUUGUUCAAAUUCAAGGUGUUAUCUGAAAUGAUUCUUUCAGGUAAACCAUAUCGACAAAUGAUUUCCUUUUUUAAGAACCUGGAAACUACAGUCUUCGUCACAUUAGCAAAUAAAGUGGCUUCUAUCCAUUUCGUGAAGUAAUCUAUCACUACAAAAAUGAAUCGGUGUCCAUUAGAAACUUUUGGAGAAAUUGGCCCUAUAACAUCCAUGCCCCACAUAGGAAAAGGCCACGGAGAAGUCCUGACUCAUCAUGUUGCCCCAGUACGUAACCCAUUGAAUUUUUGAAUACAGUCAGAUAUAAUAUUAACGGUCCUCUUAGAAUUGGCGGUACUAGUAUCGGGAGACUAUACAAAUACUGUUUUAUCUUGUCAAAAGCCACUUGGCACUCAUUGUUCCAUUCUCCCGGAUUAUGUUUUUGAAGGAGUCGAAAAAUUGGGUCACACUGGUUGGUAAGUUGAGCAAUGAAUCGAGCGAUGUAGUUCAACCUCCCUAAAAAUCCUCUGACUUCUUUUUGCGUGCGCAGAGGUGGUAGUUCUUGUAUGGCUUUUAUCUUAUCUGGAUCAACUUCAAUACCUCUCUCGCUGACGAUGAAGCCUAGCAAUUUUCCCGACGUAGCCCCAAACGUACACUUGGCUGGAUUAAGCUUCAGCUGGAACUUUCUCAGCCUUUCGAACAACUUCCUGAGGUUCUCAACAUGUUCUCUUUCCCCCUUGGAUUUGGCGAUCAUAUCAUCGACGUAAACUUCUAUUUUUUUGUGCAUCAUGUCAUGAAACAACAUUAUCAUAGCCCUCUGAUAUGUUACCCCAGCGUUCUUUAAUCCGAACGGCAUCACCUUAUAACAGAAUGUUCCCCACAUCGUUACGAAAGUAGUGUUCUCUAUAUCCUCAGGAGCCAUCUUUAUCUGAUUAUAACCUGAAAAUCCAUCCAUGAACGAAAACAAUGAAUGUUUGGUUGUGUUAUCCACUAAUGUAUCGAUGUGUGGCAAAGGAAAAUUAUCUUUAGGACUUGCUCGAUUCAGAUCGCGAUAAUCCACACACAUUCGUACCUUGCCGUCUUUCUUUGGUACUGGGACUAUGUUAGCUACCCAUUGUAGGUAUUUGGAUACUUGUAGGAAGCCAGUAUCGAAUUGUUUCUUGACUUCUUCUUUUAUUUUUAACAGCAUUUCAGGUCUCAUUCGUCUUAGCUUCUGUUGAAUGGGUUUGCAUUCUGGUUUCAGUGGGAGUCUAUGGACCACUAUAUCCUCAUCCAAUCUUGGCAUAUCCUGAUAUGACCAUGCAAAUACAUCUUUGUACUCAUGAAGCAAAGCGAUCAAAUCAUGUUUGGUGUUAUCUGAAAUGGAGGUCCCAAUCUUCACUUAUUGCCUCUUUUCUUCAUUUUCCAAGUUUACUAUCUCAACCGGUUCUUGAUGAGAAAGAAUCUGUUUAUCCUCUUGUUCUACCAUUCUUAGUAAGUCAGGAGACGAGACAUAGUCUUCAACAUUUUCCUCAGCUUCGAACUCUCCUAAACAAAUAGCUUUCUCAAAAUUGAUUUCAAGAUUUGUAACGAGUUUGUUCAUAUUGUUGAUAUCUGAGCACCUGAAAGUUGAAUGGAAAAGAAAACUAUAGAGGAGCAUCAAAGUAUUGGGACCAACAAGCAUAAUGGCAUGAUGUGAGAUAUAUGCAAUGAUAGGCUGUGAGAAGAGGGAAAAAGUAUGAAGUUAAUGAGAAUGAAAAGACCAUGACAAAAUGCAUCUCCAUUAAUGUUCAUUUAAAUGAUAAAGAGCAAAUCAUAAGCUCUUACAAAAGAAUCCCUACUAUUACUUAGUGACACACAAAAAGAAGAGUGUUAACAUUGAGCAUUACUCUGGAGAAGACUUAGAAACUACAAGGAGAUCCACAGCAGUCCAAUUGUUCAAAACGAAUCCAGGAGGACAAGGGCGUAUCAUUGAAACAUAUUUAAUUGCACCAUUUCCUUUGUCAAUGACAUUUAUACUGACAUUCUGAAGACCCCUUUCAAUUAAUAACAGCGUGCUUCGUGGAUUAUCUUGCCCGGGGUAUAUCAUUCCUAUAGAUGUAAUUGUUUUUGACAAAGGAGGGUACUUUAUGGGCUCCUAUUCUAAUUCUCGGCCUAAGGCUCUUGAAACCCUCCUUUCUUGAUCUUUCUGCAACUGUUUUCUUCUCUGUCGUAUAUCCGGCUGGAACCCUAAACCAUAUCGAGCCUUAUGGGGCACUGGUUUUAGAGCUCUAACUAUCCCUUGUUGAUAUCUUCCCAAACCUUUCCUCGCUCGGGCUCCCUUUCCCACAGUUAGCUUAAUUCCCAUCUUGGUAUUCCUUGAUAGUUUAGGCAUGGGAAUCUUAUUUCCUUCAGCAACGAACGUGGCAUUGAUAAAUUCGAAGGAACAGAAGGAACAUUCUACUGCAUCAUUGCUUAUUUCGAGUUAUGGUGUAUCAGCAGAGAUAGAUGCGACAAUGUCUUCCUCACCCACAACAGUGACCAAAAGACCAUCCAUGAUAAACUUCACUUUUUGAUGGAGAGAUAAAGGAACUGCCUCAGUAGAGUAGAUCCAAUGGAUUCCUAAAAGGCAAUUAUACGAAGGCGUGAUUUCUAUAACCUGAAACUCGAUGUCAUAUAUAUAGUGGCCCACUUCUAGAGGAAUUUCAAUUUUUCCCAUGACUUCUCGUCUUGUCCCAUCGAAUGCUCUUACUGUAAAGUGACAAGGCCUCAGAUAAGAUAUAUCAAUUGGAAUUCUAGAAAGCGUGGCCAAAGGCAUGACAUUGAGUGCCGACCCGUUAUCAAUGAGCACAUUCGGUAUUAUAUAACCCUUGCAACAGGUUGUGAUAUGCAAUGCUUUUACGGAGCCCCUACCAUUUGGCGGUAUUUCGUCAUUACUGAAAGAAAUAAAAUUAUCCGCGUUCAGGUUAUUCACCCACCUAUCAAGCUUUUUGACAGAUAUAUUGCUUGCUACGUAAGCUUGAUUUAACACUUUCAGCAAAACGUUCCGAUGUGGUUCUGAAUUCAACAGUAGGGAUAAUACCGAGAUUCGUACCGGUUGUUUGCUUAACUAUUCCACAACAUUAUAUUCACUAUGUUUGAUGUACUUCAAGAAUUCAUGUGCUUCCUCUUCAUUCACAGGCCUUUUAACUUCUUGUUCGGACGGAGUCUCAAGUUCAACCUCGACCUCAUAUAUCGGUGCCUUUCCUUUCUGCUUUAAGUCAUUAUUCUUCUUUAUUGGUUCGACCACUUUAGAAUAACACCUCCCGUUGCGGGUGAAGUGUCCUACUUCGCCAACAUUUCCGGUCAUGACUUUGGAUUUUUCACCUUCAGGUAUGAUAAUGUUGACAUCAUAUUUCCAUGGUACUGUCUUGUUGUCUUUGUAAGGGAAAGGAGAUUGUACUUCAAUUACCAUCUUUGGUUUCACUUGCUCCUUUUUUGCAUCGUAAUAAAUCACCAAUGGUCGAUCAGCACUAUAAGGGAAACCUGAUGAUUGAUUAUUAGAAGUGCAUACUUCUUCUUCAUCGGCCUCUUUCAUUGUGUUAAAGAUCUCGACUUCCUUGUUGUCCAUCAUGUCUUGAAGUAGUUUUCUGAAUCCUUUCCAAGACUGGAUGUCAUGCCCCUCGAUCCCAUGAAAAUCACAAAAACAUUAACUUUUUGUAUUUCCUUCUUUGAAAAUUUUGUUGGGAUGACAAAACAGCCCUUUUUCAACCAUUACCUCCCAAAUCUUUCGCAGCGGUGCCUCUAUUUCAGAAACACAACUUUUGACACGCCACAUGUCUUCUUUUGUCACCAUGCUCACGUUCCCUUCAGUAUGGUUAGGGAGCGAAUUUCCAGCCGUAUUGCCAGCACCAUCAAAUCGUAGAAUGCCUGUAUCAAUAAGACCUUGAACUCUCCUUUUAAAUGCCAAAUAAUUUUCUGUAGAAUGCCCCUGGUUUCCAGCGUGGUACAUGCAACUAGCAUUAGGAUCGUACCAUUUUGGGUAUGGAGGCUUCAAGGGCGCUAUAUAAUGUGGGGAUAUUAAUUGUUUUUCCAACAGUUUUAGGUACAGCUCUCCGUAUGACAUGGGAAUUGGGUGAACUGGGGUUUUUCAGGAUUGGAACUUGUAGGUCUUUGUUCAUUUUUGGGUUGGCUUUGAGCAGGCAUGGUAUUUGGUGGGAACAUGGCAAAUGGUCUUUCGUUAUCUGUGGCGUAGAAUGGGCAAGGAGGAGGUACUUGAUAAUAAGAGCUUUNNNNNNNNNNNNNNNNNNNNNNNNNNNNNNNNNNNNNNNNNNNNNNNNNNNNNNNNNNNNNNNNNNNNNNNNNNNNNNNNNNNNNNNNNNNNNNNNNNNNNNNNNNNNNNNNNNNNNNNNNNNNNNNNNNNNNNNNNNNNNNNNNNNNNNNNNNNNNNNNNNNNNNNNNNNNNNNNNNNNNNNNNNNNNNNNNNNNNNNNNNNNNNNNNNNNNNNNNNNNNNNNNNNNNNNNNNNNNNNNNNNNNNNNNNNNNNNNNNNNNNNNNNNNNNNNNNNNNNNNNNNNNNNNNNNNNNNNNNNNNNNNNNNNNNNNNNNNNNNNNNNNNNNNNNNNNNNNNNNNNNNNNNNNNNNNNNNNNNNNNNNNNNNNNNNNNNNNNNNNNNNNNNNNNNNNNNNNNNNNNNNNNNNNNNNNNNNNNNNNNNNNNNNNNNNNNNNNNNNNNNNNNNNNNNNNNNNNNNNNNNNNNNNNNNNNNNNNNNNNNNNNNNNNNNNNNNNNNNNNUUAGGACGUAUUUCCUUUUUUAAAUCCCGAGAUCGUUUUGAAAUUUGAGUUCGAAAAAUUCAUGCAUUUAGAUUUAUCGUAAAAAUCGAAACCCAGUAAGUUAGGGUACGAUCCUCUCGAAUCUAAACACAAAAUGCCAUUUAUUUAAAACAAGUUUUGACAUAUUGAGUAAAACGAAACACGAAGUCGUAAUAAGAGAAUGUGAAAACAAAUUACAUUGUUGAUAUGCAUGGCAAAACCAUAAUAAAUACAAAAGUAUAUAAAAAAAUAAUGCAAGCAAUAGCAAUCAAAAUAAAAUAAAUAAAAGAACAAACCAACAAUUCACAAAAUAACAAAUGUAUAAGCAAAUAAAAAUAAAAUAUUCUCUUAAAAUAAUCAUGAGAACUUAAAUAAAUAAAUAAAUAACAAUAUGAUUAAAAUUUAAAAAAAUAUAAAAGUACACAUAUAUAAAUAUGUAUAUAUAUGUAAGCAUAUGAAAGAAAAUAAAAAUAAAAAUAUGAAUACGUAUAUGGAUUUACAUAUAUAUGGAUUAUAAAACAUAAAAAUUAUAUAAUAAUAACUAUAAUAAGACACCUACACUUUAAACUUAAAUAAGUAAACACAAACAAUAAUAUAUUAACAAUAACAAACUAUAAUAACAGUCAUAAUAAUAUAUAAUUUAUCAAUGUUAUUAAUAAAAUAGCUGAAAAUAAUAAAACAAAGGGCUAAAUCGAAUUUUGAGACGAAAUUUGGAGCUUAAAAUGCAAAUAAACGAAAAAAGGGGGUCCGAGGGACAGAAAAAUAAUGCGCCCGAAGAAUGGAGGGCUGAUUGAGCAAAUAUUCCCAACCUUUAGCGCGCCAUUUUGUUCAGGACCAAAUUAGAAUAGGCGCAAAAAUCGCGGGGCCAAAUUAAAAAAAUAAAAGACUUUAUUAUAAAACCAUUAAAAAGCGGAAGGGCUAAAGGUGCAAUUAGCCCUUCCGUCGAAAACACGCGGAUCCUUCGGGUCGGAGCGGGUCGGGUCGCGGGUCCAAAGCAAAACGACGUCGUUUUGGGCGUUAUGGAGCUGGGCCAAAACGACGUCGUUUCACACGCCUAUAUAUUCAAAAAAAAUUUCAAAAAUUUCAUUCUUCUCCCCUUUUCAAAAAAAAACCCGAAAUGCUCUCUCUCCCUCCCCUUUUCUCUCUGAGCGCCGGCCAAAGGUCCGGCCGAGAGCCACCGCACCGGCCGCCGCCUUCCGGCGCCGGCGCCGCCGUGUACGGCGGCGGGGAGAUCAAAAAUCUCCCUUUUUCUUUCCGAUGACUCUCCUCAGCCUCCUGAGCGCUCCGGCACCACCGACGAAGGUAAAAGUCUUUCCUUUUUAUUCUUUUUUUGUUUUUCCGUAUAUUUUUUUUAAAAUAAAAACAAAAAAUAAAUAGAGUAAAAGAAGUAAAAGUUAAAAGAGACCUUCAGAUCCCAAAUCGGUAACCACCUUCUUUUGUUUCUAUUUCUUCUCCUUCAAAAUCACCCUCUUUUUUUUUCUUUACAUUGGUUGUUAUGGCUUUAUAGCCAUGUUUACAAUAUUUGAUCUAUUAUUUGUCAUUUCUUUCUCUGAUUUUGCAGGCAAGUGGGUGGAGUUGGUAAUGGCAGAGACGUGACGUGCGGCGCGGCGGUGGCAGGGGGCAGGUGGACUAGGUGCGGCGGCUAGGGUUAGGGGUUAGGUUUUUUCUGACAGUGUUUGGGUUAGGGUUUGUUUGUAAUUGGGCUGAGGGUAUUGGGUUUGUGGGUAUUGGGUUUGUGGGUAUUGGGCCGGACAGAAAUUUGGGCUUGUACAGACAUCAACCUAAAUUCAUUGAUAAAUGUUUUUACUUGGGACAAAAUAAUAAUCUUAUAUAUAUACUUUUUAAGGUUUUAUUAAAUUUUUUAAUUUUUGAUAUUGAGAAAAUGAUUAUGCGUGAAGAAGUUAGCAUUGCAAUUGAUUGGAAUUUAUACUAUGAUAUGGAAAACAUAAAAUUAUUGUAUAACUUGGGUUUUUGAUGAGGUUAAAAAGGAAAAACACUACUCUUUUUCUUUCCCAAUUUAUUUACCCUUACCCUUUAUUCUAUAUCUUAAUUAUAAGAAGACCUUAAGGAAACACAAAACAAAAAAUACUGAUUUUUUUCUGAUAAAAGAAAAUUACAUUUUGAAUCCAAAUAAAAUGUUUUUAGUGUGGAAUAAGCAAUGAACCCCUAACAAUAAUUGCGAGAAUAUUAACAAAAACAGUAAUUGUGUGAAAUCAACAUAUUUACAAAAUUGUUAUUUUCAAACAGCUAAAUAGAAUUGUACAAAUAGUUUAAUUUGAAGUAAAAAUGGGUUUGUGCCAGGCUGGUAAACAAGUAUCUUGGAUGCCUUUAGGGCUGACCUGAUUCAGGGACACCAUAAUUACUGUCCUUUUUUAACUUUACACUUUUGCUUAAAAGAGUCAAAACUUUUUUAAUCAAAAGUCAACUUUUAAAAGAGAAAAGCUACAGAAUAAUUAAAUUAUAUGGCAAUUUGGUCUCACCUACUCUUUUCACAGUUUCACCACUCAUUAAUUUAUAUAUUAACAACUGCAUACCGCAAUUAAAAUAAUUUUAGUAUCCACAUUGUGUUCGCCAACCUACAAAAGUUCAUUUUCCUGACUCAUAGAGGAUACUUGCAUAUUAAUUUGUAAAAGACGAUUAACUCUCCCUCGAAUAAUUGCCUUCUUACUAUAUAUAUAUAUAUAUAUUAUUAGGAAUAUAACCCAAAUUUUAUUUUUUAAUAUUUACAAAAAAAUUAUUUAUAUAUAUAUCCUUCCAAUGUCAAGCAUUGAUACUUUACUUUUCGAUAUUUCUGGUAUGAAUUAUCUAAUUUUUAGAUAUUAGAAUUAUUGAGCUUAAGAUUUAGUUUUAAAUCUUUAGUUUGUUCAUUUUUCUUUAAUCAAUAUAGCUCUAAACAUUGUUAGUGUAAUGUAAAGUCAAUAGUAUAAUUAGGGAUGUCUUGAGGCAUCGUUGUAGCACCACUCAAUUGAGAUUAUCGUUGUAUAAUCUUGAAAUCUUGAAUUUAGAGUUUUGAGUUUAAGGUUUAAGGUCUAAGGUAUAAGGUUUAAAUUAAAAAAAUUACAGAUGUGUCAAUUAUAUGAAAAAAAAUGUUGAAAUGACUCUAAAUAAUUAAUAAGAGAUGCAAAAUAAUGUGACAUCUUUAUUUCAUAUAAUAUUUUCCUAUGAGAUAAGUAUAACUUGUAAUUCCUUUCCCUCUCAAAUGUGUAUAGCUUACUAUUUUAGAGGAAGUGUGAGUAGGCAAUAGAAUGGGUUAAGGUUUUUGACUCUUGUGCAGCACUUCCACAAAAUCAGGCUGGGGCUUGCUAAAUUUCUAAUGCAGACAACACACAGACCUGGUUUCUUAGCAAUACAAAACUUGACUAAAAAUGAUUAAAGAUCUUAACACCCUUUCCAUAAAACAAAACACGUUAUUUGUUUAAUUACUUAAACACGCUUGUUGUUUUCUAUUAAAGAAAAAGGAUUACAAACAUUUAACAACUACAAUCUCGUACAACAUAAAAGCUUAAAAGUCCAAAAGAUAAUAAAAGCGUUCUUCACUUCAAUCAGACUUCUACGGUUGACUAAAUGGAAUCAAGGGAGACUCAUGCCGAUUACUUUGGUUGCAAAACUAUAAGGCGAGUAUGGCCACCUUAAUGUGAAAGAGUCUCAGUCCAGGUCCUGGCGAUGAAAAUACCAGCGUAGGCUUCAAACAACAUAUGAAAAGAAAAAAGAUCCAGAUCAAAUCAAUCUUGAUGCAUCUUUAAAAAAAAAAAAGCACAAGAAUGACUGUAACAGUAACUAUAAUGGAAAGUCAAAACUCUAUCCAAAGAAUGAACAGGUCAUAAAUAGUUUGUUUUUAUUUGUUUAUCAAGUUAAAUAAACUUAUAUGAACAAAAUUUUCAGCGAUCAAAACUUGUUUGGUUCAAUGAACAAGCUCAUUUAAUAAAUUAUUUAAAGCUCAUUUAAAAUUUGUUUAUUAUUUAAUUAUUAUAUAUUAAUAAGAUUAUUUUUAUUAUUUAUGUACUUAUUUUAUAUCUAAAAGUUAAAAUAUUUAUUUUUCAUGAAUAUAUUCAUGAAUAUGUUGAUAAAAUGUUUUUAAACUGAAAUUAGAUAAUCUUAUAAACAAUAAUAAAUAUGGGUGCAGCUGAGAGGCAGGAGACAACAGAUUAUUUUACAAAAAAAAAGAAGAAGAGAAAAAUGGAUUGGAGAGGGUGAGUUAAAAAUCUGAAGAUUAUUGGGAUAUUGAAGAAUUAAUAAAUAAAUUUAAAAAAAGGAUAGAAAUAUAUCCGUAAAUAUAGAAAUCCAAAGAAAAAUUAUUCCCUGAAAUGAAUCUGAUAAAAUGGUAAACUAUUAAGAAUAUGUCAGCGGCAAAACCGGGUGUCACUUUCCUCAACAAUUGCUCUAAUCUUGAUACCUUGCUUACACUCUUCAAUACCAUUUUAUUUUUUUUAAUUUAAUUUUCUUUCAAAAUUAAGUUUUUUUUUUUAUGGCAUGCAAAGUUCUUCAUUGACGGUGACAACACAUUAGAGCUUUCCUCUUCCUUUAUUUUUAAAAAUAGUUUUUAACUAUAAUUAAUUAAUUAAUAACAAUAUAUGUAAACAUCGAAGUCCAAUCUACGACUUUUGUCUGUUGUCUUCUCAGUCUUCGGUUGUCUUCACUCUAUUCUAUGCUAUUCACGAGAACUUAUAUAUCCUAAGAUUUUUUUUUAUUAUUUUUCAUUUCAUUUUUGUUUUUCACGGUUUGACAUUCACUCCUUUUCUACUUUACUGUUUUUAUCUUUUAGACUUGGUUGAGUAAAGCUUUGUUAUGUUUUUAAGUCCUCAAAGUGGGUUUUAUUAACUUAAUUUCAAUUUUUCAAAAAGUAAUCAUAUUGCUUUAAUAGCUAUCAAUAUGAUCAUUUUUGUAAUUUUUUAAGUUACUAUUUAUUCAUUGUUACUAUUUAAUCUUAGUAUUAAUUUUUUAUUAUGUUAAACAUAAUAUAUUAAUUAUUUUUAUUUUCGUUUACUUGCUGGGGAACACAAUCUUCAAAUUUGACAAAAUGUAUAUUUUUUCAUGCUGAAUGAAGAGCAACCUUGAUUGAAAACAUGUAUAGAGGUAGCGAGCUUUUUAAAGGUCAUUGGAUUACCUCUUAUUCCAAUGUACGUAGAGCCAUUGCUUCUAGCCAUGGUGAAAAUGUGGAGACUUCAAAGACUCUUAUCUUUCACUUUUUUUGUGGUGCAACAAUAAUCACCUUGGAAGUUAUCGCCCUAAUCAUGGGCCUUCCAAUUGAAGGUAGUGUUGUAAUUAGUGUGGCUCAAUAUGAUUUUGAGCUAGUAAUGAGGUUAAGUGGGCAUUAUCUAGUCGAUAAGAGUAACAUCAAGGGGGAAGGGGGGUGAGUGAAGUUCAUCUGCUUGAGCAUUUGCCAGUAGACGAAGUCAACAACAAACAUCAGUUUAAGUAAUAUAAUAAAGCUUACAUUGUAAACACCCCUUAUCCAGUCUGAUCCGUUAAACCCGAGUUAUAAAAUACUACAAUAAGUUAGUGGAGAAAGAUGUACUACAAGUUUGAAUGAACUUAGAAUAUCAGCUUCCCUAAACUCCAUUGCAACAUUCCUUGUCGAGUAAUGUGUUGUUUUCAUUAUCAACAAGAUCAAAGGAGUUAUACAUGUGGUAAUUGGAAGACAUUGAAAAUUUAUAGAAAAUUCUUGAUAUAUAAUAUCAUCUCAAUUGAGUUAUAAUUUUUGAUUUGAUAUUUAACUUUAGUUCAUAAAUAUUGACACUUUUAUUGAAUUUCAUGUUUAUUUGAUGCAUCGAUUUAAAUACAAUACCAAUUUUAGUUUAAUGAAUUUAUCCGUUGUAAUAUCCAUGAAAAAAAUAUUGUUACUCAUUUUGCAUACGAAACUUGCAAAAAAAAAAAUACUUAUUCACGUAUGCUUAAUAUCAAUUAACAUGAUUUAUAAUUAUAUUGUACAUCACAACAAAAAAGAAAACCAUAAGUAGCAAAUAAAAUGUGAAACAUAUAAAAUAUUGAAUAUUUAAUUAGCAUCAAAUAUAAAAUAUUAAACAUAACUAGCAUUAUAAAUAAUAUUAUCAAUAAAGACAUAUAAACUAAACUUAAAUUAUAUUUUAAAAUAAAACUGACACUGAUCAAAAUUUGCAUCGGAAUAUAACUUAAAAUUUAUUAUUUUAAUUUACUACGAGAACAAAACGUUUCGAUUGAUAGAAAGAGAAUCAAAACAUAAUUAUUUACAUUAAAGUUUACGAAAUUUUUAUAGUUAAAAGAAAACCAUUAAAGUUUUCAAAAUAUGGGUGAUGUGGCCACAUAUGGAAGUGACACGUGGACAAAUGAAACGUUCUGAUACUUUUGUACUGAUCAAAAUAUGUUUAUGAUAAAAAAUAAAAAAUUGAAUGUAUCAAAAACUAAAACUAAAAAUAAAAAUUAGUUAAAUUUCUCAAAAUUUACAAAAAUUUGAAAAUUUUUUAAAAAUGAAAAAUCACAUUUUCUUGAAAAUUCAAAAAAAAUUAAAAAAAAUUGAAAUUGUUAAAAUUUUAAAAAAAUAUAAAAUAUAAAAUAUAAAAAAUUCAAAAAAAAUAUUAGAAAUAAAAAAGCAAAAAAUUGUCCUGUCAACAUUAAUCAACACCGAUUAAUGCCCACUCAUUUUUGAAUUCUUAUAAUUUUGUAAUUUAAACUUUUUUUUAUACUUUUAAAAUUUUAAAAUAUUUUAAUUGUUUAUAUAUUUUCAAUUUUUAUAAUUUUAUAAGAUUUAAACUAAUUUUUUAAAAUUGUUUAAAUUUAUUUUUUUUAAUUAUUUUUAUUUUUAAGUUUUUUAAAAUUUAAAAUAAUUAUAUAAGAAGACACAUUUCAUUCUCCCCCAUUUGUCCACAUAUCACCUCAAUAUUUAGCCACUUUAUCCCAUUGUUAAAAAAAAAAUCGGUAUUAAUGUAGGGACCAAUUUGUACGACGGAUAUCAACUUUAGAAACCAAUUGGAUCCAAAAAAAAAUUUAAGAGCUAAUUCGAGAAAAUUUAUAAAGUUGAAGGACUAGUCUAUAUAUUAAGCCCAAAGUUUUAAAGCAAUCGGAACCAACCAUAAAAUAAUAAAAAUUAGACUUGGUUGGCACUUGGCAUUUGGGUUGAAUGAGGUUGGUGAAAGGUCAAAUCCUGUUAACUCCGGUUUUCUCUUUCUUAAUCUUAGGGGGCAAUUUACAAAGUAAAAAACCAAAGCAAAACUGGAAAAAGGUGUUUUUUUUUGUUGGUAGUCAGACAAAGCGUCUCUACUUUUCCUCAAACUUCUUUAAAUCCAUUAUAUUUUCAACUAGUGAGAAUAACCAAAACCCUAAAAUGAUAAACUCUUUUUAAUUAUUCUAUAUUUAUCUUAAUUUUAAUUUUAUACAUUUCACUAUAUAUUUGAAUAUCCAACAGAAUGUGUCCUCCUUUGCAGCCGUUCUUUGGGAUUACGACGGCUUCUUUGUGUGAGGAGUGUUGGGAUCAUGGUCGAACUUCUUGCUAUUUAGGAGUGGAUAAUUUAAUGUUUGAAUUGGAUUGUAGUGAUACCAUUAUGGCUCUUAAUGUGUCUUUUUUGAAUAUUUCUGAAUUUGGUAGACUAGACGGUUUGCCAACAAGGUGGCUCAUGAAUUUACUUGGGUAGCUUUGUUCAAUGAUAGUUGUCAAAUAUGGGAAGCUCUUCCCACAUCGCUUUGUAUAAAAUUAUCGGUUUGAGAUUUUAAAAAUCUUUCGAAUAUUUAAGGUAAUUAUUCUUGAUUUUCUGUUUAUUAAUAUAUGAGUUUCCUUUGAAGAAAAAAAAAUAUAUUUCCUCUAUAUACUGUUUAAAAAUAAAAAUAAAAAAAGUAUCGCACACUCAAUAUGUUAAAUCUAAUACUUUUAAUUGGUUCUACUUUGGCAAUAGGUCAACACUUAUGGCACAAUAUCCUACGUAACAAAGACUACAGGUAACAGUUAGUAUUUUUUAUUUCAACCAAAGAAAGAGAGUAUCUUUUGUGUUUAUUGGGUUUAUUUAAAUAAAAAAUUUGUAAAAUUAAAUAUUAAAAAAUUUCUGAAUUAAAGGCAAUUGUAAUAAUGAUUUUAUCUAUCGUGAAUAGAGUAAAAAUACUUUAACAGUAAAUUUAGAAUAAUGUCAAGUGUUGUUCUAAAUUAUUUUAUGAGUAAUUUAUUUAUCACACUUCAAAAUAAUUUGUAAAGUAUAAAAAAAAACCCUAGGAAAUAAAUUACUUGUUUUAUUAUAAUUUUACUACAACCUUAAAAUAAAUUACGUCAUGAAAAAAAAUUUACUCUACGAUAAAAUAAAAGCCCUAAAAUUCAUGAUUAUUUCAGAAAAUUCAUUCCAUAUAGUUAACACAUUUUCAGAAACAUUAUUAAAAAUAAGAGGAGAAAAGUUUGAAAAGGAAAGUCUCAUUUUUCCCUUUUCAGUAACAUCAAAACAAAAAGAAAAAGAAACUACUGUAUAUACACCAAGAAAUCCCAUGGGUUAUGAUGGAGAGUUGUUUUCAACUUUAGCAUAGAUACAUCCACCAGCCUAUCUACAUCUUAGCAAAUACGUUUCUCUGAGUGACACUCGCUCACUUCACACCUUAGUUUUAUAGGAAACACUGAAAACAACUAAACCCAAGCUCUUCUUCCAGUCCCUUCCAAUGGCUACACUCUGCAAAUACCCUUUUCUUCUCUCCCUCUGCUUCACAUUCUUCAUGUUUUCCUCAGCUUCAACUCAAGAAGCUGAUGCCCUUCUUAAUUUCAAGGCUUUCAUUGAUGACCCUAAUUACUCUCUUUCCAGUUGGUCUAAUAAUUCAGGUGUUCAUCACUGUAACUGGACUGGUAUUACCUGCAUUCCUACUCCUUCACUCUAUGUAUCCUCCAUUGACCUUCAAAGCUUGAAUCUUUCUGGUGAAAUACCAUCUUCAAUAUGUGAACUACCCUAUUUGUCUCAUCUUAACCUUGCUGAUAACCUUUUUAAUCAGCCUAUUCCACUGCACCUCUCUGAGUGCAGUUCCUUGGAGACUUUGAAUCUUAGUAAAAAUCUCAUUUGGGGUACCAUCCCAGAUCAGAUUUCACAGUUUGAUGCCUUGAAAGUUCUUGACUUGAGCAAAAAUCAUAUUGAAGGGAAGAUUCCUGAGAGUAUUGGGUCAUUGGUGCAUCUUCAAGUGCUCAACUUGGGAAGCAACUUGCUUUCUGGUACUGUUUCUUUUGUGUUUGGCAAUUUUUCUGAGCUUGCUGUACUUGAUUUGUCCCAAAAUGCUUACUUGGCGAGUGCGGUUCCUACUGAUAUCGGAAAGCUUGAGAAGCUUGAGCAGCUGUUUUUGCAAAGAUCUGGUUUUCUUGGUGAAAUCCCUGAAUCUUUUGUUGGUUUAAAUAAUUUGAUCACUUUGGAUCUUUCUCAGAACAAUCUAACUGGUAAGCUUCCACAAACACUAGGCUCUUCUCUAAAGAACUUGGUGUCCUUUGACGUCUCAGAGAACAAGCUCUUGGGGUCAUUUCCAAGUGGUAUUUGUGAUGGAAAAGGCCUUAAAAUCCUCAGUCUCCAUACUAAUUUCUUUAAUGGUUCAAUAUCUGAGUCCAUUUCUAAGUGCUUGAACCUUGAGAUUUUUCAAGUUCAAAACAAUGGAUUCUCAGGUGAUUUCCCUAAUGGAUUAUGGUCCUUACCAAAAGUUAUGCUGGUCAGAGCAGAAAACAAUAGGUUCUCUGGGGAAUUGUUAGAUUCAAUAUCAAAGGCUGCUCAGUUGGAGCAAGUUCAGAUAGACAAUAAUAGCUUUACUGGUAAAAUACCACAGGGUCUUGGCCUGGUAAAGAGCUUAUACAGAUUUUCAGCUUCUCUUAAUGGUUUCUCUGGUGAAAUACCUCCAAACUUUUGUGAUUCACCUGUUAUGAGCAUAAUAAAUCUUUCCCACAAUACCCUGUCAGGUCAGAUUCCAGAAUUGAGGAAAUGCAGGAAACUGGUUUCCUUGUCUUUAGCAGACAAUAGUCUUACUGGAGAAAUCCCACCUUCCCUUGCUGACCUACCAGUGCUAACUUACCUUGAUCUAUCUCAUAACCAACUUAGUGGUUCCAUUGCACCAGCGUUGCAGAACUUAAAGCUGGCUCUCUUCAACGUAUCCUUCAACCAACUCUCUGGUAGGGUCCCAUCGUCUCUAAUAUCAGGCCUACCAGCUUCAUUUUUGGAAGGAAAUCCUGGACUCUGCGGCCCUGGAUUGCCAAAUCCUUGCUCCGAUGAACACCCGAAACAUCAUUCUUCUGGUUUGACAACCUUGACAUGUGCCCUCAUAUCUAUAGCUUUUGCCAUGGCAAUGGUGAUUGUUGCUGCUGGCGUGUUUGUGUUUCAUAGAUUUUCCAAGAGGAAGUCUCAGCCAGGCGUUUGGAGAUCAGUCUUCUUCUACCCUCUUAGACUCACCGAGCAUGAUUUAGUAAUGGGGAUGGAUGAGAAAAGUGCUCUAGGAAAUGGUGGUCCUUUUGGUAGGGUUUAUACCAUAAGUCUACCCAGUGGUGAACUAGUUGCUAUAAAGAAACUGGUCAAUUUUGGGACCCAACCUUCCAAAGCGUUAAAGGCCCAAGUGAAGGUAUUGGCCAAGAUGAGGCAUAAGAACAUUGUUAAAAUUCUGGGGUUUUGCCAUUCGGAUGAAUCGAUUUUCCUCAUUUAUGAAUUCCUGCAGAAGGGUAGUUUAGGGGAUUUGAUUUGCAGACCGGAUUUUGAGUUGCAUUGGAGUGCUAGAUUGAGGAUUGCAACCGGGGUGGCACAAGGAUUGGCAUACCUUCACAAGGGUUAUGUUCCACAUUUGCUUCAUAGAAAUCUCAAGUCAACGAACAUUCUUCUCGAUGCGGAUUAUGAACCGAAGCUUACGGAUUUUGCAAUUGAUAGGAUAGUUGGAGAAGCUCCAUUUCAGUCUACCAUUACUUCAGAAUUUGCACACUCCUGCUAUAAUGCACCAGGUAAGGAAUCCUACAUCCGUCCAAGAUUAGCCCAAAUUGAUGCUUUCAUAAAUCUAUCAAUGUCAAAAUUCCCAACUUAUGCUAGUUGUUUGAUUGCAGAAUGUAGAUACAGUAAGAAAGCUACCGAACAGAUGGAUGUUUAUAGCUUUGGGGUGGUGCUGUUAGAGCUCAUAACUGGUCGACAAGCUGAAGACAUUGAAUCCUUGGACUCACUCGAUAUCGUGAAGUGGGUUCGAAGAAAAGUUAAUAUUACCAAUGGAGCAUUACAAAUUCUUGACCCUAAGAUAUCAUCAAGUUCUUCCCAGAAGGAAAUGCUAAGAGCUCUGGAAACCGCCCUGCACUGCACCGCUGUUAUGCCAGAAAAAAGGCCAUCGAUGAUUGAAGUGGUGAAAACACUUGAGUCUCUUAACUCAGGUUCAUGUGUUCCGUCUACUUUGGACUCCGAGGAGCAAAUGCAGUCGGUUGGUGUUUGAAAAUUGAAAUUAAAAGAUGACCCCAUGCAAUCUGGUUCAUGUUUUUGUAUGUAAAUCAUGCGUUGCUGACUUCUUGUUCGCAUGGUGUGCCCAUUGCUUUACCAGGGGAUGUUUGGGAAGUGCAUUAAAAGUAAUAUGAUGAGGUUUUUACAAGGUAUAUUUCUAAUCACUGGUGCACACAGCAUUGCGAGUGUUACUACUUAUCUGGUAUUGCUUGUAAAGGUGCUUCAUCUUCAUUUUGCUAAUAAGAUAAUACUGUUGGUUUGGGAAUGCUCAGUACAAAUUUUAUAUCUUUUGAAAAACAAUCAAAUAACAAAGAUAUACUAAUUCCAAUAAAAAUUAAAAAAUAAAUCAAGCAAAAAUUGAGAUCAAAAUACUUGUUGGAGUUAGUUGACAAUCAUUAUUAAACACUAUUGCAGUAGUAACUAAAUCGUUAUCAAGUAGUAGUAGUAAUUAAUGUCUGAUAUUUGUUUUCUCUUUAGAAAAACCAAAAUAAGAACACGACUAUAUUGCUGGGAAGUAAGCUUUUUGUUAAUUGGGCAAGAAACCAUUUUGGGCUUCAUGUCCCACUCAUCCUUUUUUCUUAUUUAAAAUAUAAAAUGCAACUUAGUGAAUUAUGUUUUAAGUUUUUUUUUUCUUUUUUUUUUGUUAUUAAAUUAUAAAUAUAUAUAUUAAUCGAAUUUGGCUUUUUAUCCACUGUCAUUACAUAUGAGCAGAUUCAAUGAUUGUCCAAGCUUCUUCAGUAAUGGUGCAUUUAGAGAUCUACUUUGAUUCCUCAAGGUUUACUCCACAAAAAAAUUAAAUUACUAGAUAACGGUGAUAUCGGUUUGAUUUGGUCAAUUUUUUUAGAUUUUUUAAAUCGUUUAUCAUAAUUUAAUUUUCAAAUUUUCCAUAUUAAUUUUUUGUUUUGAUUUUUUAAACUUAUUUUAAUAAAAUUCUAAAAAAAAUAAUCUUGCAAUAACUUUUUAAUUAUUUUCACUAAUAAAAAAUUUAAAAUCAAUUUUAUAUGAAAUAAAAAAAAAAAAGAAUUCGGCUUGGCUUUGAGUAACUAUGAUUUUUUUAACUUGUAUUUCAUAAACCAUCCAAAUACCUCGGUUCGGGUCAGAUUUUAGCUUUGGUUGUUUUUCUUCUCAGCCCUUAUACUGGACACUCUCAUCUAGUUAGGAUUGAAUGUCAUGCCUUUUCAUCCAUAGACUUUAUAAUACCAUCAUCCUUACCUUCCAAUAUACAUAGUUCGUUCCAUCCAAUAUAAAGAGUCUAUACAUCGAUAAACCUCCCAUCUCAAUUGCAUAUUGAUGAUAGGAUUUUCACUUAGUGCGUCAAAUAUCUAACUUUGAUAUCAAUCGAAAAUUCAUUGAAUUUUCCUUACAUGUAUUCAUUCAGUUGUAACCAGACAAAGUUACUACUAAUUAAAAUUAUUACAAAUUUACUUUUAUAAUAAUUAUAUAUACAGAAGGGUAAAUGGUAAUUUUAUAAUGGGUAGGUGGAGUAAGUCAAGCAAUAAUACGCAAUUGCCUACCUCAAUUUACAUUUAUUUAUUUUUUAAAAAUUCGCUCAAAAUUCAUAGGCUAUGCCUAAAACAACUAAAUAUUAUUUCAUCCUUUAAUUCGUUGCUUUCUUUUUGUAUAAAAAAUUUCAAAGGAAAAGAGAGUGGGACCCACACUUAAAAUUCAUGUGACUACGUUCCCAUGGUUGCACCAUUUAUUAUAUACACCUAUAUAUAGUUACUAAAAUCUUAAAUAAUUUAUCACUUAUAUAUUUUCCAUUUUCACCCACAAUUAAAUUUACUAUUUUUACCUUACUUUUUUUAUCUUUUUCUCUAGUAUAUAUAUUGAAGAACCAACAUGAUGUUCAAAAGAAAAACAAAAUUACAUUUUUGGAUUUAAAGUUAUUCCAUUACGAUUAUAAUCAGGUCAGUUUUAAUUAAGAAUUUCUCGUUCUAUUCACAUUUCUUUUCUUUUUAAUUUAAGCUUAUUUUUUCAUACAAUUUUAAUUUUAAUUUUAUCAAUAUUUUUAUUAGCAUUUUAGCCAAAAGAAAAACGAGAUAAGUUACGUGAAGUCAUACCAUUUCCAAUAUUUGAUAAUUUAAAGAGAGAUGAUGACGUUUAAGAUAUAUUUUCAAAUCUUGAUUUCAUGUCAAAGAUAAAUAUAUAGUAUGUUAAUAUUUAAUAAAUUUUGGUCUUUUUCUGUAGUGUAGGAUUCUAGUCAAAAACUAAUACUUCUCAGGAUUAGAUUAUGCUAAGAUGUAAAUGAAAAAAAUUAUGUAAAUUUUAUAUUUAUAAAAAAUUAACAUAUUUUUUAAUUGAAAUAGUAAAAUUAAAGUUGUGACAUAUUUAAUAAUGAUAUUUAGAUAUUCUACAUUAAUUAUAAAGUAAUGAAUUAAACUUAAAAUCACAAUUUAAUAGAAUCAGUGAUAUUAUAAAAAAAAUUUAAUAACGAAAUAUAAAAUUAGCUAGGGUAUAUUUUAAGUAAUUUUUAAAAGUAUUUAAAAAAAUUUCAAUACCUUAGUAUAAAAAAUAAAAUAAAAUAACUAACUAUUUCCUUUAAAAAAAACCCCUUUUUUUUUCCUUGCAUACACAAUGUGGUGUGUGAAAACUAGCUAUAAUAGUAAAAAGCGUAUACAUUCGAAUACUAGGUAUAAGUGUUCCUAAUAAGUGCACUUGCAACUGGAAAAUAAUAAUGUGCAAGUUAUUUAAAAUAUCCCAUGGAAUAAAAGCAAUGAUUAACGUCUUAGUUUAAAUGAAAAUGGAAAUAUCAUAAAUUCUGCAAAGAAAUAAAAAUAAAAUUCAAAACCUCGAGUAAUUAUUUUUUUUUUAUACAAAUGAAGAAGUACUAUUAUAAUUGAAAAAAUGUUUACAAAUACAGGGGUUGAACACUAAACCUCCUGUCAAUUAACCUAAAAUCCACUCACGUAAGGGCGAAGGGUGGGGGACUGAUGAGGCCUUGGCCCUCUAAAAUAGGAAAUUAUUUAUUUAACUCCAAAAAUUUAUAAAAUUUGUAAAAGGGCUGUUUUCAUUCUAUAAUUUUAUUUUUAAAAUUGAAUGUGUGUAAAAUUGAUCGAAUUGCUUACAUCAUCUUAUUAUUGAAACAAAAUCAAAUAUUUUCAGACUCUCGAUCAAACAAAUGUAUAUUUCUUAUUUUUAUAUCUUAAAUGAGCAUGCAUAUUUUAUUAAUUAAAUUUUGAUUUACUUUUUAGAGAAAUGCAAAUUUUGUUAGAUUUAUGGGAUUUUCACAUUCAUUUUAAUCCUGUAGGGAUAAAUUUUGUCAUCUAUGAACAUGAGUUCCCAAAACAUUGAUGAAAAGCUGUAUAAUUCCCUCAGUCCAAUAGUCUCCUAUCCCUUGGCAACAGAUGACGAUUCUAAUACAGAAUUCCUCCAAAACCCUGACCUAUUCCCAAUGCCACACCAUCAAACUUGUUCUUUGCUGUCUCAAGACAUGACAAGUUCUCCCUUUCCUAUGGAGCUUGAGGUUGAGGAAAUGAGUAUCCUCGGAAGCAAUAACAUUGAGUCCAGCAGUGUCCAAAGGAAGAACAAACAGGCACAAGAAACACAGUUAAGAUUGUAGAUAUAUUAUUCUAUGGAUCUGUGUAUUUGACCCUCAACUGAACAAAUUUAAUUUAUGUGACAGUGAUAAGGGCAAUAAUAAUAAAGAAAAUACAAGUAAGAGACGGCGACAGCCAAGGCAGGAGCCCCUGCGGAUUUUCGGUGCCAGAAGCUCAAGUUACCGAGGAGUUAGCAGGUUAAUUUCAGGCACCUUACAUACAUACAUACAUAAUAAUGUUCCAAGUAAUGUAUUUUAGGAUUAAAAUUGUAAGCAUAACAUGGCAUGCAGAUACACUGGUCGAUACGAGGCGUUUUUAUGGAAUAACACUGAUCCAACGCAAAAACCAAAGACUGGUCUGUACAUUUUCUAUUCUGCUUUUCUGCAUUUUAUUAUAUAUAUUAAUUUCAUUGUUAUUGAUUACUAACCCUGUUGUUCUUCUUCUGUCCGCAUUUUUGCAGUUUAUAUAGGUCAGUGAUCUCAUUCGAUGCUAUUUCUUUAAUUCUGCAUACAAUUUACUUAUGUUGAAGUUUUCUUGAGGUAAAACUUAGAAGAAACUAACACAUCUGUGUGUGACACGUAGUCGCACUCAAACCAAGUAACAUUGCAGCAAUCUACACCUUUCCUCAAACACUAAGACUUAUAUGCAUGUGGAGGACAAAUUAUUUUAGAGACCAGAUUUUUAAAACUUGGUGGUUUUGCAGGUGGAUAUGAUGAUGAAGUAUCGGCAGCAAGGGCUUACGAUUUAGCUGCUCUAAAAUUAUGGGGUGAACUUGCGCCGCUGAAUUUCCCAGUAUGUUUUCUAUCUCUGCAUAUUACAAAUUUGUAUCAAUCAGAUUCAGUGGCUAAUUAGCAUCUAAAUUGACUUGGUGUAUCACCAGAUUAGUAACUAUAAGUCGGAUUUGGUUGAGAUGAAGCUCUAUACCAAACAUGAAUAUUUUCGCAACAUCAGAAGGUAAUUUAUAAAUUGACUUAUUUGCAUUAUAUUCCUGCAACUGCAAGUGAUUAAAUCAAUGAUCCAUUAAUACAAAUGAAUUGAUUAAUUGUAUUCUGAAAACUUCACUAAUUUCAGAAAAAGUAGGGGAUUCUCAAAGGGUGUAUCCAUUUAUCGUGGAGUCUCUAGGUAACUUAAAUUUAUUCGAAUAGUACUUCCUUCUCCCUGCCUGUUCUCUUCUUCCUUUUCUCUGCGACUUCUAUCAUGAAAUGAAAAAUCACAUGGUAGGAACUCGGAUUUCAAGAAAUGGCAAGCAAGGAUUGGGAAAGGGAAAGAUAUCAAAGGAAUUUACCUAGGAACAUUUGGUAACUAACAUCCUAACUUAUUUCAUUAGUUGAUGAAAUUAAUAUACAAUGGUUACUGUCAUUGAAGAUAACUUGAGAAUCAAGUAAUCUUUUAUAACUUAUUCUAGUAUAAAUGUGAUCUGGUAACCUAAAUUCCAGAAUCAAAUUACGUGUACAAGAUAAACAAUGCUACAACUUUCAAGGUUCAUAUGAGUUAGACCCUUUUUUUUGGAACAAUUAUCAGAUACUGAAGAGGAAGCAGCUAGGGCUUACGAUGUUGCUGCCAUUAGGUUGAAAGGUGCAAAUGCAGUUACAAAUUUCGAUAUAAAUGAGUAUGAUCUGAAUGACAUUCUUCAAAGUUCGAAGCUACCAAUUGGCAAGGGUGCUUCUAAGCUAUUGCAGAAAUCUUCUAUCGAAGAUGUUAUUAGAAAGAAAACAUGUGUCAGUGACAGAAACUCCUUGGUAUAUGAUGAAGAAGAUGAUUCAUGCACCCCCAAUUCCAACCUGGACAUGAACCGAAUCAUUAGUUCCUCUCUUAUUUAUGGCUUCCAGAACCCUGAUGAGUUUCAGGCUAGUCCUACUCCAAUUCAAGGCUUCAACAGCUUUGGAAAUUAUAUGAGCACUGAUGGAAAUCCAAGCUUUAAUUUCAACUUGGAGUAUCCUUUUAAUGUGAAUUCGGAUGGGAACUUUACAAUUUCAGGGGCUGCUGAAAAUUACUUUGGUGAAAUGCAGCCUUUUGAGUUCUCACACAACUUCUCAACCCUCGAGAAGCUGCAUCAAAUUUCAAGCUUCCCCUUUCUACAUCCCUAUCAUCAAAACCCUGUUGAGUUUCCAGAAAAUCUUGCCAGCAAUGGCUUGGGAAAUUGUGUGGGGACUAACAGGGAGUUUACAGGUAGCCUUCAGGGCCUGUUAACUCUACAAGGACAAGAUUCUCUCAAAUACUUGGACCAGCCUGAAGAUGUUACCACCCAGAACCUCCCUCAAAACCCCAUUAAUUUUCAAACAAUUCGGGUACCGGUCUAUCCAUUGAGCGGCAGCUACAAUGCAGAAGCUUCAAGUUAUGGGAUUUUCAAGGAGGUUCCAAGCACAAAGGAGAAUGAGAAUGAUUCUACAGGAGGCAACGAUGAGUCAGGCCAAGGAGCAGCCAUGGUGGAAAAGCCACUCCUGGAAAAACUGGAAACGGAGUGAAAUUCUUGAAAGACUGAACCAGACCUUUCCAGUUGUUUGCAAGCACUGAAUGAACUGGGACCUAUGAGUUUCUAAGGGGGAUAAGGCUUACGGUUGACCAAAAACUGAAAAUCAAUGGGUACUUUGCUUUGAUUAUAAAGUUUUAUUCUAAAUCUAAUAAUGAACUCGAAAUAACAGACUUCAUCUUAAGCAAUAGCAGUGCAUGUAUGGCUGAUACUUCAGCUCGUUAUGCUUAUUAAAAUUUUAAUCUUCUUAUGUUUCCCCUUUUUCAGUCUUUCUUCUUAAAAAUCGUAUAUAUUUACUUAGCCAUAAAAAAAAAUGUAUACUCAGCACAUUUUAAAAAAAACAGUAAGAAUUUAUUCUAUAUAUCGAAGACAUAAUUGCAGUUGAUUUCAAGCUCUCAGCAUUCAACAAAAAGAAAGCAAGUUCUUCCAACUGUACAAUCAAGCCAAUAAACGAUGUUUGAGAAUUUCCUGUAACUUUGAUCAUCUAAACUUUUCACCUUGAGUUUUUUCACCUUCACCCUCACUUUUCCAUGGCUAAAAAACAUGAGAGAUAUACACAACGAUCUAACAUAAACACUCACACGGACCAUACCUCGCGAAGGAGUUCGUAUCUUGCAUUUAUACCACAAUAGCCUGCAUGUUCAUGGUUUCCAUUCACUUCUCCAUUGGUAACAAUUGUUGGUGACAAUGGCAAUUUCUCAAUUAUUGAUGAAAGUGGAGAAUUCAAUUCCUCCAGUUCCUCGUCACUGGUAUACCCUUUCCUCUGUACCACUGAUGCAUUCCUAGACAGUGGCGACUUCCCUCCUGCCCCCGCAACUUUUUCAGCCACAUCUGCUGAGGAUAGAGGAGUAUAGACAACGAGGGCAGCUGUAUAAGGGAAACUUCUGGCCGGGCCCCCUGAUAACCUCCGCUCAACAAUAGUCUAACAAAUGAAAGAACCAUAAAUCAAAAACCAGGCAACUUUUUUCUGCCUUUAUACUGGUUAAAGGCAAGACUGAGUCCAAUGAAAUAUGAAACACAAAUAAAAUAUGGAAGACGAGUUUAAGAAUUUUAUUAGGAGUUAUUAAAAAGUCCAACAAACAAAUGUGUAGAAGAGAGAAAGGCCGAACUAGUCAUACCUCAGCAUUCAAGGCUUCCAAUACAGCUCCUGGAACAGGAUCUGGACAAAAUUCAUCUGGAGUGAAGUUGCAGAGAAUGCGUUUAACCAACGGAAGACCUAUUGAUGGGCACAGCUAAAGCCAUGAAAAUAAAAUAGUCAAAAAGAGUUAGAGAGGAACCAACAAAGACAUCAGAGAACGAAUCUACUAGUAUGUCCAUAAUAUGGAGUCUUAAUUAGAAAUCAACCUCCUCUCUGAUUGAACGGUCCAUUAGCAUGUCCUUUGGAAGCAUUAGAAGAUCACUCAGGGAAUUAAGAAAAAGGAAAGAUUUAGAUUCUCCGUCUCCAUUUUUUCUGAAAUCAUCUUGACUGGAACGUUGAUCUUCAUUUAAAUUAUAAUCACCAUCCAUGCCAAACAUAUCAGUCAGCCAUCUACACCAAUUACCAACCUGAAAAAUAAGUGUCCCUCCUUAAGAACUUGGUAUAGUUUUUUCAUGUAAAAGGUAUUAUGAACGGGAAAGGUAUUGAAACCCCCAAUUAUCUUAUUCAUCUCUAUAUGGCAAUCAGGAAGCAGAUGGAAAUCAUUCCAACAGCUAUUCUCGCUUCACAAUAAAGUUCAAGCAGUAUCAUGGAUGGCACAAAUUGAGGACUCCUAUAAAGAACAUGAAAAUUCAUGUCAUGCAGCAUACAAGAUCUUUCCAUUAGCAAUAUAUUAUUCAAUAUACAUAAAUGAACUAUAUAUUUUCUCUGCUGGUAAGAUCAUUCCAUAGGUAAAACAUUCUCCAUAUGAUCUUUGGUUCAAAAUUAAACCGGUUAAAUAUCAACCUAAAAUAUCCAACAUUUUCCGCAUCAUAAGUUUCCAGAUAAUGAAGCAUAUUCCAUCACAACAACCACUCUUUUCAACCAAUAGCAGUAUAUCACAGGAUCUCCACCAAUAGGGUGACGUAAAUUCCUCAGAGGCAAUGUUCCAUUAAAACAUGAGAACUACGGAAUAAGUUCAUAUAACAAGCACGAGAGUUACUCAGAUUCAGAACAAUAGUUGCCUAUUGUGAAGAAGUACAGUGCAACGACUAGCCACAACUGAAUAUACCACAGAUAUAAAAUGGAAAAAAAAACAAAAGCAGAAGUCCGCUGAUAUAAUACGUACAGCAUUUUUGAGUUGUGCACCAGAUCCGAAGCUAAGAUCUCCGGCGGGAAUAGGCAGAACCCUUGAAUCUACAAUAGGAUCAGAUAUAGGAUCUGUUGGGAUCUCAUGGGCAGACUCCCUCAAAAUAGCAUUGAACAUUGCUACAUCUAGCCUUGCAACACACUGCUCCAUAACCUAAUAAAAAAGGGUAUAACAAUUAGUUCACCAGGAAAAUAAAAGAAAGAUGAGAACAAAACAAAGACACAGCGUAUUACUGCUUAAAAUUUACAGAACGAAAACAUUUAUAAGUACAUACCAAUCUUGCAAUAACUGGCAAGCAACCACACUCAUGACCACCUGCUCUUACAGGACAAAGUCGUUGAAAAGCAUCUUGGAAAGCAUUUAUCCAUAAGUUGAUAGAGAAACUUCCUUGUUGUUGGUCUCCUAAGGCUGGCCCCAACAACUUUCCUAUUGUUUUGCUGACAGGUGAACCCUCAAGAGGAAUUUGCAUAUAUGGAGUAAGAGCCUGAAAUAAGGACCAGGCAUAAAAUUCCUUUUCUUAUUUGUAAUUUAGAGCCCCAAAACUGUAGUGCAACAAUUAGAUGACCUACAUCUUCUAAAUAACACUGUCCCCCUAAUGUAAAAAAAUUCUACAACUUCAACUAUUUACCUGCCACCAUACUGACUCAACUAUUCGAGAGAAAAUCCAAGAUUCCACUUUUUCUAGUGCAUUAGUGAAGGUUCCAGUCUCUUGCCAAUCAUCAACAAGCGGCAUAAAACUAUUUACUUGUUUACUACCAACACCACCUUUCCAUUUUAGAGUUGAAGGCUUUACUUCACUCCUUUUGUUACUGCCAUUUAACUCGGGGAGCCAUGCAAGUGGGCUUGAGUUGCGUGAAUUGCCAAAUGCUUGAGAGAUGAUCUCCCUCAGCACUAUGGUGUUUGAUAACCAGAAGGUUAACCUUAAAAUGCAAAAGAACAUUAUUCAGCUGUCAACAGUAAAUGGGAAAAUUCUAAAGCACUCAAGGAAAUAAUAUCUGACUAUAAUAUACAUACCUUGAAACAUCAUUACUGCAAGAUUUUGCAGUCAAAAUAAGCCCAGACACUGUGUUUUUAGCAAUUGUGGCUCGCUUGUUUUGUUCCCAGUGCUUGCAAGCAUGUAUAUAGAGUCUAGAAAGACGUCGAGCAGGUGUAUGCAGCUUAUGUGCUGAGCUCCCAUGCUCUGAAACAACAGAAUAGAGAGAAAUUUCCAGGGCAGCUACUUCUCUCAGCUCUGCUUUAAGUUUCUCAAUUCUCGUCUCCAUCUCAUUAAUCUUUUCAUUUAAAGCUGCCUCAUUUUCAACUUGAAAUUUGUCUUCAGCAUCAACAGGCUCAUUGCCACUUGCAAAACUUUUAUCGCCGUUUGAUGUCUCAUCCAAGACAUCAACUUCUUUUAACUCUUCAGCAUGCUUGCCAUUAGAUCCUUCUGAAGACUCAGAUGAAGAUUUAGGAGAAACUUUCAAGGUUUCUUCUACAGAACUUUUGGUAGCAUUCUUAUGGGGGGCUCCAUUAGACUUUGCAAAUUUCUUUGGAGUAUUAUUCAAUGCCUUUAAAUGUGAUUUAUUAGUUUCAAGUUCAGAUCCCAUUCUGGAACCAUGGGAAGAGCCAUCUUUGAGGUUGUUAUUGUGAACACCAUUAGAAGCUCCCAGAACACCCUCUUCUCUCUCAUCCUCAGCUGUCAAGGAAUCUCCUAGAGAUGAUGCUGAAUCUUUUAUAGUCUCAGAGUCUGAUUCUUCUUCCUUUUGCUGAGUUGUUUCUCCCUCUAUAUCACUGGAGCAAUCAUCUAAAAUUUCGGCCUUUUUUAAUUUAGUGACCAUGUUAUUACCAUUUGGAUCAGGAGAUGUUUCUUCAGACUUGUUAACAUCAUCCACAUAAUGUACAAUCACAUUCUCGUAAACUUCAAUGGGCUCAGAGCCCACAUUGGAAUCACUUACUUUAGAAUUAGGGUCUGAUCUAGCUUUUAAAGCUUUGGAUUCAGCUUCUUUCGCCUUCAAAGUUUUGCCACCAUUCUGUUGAUGAGGUUUAUUAUUUCUCCUAUCAGUUCUUCCUGGGUGCUUUGAUUGGACAUUAGCUGAAUUUCUCCUCUUGUUCCCAGUGUCUUUCAUAUUUAAUGUUGAUUCACCUUUUAACUACGGUUAUGGAAGAAACCACGAUAAGAGAGAGAGACCUACCAAACUCAUUAGUUGAAUGUCAACAUCAGAUGAAAAUUGGCACAUAACUGCACCCAUUUAGAAGAAACCACCCCACUCGACAACAAGGCAAUCUUCUUUGGGCCCUUUCAUCACUUCAGUGCUUCUGCACAAGAGAGAAGGUGGGAUCAUCAGUACAGAAUUAUCUAUCACUUGAUAUUAGCCAAGUUCAGCUACACUUCACCAAGAACAAAAAACAUAUACAAGCUUUAUUUAAUCAAGGUAGUGGAAACCAAAAACUCGAUGCUCUGAGAGCAUACAGAAAGCAGUGGAUAAUACUAAGAACAUUAGAGCUUCAAGCUAAAAGCAUAGGAAGUAAGUGCUGGGGAAAAAGAACGAGCAAAAGAAAAGAAAGGACAAAUAACAAGGGCAGAAGCAUGCAAUUCAUUCAACAAUAUGAGGUCUAUAUCUAUAGGUUCAGUAAAAUACAAACAACAGGUUGCCAUUCAAAUGCAACAAGGAUUUGGUUAAAAAAAACCUCAGACCUGAAUCGUAGACACAUUAAGCAUCUUGUGAACCUUGAAAAUAUUGACAGGAACAAAUAUAGCAAUAAAGAAACUUUUAUGUCACUAGAAUAACUCACCUUCUUAAAGUCACAACCAAGACAAAACAAUGGCGGUAGAGUCCAACCAGUAAAUUUGAGGCAACUGAUAACUUCCAAUUAAACAACCAGUAAAAUUCUAAGCUAAAAAAUUUGGCAACCUGAAACAACCAGAAAUUUGUUUAAAUCUUCUAUUUAAAACCUUUAAGCCUAUCUAGAAUGUGGUUUUUUGCAGCUAAUAUCAAUGACAAAAACCUGCAGCUAGAAAAUUAACGGUAAAUUUCACCGCUACAGAACUAUUGGGUUUAAAAUAAUGGAUAAAUAACAUUGGUCCAUAAUUCAUACACUAAAAAGGUGAAAUCCCCUGCUCUGACUAAAAAAUGCUUAGAUCAGUGUUUCCAGACCGAAUUGUGCAUUUUCAAGUUCCUGUUUACUUUGAUAUGCACUUUCUAUUCAAAGCUAAUGUCGAAUCAUUUCCAGAACUCAGAUCAAAGUAAAAAUAAAGGUCAAGAAAUGUAUUUCCAGUAUUAGAAACAAAGUUAAAUGCUUUUCAUCAUGAAAAUCACGAAUGAAAAUGACCCAAAAGAAGUUCAGAAAAGAUAUUUCCUUGGGUAUAUAUAUAGCAUUAUCAACUAAGAAAACAUAGCCUGCAGAAAGAAUCACAAAAGGACAGUUUGAAUACAUAAAACUUUUAAAACGUGUAUAAAUUUUAUUUAGUUUUACACCGUUUUUUUCCCAUAUAUGCAGCGGAGAAACUAAGCUAACUUUACUUUUUUAGCCAAAAUCUCUCUUUUCUGACCCACGGCUGAGCUUUCAAGUUUUUUGCCCCCUACCAAUCAGAAGCGCCAAGUUUUAUUAUUGAAAACGACAUAGUUUUCUCUCAUUACAGAUCUUAAUCAUAAACGAAUAUAGAACCCAAACCACCUGAAUGUCGAUCGAAAUUCAGCACCUCCCACUUUUCUUUUUAUACUUUUCAUUCGUUUGAGAAAGAAAAUGAUAAUCACAGGAACUUAGCCACCACUUGAAAAAGGUUCAAGCAUCUAAAGAUGGACAAAGAAUUCAAAUAUAUACAAGGAAGAACAAACCCGAAAGUGGAACUCAAAGAGAGCAAACUGAAAACCCACAGCAGAUCAGAGAUCAGAGAUCAGAGAAGAUAAAAUCACUGGAUGAUGAAAAAAUCAAAACAGAGAAAGAGCAGAUCGAAAUGGAAGUAUUCAAGCCAUUUCUCGAUGCAAAGAAAAAUGCAGUAAUUUUAUCUCGAGCUAGUAACAGAAAUACUAAGAAGUGAUAAUAAAACAAAACAGCAAACGUAAAAGAAAAAAGAAAAACGCCAACCAAAGAAAAGCUGUAAUGCAAAAGGAAAAAAGAACAAAGCUGGUGCAGACAUUUGUUUGUUUGAACUUACCAAAGCUUUGUGUUGGAAGAAGGGCUAAAAAGUAAGGUCCAGAGAGAGUUCAGACAACGAUAACCUUUGGGGAUCCUAACCUUCUCUAAAUGUAUUUCAUUUUCCCUUUGGCUUCGAGUGUCGUGCAACGAAGUUUCUUAUUUUAGUCUCUGAGGGCAAAGGCUGAAGUGCGGGAAACAGAGAGGGGCAUUUAAAAUGGAGUGAGGAAGGAGGGUCCGCUUUGUCUCAACUGUACGGAAGUAGAAGAUAAAGAAGAGACCAAUUGGGUGUCGGUGGGGGACAGUCACCGGGAAUCACCGGUUGACGGUUUUUAACGAAUCAAAAUUUACCAUUUUUUAGUAGGCUUUUUCUGAAAAAGAAAUUGUUAAUACCAAAACUGCCAUCAUUAUCUGCAGUUUCAGUUCAGUCAAAUUUACUUUGUGUUUGAAAAUUAUAGUACCACAAAAUUUUAUUUUAAUAUUCGAACCAUAAUACUUAGGGUGAGAUGUUUUCAUAGGUUAACUUGGUAAAAAAAGGGUUUUUUUACCAAAGAAGCAUAAAAAAAUUAAAAAAAUUUAAAAUAAUAUACCUAAAAAUUUAAUUACGAAAAUGGUAUGGUCAGGGGGUCACGCCACUCUAACAGGCGGCACCACCCUGACGUGACGGUGAACAGUGACCCGCAACAGUAAAAAAAUAUUGAAAAGAAAAAAAAUUGAAAACGAAAAAAAAAUAAAACAUGGAUCAUGUGGGUGCCAGAGGCGGCACCAGUGUUUUAUUAGGUAAAAUUAAAUUAAAAUAUGCAUUAUUAAAAUAUUAAAAUGAAAAUAUUUUUUUAUUUUUUUACUGUUUUUGAUCAAAAAUCCAGGGUGGUACCGCCUAUGCACAUUUUAAUUUAAUUUUAAUAAUGCAUACUUUAUCCGGAUAAAGUAUGUAUUAGCAAAUUCAGUAAUAUGAUUAUAUAUAUAUAGAUAUUUAGGCAUGUAUCACAUUACAAAAACAAAAAUUUAAAUACUUAUACCUAAUAAAACAUGUAUCUCAUUACAAUAAUAGUUAUUUUUCAAAUAACAUAUUGUUUUAUAAUUUUAUUUCUUAUUUAAUAUUUUAGUUUAAUUUUAAUAAUGCAUACUUUAUCCGGAUAAAGUAUGUAUUAGUAGAUUCACUAAUAUGAUUAUAUAUAUAUAUAUAGAUUUAUGCAUGUAUCACAUUACAAAAACAAAAAUUUAAAUACUUAUACCUAAUAAAACAUGUAUCUCAUUACAAUAAUAGUUAUUUUCCAAAUAACAUAUUGUUUUAUAAUUUUAUUUCUUAUUUAAUAUUUUAUUUUAAUUUUAAUAAUGCAUAUUUUAAUUUUAUUUUACCUAAUAAAACACUGGUGCCGCCUCUGGCACCCACAUGACCCAUUUUUUAUUUUUUUUCGUUUUCAGUUUUUUUCUUUUUCAGUGUUUUUUUUACUGUUGCGGGUCACUGUUCACCGUCACGUCAGGGUGGUGCCGCCUGUCAGAGUGGCGUGACCACCCUGACCAUACCAUUUUCGUAAUUAGAUUUUUAAGUGUAUUAUUUUGGAAUUUUUUAAUUUUUUUAUAUUUCUUUAGUAAAAAACCCGUAAAAAAAAGAAGCUAAUUUAAAAAAAAUUAAUGAAAUAAGUUGAUUUUGGAGAGAAAAGGUGAAGACGCAUCCAGCUGGGCGUGUUUUCAAUUGAGUUUGUAGGAAAACGCAUCUUGAUGGAUGCAUUUUUAUAUUCUUUCAACUUGGUCGAGUUUAGGGUUGAAAAUAUGGAGAGGCCGAUUUAAUUGUGUUCGUGUUUAAGUUAGACAUUGUGAAAGCUUAAAGGUAUAUUUUAGUUGAUGGUGAUGUGAUAACACUGGGAGACCUAUACAUUUCUACUAUCGUGUCAGGAUGGAACUAUUGCCUUAGAAGCUCAUCGCAUUGCAACUCAAGCUUCGAGUUCACGGUACUUAUAUGGUCACUAAUUGUAAUAUAACUAGGGCUCCUAGUUGACAGAUGUUAAUGUAAUAUUUUCAGGUUCUGGAAACUUUUCAAGGGGAUAAAAAUGGGAAAGAGAAAAUGAUCUACCCAUGGCACGUUUUCAGUUAUAUGGUAGAAAGAUGCAAUGAAAGAACGUGUCCCAAUUUCAACCCUCUUGAAAAGUUUCCAAAACUCAAGAAUCCCUAUCCUCAUUUUUCAGAUAUCUCAGGAAUCUCAGUGUAUUAUUUGAUUAAUCGAGGCAUAUUUUUUGUUUUCUUUUUCACUCGUUGUCCACCCAGUUGCCUAUAUAAAGCUAGUAUUUGUUAUAAAGCGAGUGGUCAUUAUGCUGAGAUGUUCUAACCUAAAAUUUCGAGCAAACUGUCUCUAGGAGGAGAUUUGCAUAAUAAUAAGGUUGUUUACGUGAAAGAAUUGAAUUUCAUAAAUUGACCAAAUACACGUAAUUAUAUCAAGUAAGUUUCGUUGUUGUUGUUAAUGGAUAAUUGGUACUUUACUUUUCUACAUAAUGUUUUGGUUUUAAACAUGUGAAACAGGUUAUCUGGUUGAAAAUGAAUGGACGGGUUAAUGUUGUUGUUUAUUACAAUGGUGAAAUUCGUGACAUAGACAUUGGGGUCGUUUUUUAUCAGCCUAUACAAUGCAAUUGGCUUUCAACCCGAACAUUUAAUUGUCGGAGCUCCAAGGAAAAAUUAAGCGAAAAGUAGGCAAUUCGAACUGCAAAAAUGUCAUUCUUGAAGUAUAAAUAUUUAGCGUUAGAGGACCUCGUAAAAUAUGAAAUAUUUAAUGUUAGAUGCUAAUGGUGAUUGAGGCGAUGACCUAGAUUCAUAUUGGAUCACCUAUACUUGAGUUAUAUGCCAAGCUUGUCAAUGGCGAUGAAGGUUGUCGGAGGUUGAAAACUAUUCCAGUUAAUGCCAAAAUGGAAUAGGAAGCUGAAAGUCUAACCACACGGCUGUGUGGUUGGUUCACAGCUUUGUUACAAAGCUCUUAUUAUGAAAUAUCGAAAUCAUCAAUGAGAAGACAUUCAUCGGUUUUAGCCCAAUAUUUCAAUUUUAACACACUGCACAUCCACUAGUCAAGGUUUAUCGGUAAUCGAAACUUCGAUACCCUGACACGAUAUUCUAUUAGUGCUUUUGAUUUCAACUUCCAAAUGCUAAUGUUCUACGUCGGAAACAUUAAUAUAAAUAUGCCAUCAAGUUACACCAGCGGGCAAUUUGCAAGUGAUUUUGGUUGUAACAACAUGUAUAUAAGAAUGGAUGAUGUAGUACCCUACAACUUGCAUCAACGAAGGGACAUCCAACAUUGGACAUGCAACUAGGGUUGAGAUCAAAGAGAGCACUAAAUUCGACAAUGAUCUAAUCCGAGAGUCCAGGUCGGAGGGUUCAAAAAUUGCAUUAUUUUCUAAACCAGAACCAAUUCCAACUGAACCAAAAAAUGAUGGUUCCGACAAUGAAGUCCGGACAAUGUUGACAAAAUUGAUAUGCGUUUCAAGGCAUACUCGCAUCUGAUUUACAUGCAUACUGUGGACCUCUCAAUUGAAGGUGAGUUAGAGUUUUCAAAACUCCCUCACAAAAAACAGGACUAUACGAGUUAUUCGUUAAAUUUGGGCGAUUUACAAGUGGGGAUGGAAUUUUUCUUGAAAGAUACUUUUGUCCCUACAAUGAAGCGAUACGACAUGAGGCACGGGGUAAACUUCUACGUUGUUAAAUCCCGGUUGAAGAAAUUCGAGGCCAAGUGCGCAAUCCGUGACAACAGAUGUCAAUGGAAAAUUAUAACAUUUGUGAGAAAGAAUAUAGGGCUCAGGAUAAUCAAUAAAUAUAAUGUUCUGCAUAGUUGUGUUGUCACAGGUAAGUGACAAGAUUGUUCAAUAUAAACGUAUGGUGGCCUCAUAUAUGAUAUUGAACUCCUAAUUUUGAAAUAUCAUGUUGUUGCAGGUAUGGCACAAGAUCAUUCAAAGUUGGAUUUGGACAUGAUCUCGGACAUUAUAUUACCUAUGAUGAAAACAAGUUUUAGGAUUCACGUGCCAAUUAUAAUUACCAAUAUCUAUAGUCAAUUCGAUUACACACUAUUGUACCACAAUGUAUUGAUCGUAAAACAGAAGACUAUAGAGAAGAUGCAUAACGAGUGAGAUAAAUCAUAUAAUGAUUUGUGGCAAUGGUGUUAGGUACUGCAUUAAUACGUACCAGGUUCCAUAACCGAUCUAUAAACGAAGCCUGCGUACUUCCACAAUCAUUUGGUCCAUGAGGAAAGAGUUUUCCAUCGUGUCUUUUGGACUUUUGAACUAUGCAAAGAAGCAUUUUGGUACUAUAAGCCAUUGGUACAAAUCAAUGACACAUUCCUAUACAAGAGAUAUGAGCAUCAAUUGUUGUUUAUUGCUGCACAGAAUGGUAAUAAAAAAAUUCUGCCAAUAGCCUUUGCAGUAACGCUGGGAAAAAAGGUAGAUGAUUGAUAUUUCUUCCUGUUUAACUUGAGAAGGCAUGUUGUCCCGUAACCUGAUAUAUGUGUUAUCUCUGACAGGGGACCCGGAUAUUGACAACAAUUGAAUGACAUAAAAGCUUUUGGGAUCACAUACAAUAGAUAUUGUAUAAGACAUGUAGUUGCUAACUACCACGGACAACAACAUUCUGUAGUUAGCGGACACAAGUCAUUAACAUGGGUAUGUGUUCACCACUAUUUCAACUAUCAUGCUUUAACUGCUUUGCAGUGUUUGCAUUCAUGGAUAAAUUGUUUAUUUUAUUCGACAAGGUACAAGCUCGUCCAACAUCGUUUUCAUGAAAAUGUUAAAGAAAUUGCGGGUUAUUAACGAUCGUGGUGCGGCGUACCUCGCUAACAUACCCUUAAACCAGUGGAGUUAAUUGUACAAUGGGGGUCAACAGUAUAGACACGUGACAACGAACCUAACAGAAUGCAUCAAAUUCGUAUUGAAGGGACACAUCAUUAGUCGGUAACCUAUGUGGUGAAAGAAACAUAUUUCCAUGCCGGCUCAAGGACAUAAAAAUGAAAUAAUAUUAUGAUAAUUGUAUUAUCGAAUUAAUUUUACCUUAGUAUGAGUGGGAAAGUAUAAGGGUAGUCGACUUGAGGGAGUAAAAAUGGUAGUCGAAACAAUACUCAAGACUACAGAAGAAGUACGUAACCACCAAUUUUAAUGUUUUAUGGUUUUGUCGCCCGAUACAUCUCUCAGUAUAAUGUUGCCAACAUGACUGAUCCCCAACUAAGUCAGCCAACUUCUUUCAAGUCGACGAGUUGUAGCAACCACCUUAAAUGUACAAGAGUUUGAGAUUUAUUGGGCAUUAGAACACCUCUAGUUAACCUCAGGACGUAUGCUCGGGUGUGUUGUUCUAUUUUAAGGGGACUUGAACUCUCGUGGAGAUAUUGGAAAUUUUCUUGCAACCAUUUCAUCUCUAUCUGGCUAUCGAAAAACUUGUCUUGCACAUUGCCUAAUAGUUGCUCGCAAAUGUUGUUCCAAUCACCAACGACCGCUGAUCUCAUAACGACUGGUUCAUCCAUUAAUAAACUGAGCUAUAAUUAAAAGUAUUCGAAUGUGAUUGUACAAUCACCACAUGGGAGAUGAAAUAUGUGUGUCUCAGGUCUCCAUCUUUCGACCAGCGUGCUGAUAAGUGUAGGGUCUAAUUUACACACUCGAGCAUACAUGACACACAUAAGAACCCUACAUCUUCCAAAUAGGGUUCAAUAAUAGGUGAUGGCCUCGAAGAUAGAUUGUGUAUAUAUGUCUCCAAAAUCUAAUCUUCGACCUGAUUAUAAAAAAACAAAAAAGAUUAAAUUUAGAAAUAUUUUAUUACCAUUUGCAAUUGGACCGCAGAAAUACGGUUAUCAUUCAAACGAAUAAGAGUAUUUGUCAUCACAAAAUUCAAUUAAAACAAAUGAAAAUCGACAUACAGUAUUAAAUCAAGAUGAACUUGAGAGAAUUUUAAUUAAAUUUUUAGAACUAAAAUCUUGAGAGAAUUGAAUUUGAAUGAAAAAACGAGGAAAAGACUUGAGUUUAUAUAGCACUAAAAUUAGUCAUUUUUAUGGUUGUUGGGGAAAAACGCGUCCAAUGAGAGGCGUUUUGUGGCCUUGAUAGGGUAAAAACGCAUUUAACUGGACGCGUUUUCAUAUUCUCUCCCUAAAAUCGACCUAUUCCAGUAAAUAUCACAGAAACCGACCUAUUCCGUUAAUUUAAAAAAAAAAGCUUUUUUAACUAAUUUAACCAUUUUCGUAAAGAGAUCUAUGAUAUCCAAAAAUAAUCUAAGUUAGAAAUUAAAUGUAAAAAAAAAAAAGAAAAAAAAGAAGAAGAAAGAUUGCAAUACCAUUCCAGUGUAUAUCAUACCACAUUAGAUUUUGGAAACAAAAAGUAAAAUAAAAUUUUGGAAAAUAUGUAGUAACUCAUUAAAAAAAACUAUAAGUAAGUUUUUAAUUUGGUUAUUUAGUUAUAAAAAUUAUAAUUUGGUCAGUGAAUUAUCUAAAAGUUUUUAUUUUAAGUAACUAUCCUGUUAAGUUUUUUUUUUAAAAAAGUUACGCUAACAAGUUUCAAGCGACGAUUCAACGAUCGAUACGGUAAAUCAAUACCCAUCAAUGAGUAGAAGAACAUAAUUUAGAUCUAAAUCAAUCUGAUGAUCAAUGAAAGAAAUCUGAAUUGUAGAAGAGAACGAGAAAGAGAGCUUUUGAUUGGUGCAGACAGUGCAAACAAAGAAAGCCAGAUAACAACAAUUUUGACAGCUUUGUGACUUAAAUGAAAACUUUCGAAUAGUCAACGACAAAAUUGUAACUUUUUAGUUUAGUGGCCAAAACCAAAACUUACUCAUAAUUUAAUGACUAUUGGUAUAAUUUACCCAAAAUAAAAUAGUAUUUAGUUUUUAUUGAAUAUAAAAAUAUAACAAAAAAAUAAGACGUAAAUAAAGUUGAAUCCAAUCUUGUCAUGUUUCAUAAGUAUAAAUUGAAUGUUUUUAUUUUAGGAAUAAUUCUUUUUAAGAUCACCUUUAUUUUUAAAGUUUAUGAUUAGGUCUUUUCAUACUUUAUAUGUUUAUAUCAUGGUUCUUAAAAUUUAAUAAUUCAUACUUCAUACGAUGAUUUUUAAAUUUUAAUCUUUAUAUUUCUAUAAUUAUUAAAAAAAAUACAGUUUACCAUCUAGAGUUAAAAAAUUUUAAUUAUAAAAAAAGUGCGAUUACUACUUAAUAAUUAUAUAUAUCUUUAUAAUUACUCUGUACGAAUACAACCUCAAAAUUAAUUAUUUACGCUUAAAUAUGUAGAUGAAAACUCACAUCAAAAUCUUUUGUUUUUGCGUAUAUGAUGUGAUGUCACAACAAAAAUAUUACACUUUGGGGUGAAAAAUCAUAAUUAUCCAAAUCAAAUUCUUAAAUCACUUAAUAGGUUUCUCUUUUAAUCACAAUGCUAAAGAAAUUUUCGAAAUGAUAUUUGUUAAACAAUUAAAAGUAUUGUCAUUAUGUUAAAACUUUUAUAUUCAAUUUCAUUAGAAUGAUUUGAUUACAAGAGUUUAAGGGAGAAACAUUAAUAUUGUACACAAUAAUAAUCAUAGAGAAUGUGCAUAUGUAACCUUUAAUUUGCAAUAAUAAUCAUAGUGUUAUUUUUUUAAGAAUUUUUUUUCAUAUUUUUUACAUUAUAAUUUUGAUUUAUAAUUUUUGAAUUUUUCAAAAAAAAUUAAUUUUUUAUAAUUUUUAAAUUAUUUAUUCACAUGGUAAAAUAAAAUAAUAUUAUAAUAGGGAUAAAAAGUUGAGGGUUACUUUACUCCAAAUUAAAGGAGUUAGGCAAGGACUAGAUUUAUUAUUAUCUCUUAUAUAUAAAAGAAAAACUAAAAUAAGCAUUUAAUCGCACCUAAAUUAUUUUACUAAUUCAUCUUACAAAGUCCAGUUUACCCUGAGACCAAAAUGCAACACUAUAUAGAGAAAAUAAUAUUUUCUAUACAAAUUUUAGAUUUUGAAAAAUAAGUUAAUUUAAUAAAAGUGUGGAUAAUUUAUUUAAAGAUGAGAGGUUAUGUAAAUAUUAAUGGGUUAUUUAAUUAAGCAAUGAAACUUUGAAAGAAAAAGAGAAUGUUUAGAUAAUUUUGAUAAAUUUUAUAUUUGUGUUUCUUACAAGCAAAUAAUUAUACUUGGAUUAGAUUUUGAGGGUUAGAAGUUGACCUAAUGGAAGAUGUAAAUGUAGCACCUAAUUUGUCACCCUGCCCACCAAUGGGACAUAUUAUUGUUGCCAAUUUUAAGAUUAUCCAAUUGAAUCAUUCUGUCUAAUUUUUACCUCAUGGUGAUCAAAAUUAAUUAAAUAAUGGUUUAUAUUUAUUCAUCUAUAUAUAUUUUUAGUAAAACUUUUGAUACAUGAAAAUAGACAUAUUUAUUAUGUAGUAGCACCUCCAAAUUAUGGGACUUUCGGCUAUUUUCACAUAUGUUUCUAUUCUAUAGAAUUUAUAUAUCUAUACACCCGCAUUAUUUUUAAUAUCUAUCAUGUUUUUACUUUUUUAAAAUCAUAAACUCCAGAUUCAAAGGGUUGAGAUCAAUUAAAGGAAAACUUCAAAAGAUUUUCAAUAUUUACAUCUCUUCUAUAUAUACUAAGGAAUUAAAGUUUAAACUAAAAAAUCGAUUGCACCUGAACUUAGUUGGUACACAAAAAAUAAAAAGUGAGUAUGUAUUUAUCUUUCAAUUUAUGAAUUAAGUGAGAUUGUAAGUAAUAAUAUAAAUUGUAUAAAAAAUUUAAAUUAAAAAAGAAAGAGAAAAGAACUUUUAAAAUCCAAGACAAUUUUGAGGCCUUUCAUAAUGCACACUUGUCCCUUGUUUUUCUCUUAUCUUUUGAUAUGAGAAUAUUAUGGGUAAUUUUUUAGAUUAUAAGAAUAGUUAAUUUUCAAAUUGAUCUUUAUAUUUUAUAUACUUUAACUUUGACAUAAUUUGAUACCUCAAUUUUUAUAGUAUCAUUAAUUAGUCUAACUACUUUAUUCUAAUUAAAACGAUGAUGUGAAUUUUUAAGGAUUGUUAGCACACUUAAAAUUUUUUAUUAAAUUCAAGUCUAUUAUAACAUUAAUUUUUUGUUACAUGGAUAUAAAGUGAGUUUUUUUUCUUUCAAAAUGUCAAACCAACGAAUUUAACAAAAGAAUUUUAAAUUUGUUAACAAAUGGACCUAAAAUUUUAAAUUUAAAAAGUAAAGGAACUGAAUUUUUAAAAAUAAAAGUAUAAAUAUUAAAUUCUAAAUAUAAAAAAAUUAAACAAAUUAUAACAUUUAAAUUUUUAAUAUAUAAUUUAAUCCAUAAAUAAACAAUUAACCCAAUCCGAAGCAUACAUGAAAAUUAUACUAAUAAUAUAUGAAACUUAGAUUUACAAUGGAAGAAUCAUGUUAAGUUUUCUAAAUAAGAAAAAAAAAAAUACAACCUAAUUCAUAAGGCUCAACAAAUCUUCUUUACCAUAUAAAAAUCUUAAAACAUUUAAAAGUUAUUUUUAAAUUGAGAUUCACCUAUUUUUAUAGUUAACAUUUUAUUUAUUAUUAAUAAUGUAGAUUUAAUUAUAAAUCAAUUUAUCAUAUAUUUUUAUAAUUAAAUUUCGGAAGAAUAUUUAAUGUAUAGUAGGUACAUAAAUUUUAUGCAUAGUGAAUAAUAACAUCACACAUCAUUAUUAAAUAAAAUAAAAAAAUAAUAGAGGACUUAUAAAUAAAUAUUAAUAACUUUAUUUAAACAUAGUUAAAUAAUAAUUAGUUAUAAAUAAACCUAAAUUUUAAACUCUAAACUCGAUACUCAAAAUUCAAUACCCUAAACCCUUAAAUCCAAUAUCCUAAGUGCAAGAUUCUAAACUCGAGAGUUAUUUAUAUUUAUUUACUUAUAAUAGUUAUAAUUAUAUUUAAUUAUGUUUAAAUUUAAAAGUUGAUAUACUUUUGUUUAAUUUAAUGAUAAAAUAUUAUAAUAUGAAUCAUUAAUAAUGUACAAAAUUUAUAUACGAAUAGUACAUCAAAUAUUAUUCCUUAAACUUUUAUUUAUUAAAUAAUGAUACAAAUUUAAAUAAAAAUUAAUUCAAAUUCAAAAAAAAAAAAAAUCAUAUGUGAAGCACUUAAAAAGUUUAACGCAUCUCUUUUUGAAAAAUUUCUUUACUCAACUGUUGUUUCUGGAAGUUUCCUUCUCAAUUUCUCAUCCAUCCCCAAAGAUUGAAACUCAAUUUCCACCCCUUUUUACCUUUUUAAAAAAAUCAAGAUCUGAAAUAUCACUAAUCAAUAGUUAGUUUGCCAAAUUAGGUAUUAAUUUAUUAAUUAAACAAACUAAUCAUGUCUAAUCUAAACUUUGGAUUUUUUAUUUUAUUUUACUAUCUAAAACUAUUUUUAUUUAGAUAAUAAUAUACAGAAAUGAAUAGGAACAGAAAGUUUAAAAAAAAAAAAAGAAAUAUUCAAAGAAGGAUGCAUGCAGGCUGGCAUUGCCAACUACUAAAUGCAAGUUGUGUUAAGGAAGUCAUGGUGGGAUGAUAAUUUGCUAAUUAUAAAACAGAGAUGGUCACAGUGUACAUGUGAAUUUGUUGAUUUAUGUAGGUAGAAUGUUUAUUCAAAUCCACCUUCCUUCCAAAAAUAUGAGAUUUUCUGCUCAUCAUUUUGGCCAAUCAGACACCCAACACCCAAACCAAGCAUAUGACUUAAUUUUGGGCAAAUCUAAUUUUAAUUUGCUUCAUUUAGAUUUUCUUAAAUAUUUUACUUUAUGACAUAUUUCUUCUUCUAGUCUGGAAAUAUGUGAGAUUUAAUUUGAAAACUACGUAUUAACCCUAUAUAACUACUUUACAAUUUUAAAAUAAAUAACAUAAUUAAUGUAAUGGUAUAAUAUUAAAAAAAUUAUGUGAUAUAUUCCAGAGAUCCAUAUUUAUAUUAUAAAUGUAUUUAAUAAUAAUUUUAUUUUUAAUUAGAAAUUAAAUGCUUUAUAUAUAUAUAUAUAUAUAUUUUUUUUUGGUAAGAACUCCUUAUAUACCAUAUUUUUCGUGUAUAUAUAAUUUAAAGCAUUUGUAAAAAUUAUAAAAAAUAAUAUAUUGUAAAUUAAACUUUUUAUUUUUUAUUUUAUUUUCUUAAUAGCCAAUAUAUUAGCUAUAAUAAUUUAUUCAAAAUAUAUAAUUAAUAUUAAUAUAAUAUGUUAUAUUAUAAAAUGCAUUGUUUAUAAAAUUUUACAUAUGAAAUAUAAAAUUAUUUAUUAUAUAAAUAAUUAAAAUUUUCUAUUUAAAACAAAAGUAAUAUUUUUUGGGUUAAUUGAAACAUAAUGAUUUAAAUAUAAAUUUUUAAUUUUUAAUUAUUAAAUAAAUUUUUUAACCAAUUAUUUUAAUAAAAUUAAAAGUCUUAUAUAUAAAUAUGUAAUAGAUCUUAUAAAUAACAAAAAAAUAGAUAAAUUACCUAAUUAGCCACUGAACUGAACUUUGUUACAUGUUUCUAUUUUGGUCAUCGAUCUAUGAAAAAUCUAAUUUGAUCAUAAACUAUCUAAAUUUGUUUCUUUUAGCCACUAUGUUGUUAAGUCUAAAACAAUUGGAUGACUUGCCUAUUAUAAAUUACAUGAAUUGUCACUCAACUAUGAGAAUGUUUUUGUUUUGUCACUCAACUAUAUAAAAAAUAUAUAUAAACAUUCUUAAUAGAAUUUGGAGCUAGAAAGUUUUUUAGAUAAGUUUUUAUUUGAUGCUUGUAAGAUUUGAGGGGUUUUUUUUGGCACUAGAGAACCAUUGUUAUAAUAUAAAAAUAUCAAUGACUUACGAUCUUUCUAGCAUAAAAAACUAAAAUUUUUUUAGUUUUUUAUUGUUGGAGAAGCACCAUAAUUUACCCGCAACUUAUGAUCUUUCUAGCAUAGGAAAUUGAAAACUUUUAAGUUUUCCUAUCUUGAAAAACAUCAGCUAAGAGCAUGAAAUAAUAGACAGAGAGAAAAAAAAAAUCAAUAAUUAGAAAUAAAUUAACAAAUUUUGUAAAUGUUGAUGGUUAAAUUUAUUAGAUUUUUUAGAAUUAGGACUAAACUUCGUCAAACUUCUAUUAUCAACUUAAUUAUAUGGUGACUAAAAAAUCUAAUUUCAAAAAAUUUAAUAAAACAAUAAAAAAAUUAUAGUUAAGGUAACUAAAAUAAAAACACUCUUCUAAUUAAGUCACCAUUUAUGUAAUUUAUAACAACGACUUUACCCAACCAUGUCAAACUUAACUUGACAAUUAAAUUAAAACAUUCAGUUGCAAAUUGCACAAGGCUUAAAAAAUGAAUUCAGAUAGUUUAAUGAUUAAAUUAAAAAUUUUAAUAAUUCGGUGAUCAAAAUAGAAACACAUGAAAAAUUAAGUGACUAAUUAAAAAUUUACCCUAAAUACGUAUAAAACAACAAAUAUUAUAUAGUAAACAAUAAAAAAUUAUCUAAACUCAUAGACAUACAUAGUUGAUUAAAAUAGCAUUAUUGCAAUUAAAUGUAGUUUAAUUAAAAUGUAGUUCACUUAGAAAUUGGAUUUACUGUUUUGAUCAAUGAUGAAUGGUGAUGUCUAAACUACACUACUCUUCCAUAAAAAGAUGAUGAAAUUGGAUGAAUUGGUCUUUUCAGCUUCUUCAGCUACGGGGUCCAAGUGCUGAUGGGAUGGGAAAGGUCACAUUUGCAAAUGGAAGAGGCGGUGAUUGGGCCCACCAUCAAUUUUGGUUUUUAUUCUUAAAAAUUAUUUUCAUAUCUUAUUCCACCACCGACAAUUACACGUUUUCCUGUCAAUCAUUCGUUCAUCCAUUUGACUUUAUUCCACCCUCCCCUCACAUCGUGUCCUGCGUCACCAUACAAUACCAUUUAUACCCCUAUAAAUAAUAUUAAUUAGAAACAUAAGGUAGAAAAUAAAUUAUUUAAAAAAUAGUGUUUGUCACUAUAAUUUUUUAAUAAACUUUAAAACAUAUAUAACAAAAAAAGUUAAAAAAGAGAAAAAAAUAUUUUAUUAAUUAGUGCCGUCAAUGUAUCACAUGAUACUCUCUUACUUAAAUUAAAAAAAAAAAAACUGUAGUUUGAAAGAUUAAAAGCAGACAAGACAUUAAAAUAUUAAAUGCAAAGAAAAGAUAUUGAGGCAUUAAACGUAUGUAGAGAAAAGACUAGACCGGAAGCACAAACCAUUUUUUAUUUUUUAUUUUUCACUUUUUUUAACUUUUUUUUUUUUACCAAGGCUUCUUUUUUAAAUUCAUUAGUAUUGCCGAUAUUGGGUGGCAUCACAAAUUUAUUUUUUUCACUUUUUUAACUUUUUGUUCUGUCAAAAUUUUUUUAAAAGGUUUACUAGUGCUGCCAAUAUGUUAAGUAAUAUUUAAAAUUACUAUAACAAAUAUUUUAUUUUCAUAAUUAAUUAAUUUUUUAUUUUAUUUUUAUAAUUAAUUAAUUUUUAAUAUUAUUUUUUAUAAAAAAUCACAUUUAUUUUUUUUCAAUUUAUUUGAAAAUUAAAUUAAAACACUGGGUUAUAAAUUGCAUCAAAUUCAAUUUAUUAUUACGUUCAAGAGUAUAUAAUUAAUAAUUUAAAUACUGAGAGUGAUUUGUGAUCAAAUUUUCUACUAAUAUUAAUUUCAAGUUUAAUUUUAGGUAACUUCCAUUCAAUGAUGAAUGUUGACACUCGACUUUGGAAGGGUUAAUUAAAUAUUAAAUUUAUAUAUAUUUAAUUAAAGAUUUUUUAUUACAAAUGUUCAGUUAUACAAAAAAAAAUCAGUUUUUUAAUUAACAAUUUUUAAAUUAUUACAAAAUAAUUAUUUUGAUUUUUUAUAUUUUCAAAAUAUACAUCUUUGAAUAGAGAGAAUAAAAAAAAUAUUUCACAAAACGAAAAACCUAAAAAAACAAAAUUUCGCCUGCUUAUUUAUUUAUUUAUUUGGAUAUGUUAUUAAUAAUUUUUAAAUUUGGAUAGUCCAAGGCUUUAAAUACAUCAGUCAAACCAUUAAAGUCCCAUAAAAUCUAGUUUAGGAAUUGAAAAUAUAAACUGAAUUAAACCAAAAGAGAUAAUUUUGUUGAUUUAAUGUUCCAUGGGAAUAUCUAAUUUCAUCUCUCUAAAUACAUAUGUUUUGUGUUCAUUUCUUAUUGAAUUAUUAUAUAUGUAUUUUUUGCAUUUUUAUUUUUAAAUGCAUAUGUUUUGGUUUUCUAUUUAUAAUUUAUUUAUGCUUUUUAAAAUUUUAAAUCAUUUUUAUCAUUUUUAUCCAAAAAUGAUAUUUUUAAAUAUUUUUUAACUUUUAGAAUUAGAAUUAAAUGGAUAAAUUUUGUAAAUAUUCGAGUCAAAUUUAUUGAAUUUUUUAUAAGUAAAAUUAAAUGACAUUUUUUAAAAAUUAAAAAUUAAAUUUGUUGAAUUUUUAGAUUUCGAAUCAAAUUGUUAAAAUAUGCAAGUAUUAAAAGGCUAAAUUUAUUAUUAGAUCAAUGAAAAAAAGCCUAGCUUUGCUUUCUAUUAAAAUUUAAAAUUUAAAAACAUUGGUGAUAAAAUUGAAAAUUUUUAAAAUUAGUUGACCAAAAUAAUAAUUACCUAAAAAUUGGGUAACCACCCAGAUAGUUUACCAUAAAACUUUAUUAGCCAAUUUUCAUACCAAUGUAAUUUAAAAAAAAAAUAGACUAUUAUUAAACUAGUUAUGCAUAAAGUGAAGGUAAAAUUAGUCAAAAUUAAAAAAAAAAGGAAAAAAAGAAGAAAAGGCUUUGUGUUUUAGAUUAAUUAGGGAAAUAAGUUGAUUUUACACAAUCAGUGGAUAUACAAGUAAAAAAGCCUCUGUAAGAGGCAGACAUCAAUCAUAAAAAAUGGCAUGAGAAUCUUGGAAUUCGUUUUCAUCAAAGUAAUAUAACAUCAGAGGUAAGAUUAUAAUUCAAAUUUAGAUGAUAGUGUGAAAUACCUCUAAUAAUGCAAUUAUGUAGUCUACAAUUUUGUUUUCUUUCUCACUAAUGCCAUAAUUUUUCAAAGACAUCUAUCGUCACAUAUUUAUCCAAGAGAAAUUUCAUAAAUUCAAAUAUACAAUAUUAUAUAUUUGGAAUAAGUUUUUUUUUAAAAAAAUAAUUGCAUAUCCAAAAUAAAUAUUACAAAAAAUAAUGUUAAAUCUUCCAAAUGGAAAAGCUACAAAUUCUAUUUCUUACAAUUGGUUUUAGCAUUGUUUCACUCUAAAACUACCUUAAAAAACUACGGUCAACAGAGUGAAUGAAAUGAGGUGAAGUAACCUUUGAAUUAUACUAAUUUUCCAUUCCCUUUCUUUUGAUCACACCCAUAGCCAUAUGUAUCUUAUGAUCGCUGCCCAAAGCCAAAGAGGUACCACUUCUAAUUUCACCCAAAUCAGUUUUAGUAGUGUAGUCAAACAAAGACUUCUUAAUUUCACCCAAAUCCGUUUAUAGAACAGAUGAUCUCCACAUUACCUGAGUUAGCCAAAGGUGUUUCCAAUCCUGUAAUCUUCUCUGCUUCAUCCCAUACAAUAGUCACUCCCUGCUCUUUGACUACCAUAGCUGAAACAGUAUCUAUCCAGGUGCCACUAAGUUGGCAGUCAUUUCCUGCUUUUAUUUUGAAUAUGAUUAUGAUGACCUCUUUCAUUGGCAAGGUUUCUUAGUAGGCAAGGACACUACUUCUGGUGAACUAUCAGUUGUAGAAAACUGUUUUGAAACUUCAGACAUCACCAGUAGUCUCCGCAGGAGCAAACUCCCAUGGAAAUAUGGUGGAACCGGUUCUUGUCCCUCAAGUACACUUCUCUCAUAUAAAUCUUAGAAACAAAUUUAGCGAAGUUAUGGCAAUCAACGCAAAUCCGGAGGUUUUUAAUCACACGGAGUGGGGCUCUAUCAGAGGUUGAAAUCAACCCAAAAGUCAAUGCCAAUUUCUCACUGUGGCCUAGGAGUAUCUUCUCCUUCUGCUCCUCAUCCACAUCAUGUAAAACACAACUUAAAUCAGGAACGUAUCCGGCUUCCUUGAAUUUUAUUGAUAACUCUUUCAUCUUUGCAAACACCUCUUCCCUUCUUGGAUGCGAACGAUCACUUGCAUGGAAGGAAUGAUGGGUUUGGUCAAGCUCAAUCCAACUCUUUCCUGGCUCUUUCUUCACAGCUUUCUUCAACAUCAAAUCUCUCACCAUUCUUACAUCUUCCCAUCUCCCCGUAGAAGCAUAUAAAUUUGAUAGAAUAACAUAGUUCCCUGCAUUCUCGGGCUCAAUUUCUAGCAGUCGAUGCCCUACAAAUUCACCAAUGUCGAUGUUUGAGUGAACCCUACAAGCACCUAGAAGUGAACCCCACAAAGCAGCAGUUGGUUCAAAAGGCAUCUUUUUGAUAAAUUCAAAAGCCUCUUCUACUCUACCAGCACGCCCAAGCAAAUCUACAACGCACCCGUAGUGCUCAAUGUCAGGCUCGACCCCAUCUUUCCCAUUCACCAUUUCCUCAAAGAUUUCCAAUCCCACAUUUUCCAUCCCUCCAUGGCUGCAACCAGAUAAAACACCCAGCAGAGUGACACUGUCAGGUUUUAUUUUAUUUUCAUUUCUCAUCAAUUUGUAUAGCUCCACUACCUCUCUUCCCAUUCCAUGUUUGCUGUACCCCACAAGCAUUGCAUUCCAUGAAAUAACAGUUCUCUCAGGCAUGUUAUCAAAUAUCCUUCUCGAGUAAAUGAGGUUCCCACACUUUGAGUACAUAUCGAUCAAAGAGUUCUGAAGUACCACAUAGAAGGGAAGUUUACAUCGCAGUACAUGGUUGUGAACUUGCUUACCAAGAUCUAAUGCUGCAAGCCCAGAUAAUGCAGUUAGAACACUUGCAUAAGUAACAUAAUUUGAACUCAUUCCUUCUAAAUUCAAUCUUCGGAAUAAUUCUAGUGCCUCUGCAUCUAACCCUAACUGAGCAUACCCUGAAAUUAUGGCAGUGCAUGAAACAACAUCCCUUUCUGGCAGGCUUUCGAAAACCUCUCUAGCUUCAUGAAUUCUACCAGCUUUGGCAUACAUGUCAAGAAGUGAGCUCCCAACAAAUAUAUGGGUGUCAAGAGUUCUCUUGAUUAUAAGGGAGUGGAUUUGCCUUCCCAGCUCAAAACCAAAAGUCCCCGUACAAGAAGAUAGUACAGUGGCAAAGGUGAAUUCAUUCGGUUCAGUAACUGCAGCAAGGUCAUGUCACCACAGGUAACAAGAAACCAAAUCAAAAUAAGUAAGGUGCCAAUCCAUUUUAAUAAAAGGCGAUUCAUAAACCACCAAGAAUAAGUUAUAUCAUCCGUUGACAAUACGGGAUUUUUAGUAAACUACCACAACAAGACUUACAAGACUGAAAAUGUGAUUUUUACAUUAGACAUUACCAAUCUCUUUUAGCUCAUAUUCUUUUAACUGAUUAUAGAGCGAUAACUCCGUAUUGAAAUUUAGAAGCCAAGUCUACACAAUAAACAUCCCAUUUUCUAAAAUAAAAAAACUCGAAACGUAGCAAACUGAGUCCACGUUAACAUCUCUAGAAUUGUAUAGAAAUGUAGCAAAAAUUGUAUAGAAUCAUGCUAGCGAUAAAUACCUGAUCUUAACAUCUCUAGAAAAAGAUCCAACGCUUCAGUGGCAAACCCUCUUUGAGAAUAAGCAGAAAUCAUGGCAGUCCAAGAAACCACAUUCUUCUCAGGCAUUUCAUCAAGCACAUUCCUUGCCUCCCUCAAACGAUCACAUUUACUGUAAAAAAUGAUCAGCCUGUUUCGAAGGUAAACAGGCGCUAAAUAUCUUGUUUUGAUCAUAUGGGCAUGGACCCUUUGGCCCUCUCUAAAUGCCCUUUUCUUUAUACAAGCAUUUAAUAGCAUAUCAUAGCUUUCAAACUUCAUUUCAAGGCCUGGAGCCGCCAUUUCUAUCAAAGCUUCUUUCAGUUGACCAUUGGAGCAUAAGGUAGUUAAAAUAAUUUGUGAGUCUGGCGGGAAGGUAGUGAGAGUUAGCUGGUGAGUGGUAAAGGAGCUGAUUAAAGAUGAAAAUGGUGCACUUUUGGGAUAGUAAUGGAAAAGGCAGUUCAGCUUUCGAAGUAAAUUCAUCUUCAAAAACUAUAUCUUUCUAAACUCAGUGACAUUUAUUCUUUAUGGCACUAAGAAAAAUGUCACAAAAUCUACGUAUUAUCUCAGUGAAUGAAAUAGUUAUAACGGAAAAGAUUUAACUUUUUCCUUAUGGGUUCAUAUUCAUAUUAUAUAAAAAAAGAUUAUUCUUGUUGAACCCAUCUUAAAAAAGCCAUAUUUAAAAUGAUUUUUAAAUAGAAUUUAAUUAAAUUUUAUACAGUACGAUUUUAAAUUUAUAUAACUAUACACAUGAUAAAAUUUGUAAAUUAAUCUCGUAAUUUCAAGAUGUGAUAAACACUCUUAAUUAAUGAUUCGGGUUCAAAUUUAAUUAAUUUAUACAUCAUUUAAAAAAAAGUUAAUAUUUGAAAUAAAAAUUCCCCAUCAUCUAUCUCUAUUCCUCAAAGGCUCAAAAUAUGACUUCGUGGCAAUUGGUGAACACUAGUAUCCAUGGCCAAAAGAAAAAAAGAACACAUGAUUAAUUACUCCUAAAAAGUGAAAGAGUGAAUCAAUCAUUUGUGUUAAAUUGCUUUGCUGAUAAAGAGUUUUACAAGUGAAAUUACACCUUCAAAGGUUUGUCCACGCUUACAAUUCGUGUAAAAAUGAUGAAUUCAAUUUGAGCCAACAAGGGAAAUCUGCUCCGAUGACCCCCUUCUCUGUUUGUAGACACCAGAAUGGAAAUUAAGCAAGGAAAUGUUAUUCACAGUAGAAGGCCUGAAGUCCAAAGGAUUAUCCCAUUGCACCGUUCGUCCAUCGAACCAUCUCAUAUUUACAUUCUCAAGAUCCAAACCAUCAAUAUGUUCCAUUAUAAUCCCUGCUGUGCUGUGGUUCACAAGUCCCUGACAUCCUGGCCGAUAGUCAACCAACCCUCCCAUGUAUUUCGUCCAUCGUUUGUAUGUUAAGUUAAUGUUGAUGAAUCUCAAAUUCCUUAGCAGUCCACCUUUAGAACCUGAUAAGAAGAUACCGUUUUCGGAAACUGCGGAGAUGUUUACGAAGUUCAAGUUGGAGAUUGAACCCUCUGAUGAAUCUGAGUGCCGUGGGCAAGUCGUGACAUAAAUCGGUUCCGCCCUCCCCCACCAUGACGGAUCAUAGUAUCUCGUGCUGAUGUUUAUGUUUGAGAAAGUAACGUCACUUACAUUUCCUGCACAAACCAAAAAUUGUUCACUAAGCUAGCGUAAAACCAGGUAAUAUUGACGAUCAAAGAAGAAAAAAAACGAAAACCAGAUAGCGUUACCUCCAUCACGUAUCUGCAAUGCGAGCCCUCUAUGAGAAUCUACAAUAGUAAUGUUGUCAAAGACCAAAUUGUUUAACUCAAACCAGCUAGCACUUCCAAGUUUAAUUGCAGAAGAUUUGGUUCGAAUCCAGGAGUUGGUUGCAGUUAAGUUAUAUAGAGGGGAAGUGUAUGUCUUGGGGCAUAUAGCAUCAUCUCCUGUAUCAAUGUGGCAUCUUGUAAUCACUGUAUUAUUUGAAUCCUCAAUGUCUAUUCCAUCAUUGUUAGGUGUAUUGAAAUCUCCAUAGAUUGAAACAUCAUGGAUAGAUGUGUUUUCACAUCGAACUAUGUGCAAGCUGCAAUUUAUCCAAAUUGUUCAUCAGGAUACAUGGAAUAACCCAAAUCUCUUGUUUAUAUCAUCUAAGCCCUUUUCUAAUAGCAAUUUUCAGGUUUUACUAAUUGUUUCUCUUGAAAUAGAAGAAUAUCAAGUAACAGGAAAUUGUACCUAGCAAUCAAUGAAAAUCAUUCUAUACUUCAAAUCUACAUGAUCAAAUCUUAUAUUCCCUACGUUAUAUCCAUCCUUACAUUCAAAUGUGUUACAUCCAUCCUAAUCUUUCCAUAAAUCACAACAAACCAAAGUAACUGUAGAAACAUGGUAUCCCUUGAAUUUGUACCUUGGAAUUGUCCCUGAAACAUAUAUUCAAUUGCAAGAUGCUUUCCAUUGAAAAAGAAAUAUGAUUUAAAUAAUUAAUUACUAAAUAAUCUUAUAUGAAUUAUAUUCCGAUAGAUAAUAUUAUAUUCUUUGAAGCAAAAGCAACUUAAAGAAAACAAAACAAGUAAUACUAAAAAAAGGGGUGUAACUUGUGUAAGGAGGCAUCCAGCAAAAUUGGAAUUUUGGGUCAAGAGAGAGUCUAAAACGAAGUUGGCCAGCAUUGACCAUCCUCUAGUAGGGGGUUGUCCUCACAGCAGCUAUGUUAUCCCAACCCAAGAAAGAGUGCGAUAUUUAAUUCUUUUCUAAGUUUACCUCAUAUCUUGGGAAAAUUAGACCUCUAUAUUCAUAUCCAAGUAUCCUUACAGAAUAGUAUCAUCAUUGCGAGGAUAACCAGCUAAAAUAUGCAUACGCAUGGAAUGCUAAAACUCACUUACUUGAAAAACCAUGGAGUAUCAAACUAUAGUUAUAAUAAUAUGUAACUUUAACAGUAAAAGCCUCACAUGCAAUGUGUCAGCCACGGAUAGGGGCAUCCACGACUGCCAAGUCUGUAUUGAAAUUGAAUAAAAUAGAUCGCUUCCCCUCAGAUGCAAGACUAAAUAAUGCUGAGGGACAAACUGAAAAGGGAUAAGGUUCGUAACCAAUACGAUUCUGACACAUAUGCAAUCACAACGUGAUAGAGAGAGAAAAAGAAAGGGACUUACCACCAAUAGGCCGGUUGCCUGAAGGUAACAUUCCAAACUCUGACGUUGGUAGAGUCAAGAAAACCCACCAACCUCGGCCUACACUCAUCGCCGGAGCAAGCCCCUGUCUGGUUCCAGCUCACCAUCACGUUUUUUCUUUCGUCGAACUUCACCACGAACUCCAAACCCUGCCCAUCCACCACCCCUCCACCUGUUAUCCCUACAUCCCUUGCAUUCUCUGCCAAUAUCACAUACCACCUAUCGAACUCUUUCGGGUAGUCUUCCAAUUUGGUCCCACCCAAGAUGGUGGAGCCUUUCGGGAUGUCCAAAAUCACGUUGGAUUUGAGGAAGAUGGUGGCCGUUAGGUAUGUGCCUGUUGGGAAGGUCACGUAGCAUGGUUUAGUGCGGCAGCUGUCGAUGGCCAACUGGAUGGCGGCUGUGUCGUAGUGUUUGCCGUCUCCGAUGGCUCCGAAGUCUCUGACGGAGAUGGUGGGAGUAUGUGAUUGGAUGACGAUGGGGAGGAGGAAUAGGAAAGUGAUCGCUGUUAGACGGGGAAUUGGAGCUGCUGCUGCUCCACCACCCAUUUCUUUUGUAUCUGGUCAACUGAUUAGGAAAAGGAAAUGGCCAGGCCAAGCCAAGCCAAGAAAUUGGCGUUUAGUAAAGCGGAAACUUGUUAUGAAGUAGUGUUCCUUCUUCUUAUCGACAGAGAAAUAUUAAAUACGAUACACAGCAAUCAUUGGGAAUUUGCGUAACAAACAAGAGCUCUGGGCCAUUGGAGAGUGGACCAUUAUGGCGUGAGUAAUCUACUACGUUUUUCUUUGGGGGGGGGGCUUUUCACUGGAUCGGUUUCAUUUUUCAGACUGCCUUGUUAUUGUCACCAUAAUUGAUUCAUGGGCGUGAAAUGUGUAAAUGCCAUCCUCGUCAUUCCGAUCAAAUACAACCAAACAGAAUUGGACAAAACAGGCGCCACUGAAACCCUUCUCAUAGUCCAUACACAAAUUCAGUCUGUCAAAGACUAAAGCAAAUAUAUAAUAUUGAACAAAAGAAACUAUCUUUCAUAAUAGUAACCAUAGUUCGUUCUAUGAUUUUACAAUAUGAAUCAAUCUACCCCGCAAAUGAAGUAUUAAUUGAAGGACUUUUGAGUUUAGUAUAUAUAGUAAUUAAUAUAUAUAUAAAAUAAUAGUAACAGCAUACUGAGACUUUCUUGUCUCUGGUCCUGAGAAAUCCCAAGGUUUCCAACCAACUCUGAGUAAAUAUAUGACAUGGAAACCAAGAGAUAAAUGAUAGGAGUCUCUCCUUUACUUCCUGCUAUUUUCUAAUAUUUGAUAUAUAUACAAUACUAGCUACAACUACAACAAUCUUUCCACAAGUCUAACCGUUGGAACUUCUUCAGACUUCAUAGCUCCAUUUUCAGUUUGAUUUGCAUGCAACGUUGCUGCACCAAAGUUGCAAUAGAUGUUAGUCUCAUUCUCUGUUUCAUUGGCAUGAGAUACAAAACCCAUGUAUGAAACGAAAUUGUAUGACUAAUAUCAAACUUGAUAAAAGUUUUAAGUAGCAAACAUCUGGAACUGGAAGCUGACGACAUCAUUUUCUCAUCAAUUCUUCAACAAAGAAAUGAAGUUCUCUGAAUGAAGUAAUUGUAGGAUAAGUUUUAAAACCUUGAGAAAUACAAUUAUUAGACAGCCUUCCCACCUAGCUUUUCCCUUGGUUUUAUCCAGCAAUGUAGUACAAUAAUAGCCAGUGCAGAUAACCACAGAGAUAACUAAAUCAUGACUCUUUAAACUUUUAACCUCAAAAAGUUCCUCCGACUCUCCAUAACUUGCUACACCGUUCUUUCUCAAAAAUUCUAUUCAAUUUAUUAAAGGGAAAUGUCAAAAUUCAAUGCAAUCUGCGAGGAAACUUGACAACAACCACCUUGUUGGUUGUCCAUUGACCAUUUGAAGAGAAUAGUUCAAGCUUUGCUACUGCUUGUUUAAGAUGAAACUUGAAAGUUAGAAGUGAUUCAAAAUGUUAGGUUGUGGUUUUGCAAAUUUACUAAUUAUGAUAAUUCAGAAAGCAACUAAACUCAUUCCUUAUCUACCUGAAUUUGCUGAGGAGUCAUAACUUAAAAGUGAGUUCUCUGGAGUGAUAUAAUUAUUGUAGACUUCUCUCCCCCAAACAGGCUGCUGAAGUGCAUCAAAUUGCCAUUGCUGCUGAUGCUGUUGUUUGUUGCCAUUGACUUGAACCUCAGGCCAUAUUAGAGGCAUAACCAUACUGGGGAAUUUAUUGUCCGGUAGAGAUCCACUCUACAAGUAUUAAACGAUGAUUACACCUGUUAGUGGAAAUUUUCAGGUAAUUAAAUCAAUAGCUAUUGUCUUGACUAAGAGAAACUUGAUGGUAGACCAUGUAAAUCGUGCAUCAUAUAUAUGCUCCUACCCAACAUAAUCAAUUAUAGAGCCAGUUUAUAUUACCAAUUUAUAUUACCAGAUUUCACCAAUUUAUAUGUACGCUUCGUUCUAUGGCUUCGUCUAAUUACCAAUUUAUAUAACCAGAUUUCACCACAAAAAGGUAAUAUAGAACCAGCAUUUCAGCAUUUUCCGUUCAAACCAUUCUGCUAACAGCAUUACAAAACAUUUGAAGACCCAUGAAUUUCAAUAUUUUCCAGCGACAAUGGGCCAUCAUGGCUGGCACUAUUCUGAUUUUCCAUCGAAAUCUACAUUACCAUCAGCUGACUGACAACCAUUUUUCCCAGUCACACAUUAACCAACGGUUGAAAGCAUAAAGAGCAGAUGACGAUGGUGGUCGUGACAUGAGCAACUGCCCUCCAAAUAUUGAUGAGAAGCAGUCCUUUAAAAUAUCAGCUAGGAAUCUGGUGGAAGAAGCCAUAGAACGAAGCAUACACCCACUUACGCUUUACCAAUCUAUAGUCUGAGUUCAUAAACAACAAUUCUAGAAUGAAUAUAAGAAAAUUUCAAGAAACCUCUGACAUUAAAGUCCUCUGGAGGAAUAUAGUCGUAGCUUAGCUCCCACCGAACCUAAAGAAGGCUGAAAACUUUGCAGAACUACCAGUCAAAUGAACUAGGAGAAUUACCAAAGGAGCUGAGCUUUCAACUCCAAAUGUUACACUAGGCAUAUAAGACAAGGUGCCAGAUACUUACUUCUGUUGUGAAUAUACUGUUGAGAUUGAAAUCAAUUCUCGGGUUCACAGCAGCAAGUCUCAUUGAUAAGAACUGCAACCAAAGAAACAUGAUACCAGAAUCAGACCACGGGAAUGGAAGAUAUUGCAAGUCUCAUUGAUAAGAACUGCAACACGAAAAUGAUGCUUGAGAUGAACAAUUCUCACCUCCACUUGAUUUUGUAGGGACUGCACAUGAUUGAUGAUUUCAUCCAACACCAAAGCUGUACCAGAAAUCUGCAGAACAGAUUACAAACUUGUUGAAUAUAUUUAAAUUUGUAGUCUUGUAAACAUUCUGUAAAGAAAUUCAAACUAAAAGCGCUUCAGACAACAUUCAACUUCUUAAACCUAAUGCCUUAAGAAACAAAAACAUUGCUGACAAAGCUCUUGAUAUUUGAUCCUCAUAGAAUAUUUUUAUAAUAAACAUACAAGAAGGGUGGACUACCAUUUGAACUUUAAUUUAUUGUUCUUAUUUGAAACUACCAGAAACAAUUUGUAUAGGCUACAAGGAUACUUUGUCUACAUGAAAGCAUUAAUUGAAAAUAAUGUCAGUGUUGUCAAAGGCACAAGGCACACUUACGUGCUAGAACCCACAUAUUGCUGGAAAGCAUGUCACAAAACAGACAUUUGUCUGAGUGAAGGUGCAAUAUGUGUAUAUAUUAUAUACCCACACCCAUAAUAAUACUAAACUCUAAACCGUAAAUUCAAUUUAACUAGCAAAACAUGCAAGAUUUUCUUUUCCUGUUCUUAGACAAUAUGCAUCAUUUCCUUAUAGUCUCACGUAUGGAAUCCAAUUUAUCUUACAAAAAUACAAAUUUUCCAUUUUUCUUUUAUUGGCCAAUAUGCAUGAUUUCCUUAGUAUCAUAUAUGUUGUUGAACACUCAAAUAUUGAGAAUAGCGAGUUCAAUAUUAUCCCAUUUCUUACUAGUAAAAGUACAAUUAAUUAAAAAUAACUUCUAGACUUUUAUUUUUGGGUGCUUAUUGCCUUACAGAAAAGUGGGCUUAGGCGCACAAGUGUGCACCUGAUCAAAAGUGCACGUUUGAUUUCUGGUGCUAAGGUGCACAGUUUAACAACACUGAUUGAGAUAUUGGAAAUAAAUGGCCUGAGUACCAGACUAAAGAGCAGGAAGUCAACUCAAACGGAAGCAGAUAAGUUUCCAGUUUAGUAUAGUAGAAUCCAACUAGAUUUUGAUUGUUUGAAAAUUAUGGCUUCAACUUUCGGAAUAACCAUGCAAGCUUAUCUUAGGCUGCGUACCAGGAACCAUUAAAAGACAUGAGAGAAUUGAAAAUUUCAUGACACACAGAUAGAUGGCUUAAUCAUGGCCUCAUACUAAAAUAAGUUCCAACCUGACUACCUCCAAAACAAAAAUCUAAAGCUAGAUGGAAUCCUGUAGUUCCAAUCUCCUGAAGAAUGUAAUGUGAAAGGCAUCAGACUGAAAGCAAUUAAAAUCAACAAUUUUUUUUCAACAAUUCCUAAACUCUUGUCCUUUAAAAUUUCAAGGAGAUCAUGACUUGUGGUCCAGGAAAAGAAGGUUAUUCACAGGUUUGCUUAUCUACUCUCUGCUGAAUUGUGGUCACUUCAUGAAGAAAAGGCACCAGAAAAAGACUCAGAUCUCCUGUUAUUUUGUUAAAAAGAUCUUAUGAAAUGUUAAGGAAUAAAUCAAGAUAAUGUCCUGAACAAUUAAAACUAAUUAGCCAAGAACUACCCCAUUAUGUCCACAUGUAGUUAGGCAGGAUAUUUGGCAUGUAAAAGGCAUUUUUUUUUGUCAUCCUUUUUCUACUUAUCCUGUACAGGACAGAUACCGAACCUAUAACAGAAGUUAGCAACCAUUCUAUAUCAAUGAAAUGGGACCCCAUAAAGACAUCUAAUCUAACAAGCCACUAGACAUGCCUACAGAGCUCUUCCUGGUAAUGUCAAGCUCAAGCAUUUGCGCAUGACCAAAACUAUACUUUCCAUAAAUGAUUCAAAGUCCAAAACACCAAGUAGAAUGAUCUUAGAAAAUCUAGCUUUCCGAUUUAUACUAACAUCGCUAAAAGGACAACAAAACCGGACUUGCUAUUAGAAAAAGGAUGAAAUGAACCCUUUUUUUAUUAAAAAAAAAAGAAAAAAGAAAAAGAAAAAGAAAGAAAAGAAAAGUGACUUUGAACAAACUCUCCCCGCAAAAGAAAAGUAGCUAAAACAUUAAAAUCACCAAACUGCCAUUAGGACAUCAAGAUCAUCACUUUUAUUGUUACGGAAGUAUUGUGCAAAAGGUGACAAAGACAACAUUUACUAACAAAAAAGAAUCUAAAGACCUUUCUUGUUGCCCGUUUAGACAGAUAAUCCUAGUUUGAUAAAAAAAAUAAGAAUCAAAUCAGUAACCAACCGAUUAAUCCAAUUGAAACUCACCUUAUUGCAACCAGGUACCAACUCCUGUAGUAGCUUCAUCCGUGCAUUAAUCUUCUCUCUCCUUGCCUAUAAUUCCCCGUAUUAAACACCAAAUUUAGCUUCAACAUAAAUUAGCAAAUACUAAUAAGAAAAUUAAUUAAGGAGUUAAUCGUGAUUUCAUAGGAUAUUAGUGAACUACUCUCUCUGCUAAGCUAUGGCUAUCCGUUGCUUCUCCCCGGCGAGCUCUAACGUGAACAUAGGGCAGCUUUUCAGGGCCAACUGAGCUAUCAUUCGCCGCAGUUUUGCUUUUCUUCGUUGAACCUUUAGCCUAAAAAAACCCUCAAAAACGAAUUAUUAAGCUGAUUAAUUAAAACUAUGCCGAAAAUGGAAAAUCCCAGAAACGCUAGUUCAAAAUUUUCUUUUGUGUAUGGUUUUCCACCUUCUUUUCGUGAUCCUUUCUCUUGAAAUUCCGCUUCUCCACCGCUGGAUCAGAAACCAACGGCUGAGAUGACUCGGUCUCCGCCGGCUCACUCUUCACUGCUUUCUCAAGAUUCAAGGUUGAAUUGUUCGACGUCGUUUCAGGCGCGUUGCUCUUGUUAUUGGUGUUGUUAACCCCUCCAGCAAACACAGAGGACCUCGCAGCUUGAUCAAUCAAAGUGGUAUUAGAAGGAAAAAGAAAGUUUCCUUUUAAAGCUUCAAAGCUGGGAGCCGGAGCAGCGAUAAGCUUAGCCGAAGCCGGAGAGUGAAGAAGCUCAAGCGCUCGUGAAGCCGGGAGUUCAAGAAGAGCCGUGAGAGAAGUCACAUUGUCAGAUGUCGGAGCCAAGAUUAAACGGUGAAAUUCGUCUGUAAAUUGUAGCGAUUCGAGUGCCGCAACUUGCUCCCCGUCCGACGCCGUUAUGUUGGAUCUGGUUUCCGUCGUCCCUGCCUUCGACUCCAUUAGAGGGCGGGGGGACUAGGCAAUUUGGGAAGUGUGAAAAAUACCCACGUUCAAAAUUGAGGAAAAUAAAAAGCAGUCACUUGGUAAGUUCAACCCAAAUUGCAGUGUUAACAGGUUAAAGAAGUGAAGCGAGAAAGUUGGGUUAGAUUUGUGGAGGGCGGUCAGCUCAAGCUUAGAAUUGGAGAGAGCGUUUGUCGCCCUGAAAAGUGCAGACACAUUAGGAAAUUUCUUUUAUAAAUUUUUAUUAUUUCUGCAGAGAGAGAAAGCGACGAGGAAAACGCACUAAACUUGUACAGUUGGUUGAGAUCAGGAGAAAACAAGUUCGCUGGGUUGGGUUAGAUUUUUGGGUCAGUUCGAGCUGCCAUAAGCUUCCAAUAUUUACAAGAUUGGGGCUGAAUUUGGAUUUCGGCUCAAUCCGGUUUCCCGAAUCGUUUUUAGUGUUUUUUAUCAUCAAGUAGUAGGGGAAUAAUUAUCUAGUUUGAAUUAGUUUGAAUCAGAUUUGAGGGUAUAUAAACUUCCUUUCUCAAAAAAAAAAAAUAAAAAAAUCAAUCAACCCUCUUCACCAAAAAUAUAUUCAAUUAAACUUUUAAACUUUUAAGUUGUAUCAAUUAAAUUUUUUGCAACAUUUUUCAUCUUUGACUACUGUAGCAUUAAGGUAACGUUUUGUGUCAGUAACAGUUGUUGAUGUGGCAGUGUCAAGUCAGCUGCCACCUUAGUAAAAAAAUAAAAAUUUUAAUUUUUUUAAAUUAAAAGGAAUAUUUUUUAUGUUUUACUUGAAUGAAUUUAAAUAAAUAAUUGUCCAAAUUCAUUCAUUUCAAAAUUUAUUUUUUUAAAAAGUUAAAAAUUAAUUUUUUAAAUUUUUUUAUAAAUAUGUAGACUUAAUUAUAGGUCGUGUUGAAUUAUACAGAAAUGAUAUCUCAAGAAUAUUGCUUUUAUUAUUUCUCAAAGACUACUAUCGUAUAGGAAGUACAUACAUCUUUAUAUAGUUGAAGCUAACCCUUUCAGUUACUAACUGCCACUUUAACUACUACUAACGGUCUUGACUAACUGACUAACCACCUUUAUUCAUUACUCUAACAUCGGGCUAAGCUAAUACAAAAUUUUAAUUAUGUUUUCUAGACCCAAAUUUGGUCCAAAAAUAGGUUUAAAAUUUUACCCAAACUCGUCCUAGAUAAAAAAUGUUAAACCUGAGCCCAGCUCGACCAGUAUUUAAAAUUUUUAUAUUAUUUUUAUAUAAAAACAAUUUUAUAAAUACAAUACAUGAAAUACAUUAAAAACAUUAAAAUAAUGUUUCUCAAUAAAUUAAAAAUACAUUAAGAAAUAUUUAUACUUAAAUAAAACUAAGAUAGUUAUAACUUAGCAAGCAAAUGCUUCUAAAACAGUAGUAAGGGUAAUAAUAAAAAAAGAGUUAUACAAUAUCCAAAUAAUAAUAACAAAAUAGUAACAAUAUAAUAGCAAAAAAAAAGAAAAAAAAAAGGCAAAUUUGAGCCAAGUUUGGGCCAAAAAAUAUUACCCAAUGUUUGGCUCUUUUAGAAAAUAGAUCUUAUUUUUUGUUUAAGCCCAUUUUUCAGACCUAUAUUUUUAUCCAAAUCCUAUCACUUUUCAAGCGAGCUUUCUAACUUGGAUGAGUAGCCCGAUCAAUAACCAUUUAGAUUCAUUGAAGACAAUUUUUCUAAAUUAUAUAAAAUUUUAAAAUAUUAAAAAAUAUAUAUUUUUAAAUAUGUAUCAAUUUUUAAAUUCUGAUACUUUUUUAGAUAUAUAAAAAAUAAAAAUUUAUUUUGGAAAAUAAAUAAAUUUAUUCUUCAAUAAGGAAAGGAAGGGGAAUUUAACACUUGCCAAGAAUUUUCGUUAUUGGACAACAAAUCCAUCAAUUAAAUAAAAUAAUAAGUGAACUUUACAUGUCAUUUUUCAUGAACUUGACUGUUCAUAUAUUAAUAAGAGAUGGACCAAAGCACAUGAUCAAGAUCAAUCUAAACAUGAGAUGGAUUUUUCAUGACCAUAUGUACUUAUAUAAAGAUUGAAAAAUAAAUUUAUAUAUAUUUUUUAUUUUUUAUAUUUCUUAAAAUGUAUCAAUAGAAUUUAUAUCAUAUUUUUAAAUAAAAUAACUUUUAAUAUUUUUAAAAUUUUAUAUAAUUUAGAAAAAUUAUCUUCUAUAUGUCCAUAUUCAUAGUGAAUGUGGACAACCAUAUCUCCUGUUUCAUUUUGAAUUUAACUUCUAAAUGGUUUUUAUUGUUUUGAAAAUUUUAGUUUUAUUUAAUAUUUUUAUAAAUUUAAAAAGAUUAAGUUUUGAAAUGAAUGAAUCUAUCCAAGUUGAUUCCAAUAAAACAUUAUAAAAAAAAUUUUCUUUUUAUUUUUUUAUGUAGCAAAUAACCUGACACUACCACAUUAACAACAAUAACAAUCAAAGAUAAUUUGAUCAAAAAGCUUACUUAAUUGAGUGCAUUUUAAAGGGAAAAACUUAAUUACCACUUUAGCAAUAAUAAAAAUUUAACAGUAAGGAACAGUUGACAUUAGUUGUUUUAUUUUUAAUAUAUUAAUAAUAUAUAAAAAAUAUUAACUUACGGUCAAGUGUACUGAUCCAAGCCAUGCGAAUUUGUCUAGGGUCUCUUUCGGAUUCCAACUCACCCCGGGUGAGAUAAAAAUUUAGCUAAUAAUUUUUUUCCAAUUCAAUUGUGAAAUUUAUAAUUUAUAAUUUUUGUUUUUUAUAUUUUAUGAUAAAAUCAGUAUGCCGGUACCUACAUCCUCCUUAUCGUUGUAAACCACAACAGUGUCAACAGAAGCUCAAUUGGCUCAAAGACGAAUAUUUUAAACUGAAAAUACCAAAAUGGAAUGAAAUUGAAGGUAACAACGCUGUAAAAAUUCAAGCCUAAGGUCCAAUCUAGAAAAUAAAAACAGAAGUCGAGGAAGGAAAUACAUGUGCCCAUGACAGCAAAAAUAUAAACGGAUCAUCAAUUAGUUCAAUAUGUUAAAAGGAACUUCAAGAAAAAAAGCAUACUUGAUUCAAUCAUUUCUUUAGGAAGAUAACACUCCUUUCACUUGAUUUUUCAAAACUUGGAAAAUUUAUCUAGGUAACCUCCCCUUUGCAUCAAUCAGCCCGAGUAAAAACCCAUUCAGUAAACUAAUCAAACUAUCAACUUUUGAAACAUCUACUCCAGUUAGCUAGGUUUCACUUUCAACACAGACUUACAAAUACCAACUACCACACUGCCAAGUAAUCAAAAUGCAUGCACAUCAACUUCAUCAUGUAAAGAGUUGAACGCAGUUAUCACUAGCCUGCAAAUUGGAGGUUAUUUUCAGCAUGCAUAACAUGCAUAGGGAAACAGAGAAAUCGAAUAGAAAUUUCAAGAAGGCAAAAAGAAUCUAAUUACGAAAGAAAACUAUAUAGACAGAAAGAAAUAUAAUUUCCAGGAUGUGUAUAUUCUAAGGCAGCAAACAACAGAACUACAGAAUCUUCACAUCAAUUAAAGAAAGAGCUAACUUGUCUCCAUUAUGAACAUGCAUGCAUCUCUUUGAACACCUCUGAAUGAAAGACACACCAGCAUUUUUAUCACUGCUUAAUUGUGACAUCCUCCUAGCUGUAGGGUACUGAAAGAAAUUACUUAAUUCCACUAGUUUACACUAGAAAAUACGAUAAUUCAGCUAGGAGAAAAUAUAAACAAAUGAAGCUUGCAUUACAUUUGAAUACUUCGCAGUUCUCACAAGAUACAUCAUGUAUAGCUAACAAAGACAGUUUGGGUCCAAAGACAUGUAACACCUAUUGAUGGAAAUUGAAUCUUUCAUACAUAUAGAAUUAUAAUCUAUUAAUGAAAAUAGAAUCUUUAAAUACAUUUAGAAAUAGAUUUGUUUGCAAGUAUGCCAUAACUUUACUAAUAACAUAUCCCUGGUGAGGGAGUUUCAGUUUUCGAAAAUGAAAUUCUUGAAUCUUAAACAGUCAAAAGUUGAAGAAAAAUAAAUCAAAUAUCACAAAUCUGAUACGCAAGUUAAUACUAAAAUUUGGACACAUUGGAAACUAUUUUGCAUAAUGCAACAGUAAACUAGCCAGGUUAUGCAUGCAUGCAAUAUUAGCAUGGAUAUAACUGUAAAUGCAGCAAUCUACUUCAACAAGAGAGAAAUGGUACAUGCAUGUGCUGAAUUAUGACAAGAGGACUAACCAAAAGGUUCCUAAAAUACUAGUAGAAAAGAGAGGUUCGAAUGUCUAAUUCUUCAAACUUCCAUGUGAAGAAAAAGAAUAUGCUUGCAGAAAGGAGUCUACACCCAACAAAGAGGGAAAAGCUAAAUUAGAAAGACUGAAUCAUGCAAUAAGUACAUGGCAGUGCAGAAAUAAUAGUGCUAAAUAUAGGAGUGAAUCAAAAACAAAAUAUUGCUUAAGUUCCGAAAUAACCUGAACAAAACUACAGUGAAGAGCAAUAAGUAAACGGCCAACUUGAUAAAACGAUAUUUCUUCUCAGUAUUAAGAUCUCUGAAAAUCUCAGUAACAUCAAGAAGAUGCUUCUGAUUCAAGUACCUGAAACAUCAAUUAUAAAUAAAACAUUAUGCAGUCACAAAUUGAAUGCAGAAAUUAGUUCAAAACGUAACUAUAUUAAAAGGAAAGUUAGUUGAUUCACUUGUCUACUUCAUUUUUCAAUCGAUUAUAAGGAUCCAUGAUACAAGCAUUGCCUAGAGUUAGCAUUUCAAAACAAAUCUUUUAACUUAAAAAGAUUUCUUGCUUGAAGAAUUUCCUUUAACACAACUAUACACAUCUGUCUCUCUGAAAUGGUGAUAGAAUCUUAUGAAUUCACAACUUUCUAAAUAUAAUACUAACAGUUUUGAAAGCACAGAUAACCACAGGGCAAAGAUCCAAGUCAAAGUCCAAAAUUAAAAUUUAAAACCAAGCUCCUAGCAAGAUUCAAAUCUUGUUCUCGUAUAUCUACAUCAUCAUCGGUCUCGACCUAUAAAGUCUAAAUUAUUUGACCUGAUUCAAACCUAACAGAGCAAAGAAGGGGGGGGAUGCCAUUGUAGAAUAAUCAGAGUAAACUUAAAUGCAUAGUUUAUUUAGGGAGGAAGGAAAGGAACUUACAACAUGAGAUGAUAAGCAGCAAUAGGAAGAGUGAAAAGAAACAUGAACCAAUGCCAGGUGAGCAGGAAAGAAAUGCAGAGAAAUCCUUGCAAAAGGAACUCCGGGAGAACAAUCGAAUUAAUCCGAGUCGAAGCUUCGAAAGGAUUCAGAUGAUCAGCCUCAAGAUCUGAUAAUGAUAACAACUGUGCCGAAACAAAAUUAGAGAAGAUCAAAAAACCAAAGAAAGAAAGAAAAGAGGAGAGAAGAGUAUGAUUACCUGAUAGAAGGAUGAAGCAAGAAGAGCAAUGUUGAUGAAGAAACAGACAACCCAGAAAAUUAAAUCCCAAGCCAUUUUCCCCCAACAAUUUUAAAGCUCUGAUUAGCAGCCUUUUAUUCUUCUUCUAUUUCCUUCAGAGAGAAAAAGAAAAAGAAAAACCCUUUGUUUUACAGGGUUUUUUACUUUAUUUGAACUGAGUGAAAGGGGAAUAAAUGGAUCAUGGAACACGGAAGGUCUUUUAUUUUCACUUUUCAGCGUAGGAGCGUGCCUCUCCUUUUUCGGCUUCCUCAAAAUGAGAUAAUAUUAUAAAUUGCAAAAUAGAUCAUUUUAAAAUUUUUAAAAUUUAUUAUAAGUUCACUAAUAUUAUCAAUUUUCUAUAUUAUAGCUGUUGACAAUGUAGGAUUUAAGAACGUAAAACUAAAUUGAGGCUAUUUUACCGAUCGAGAUCAAAAAAUUUUGAUAUUUAUAAAAAUGACUCAGGUUUAAAAAUAAUCACUAAAAUGACCUGAAAUAAAUAGUAAAAUAGGGAUUUAGGAACCCAAUAACCAGCACUAACUAGUGUUUUGGUCCCAUGAUUGUCUUAUUAUUGUGUCAAGCUUUAAAAAAUUAUUAUUUUUUACUUUGGGAACCCAAUGUCCAGCACCAGAGUUUUUUUUUAAAUCGUAUCAUACUAGUAUAUAAAAAUAUCAGUAUUUAAAAAAAAUUGGCCAACUGCGGACUUGACGUCAUCCCCACCUUCCUCUAGUAUAUCACUGGCAGUCCCUCGUGAGUGCGGCAUGCACCUUUUUGUUUGUUUCGGAGCCGUUUUGUUUUGGCGGGGCGUACUAAACCCACUACGUACCACACCACUGGGCGGCUCGCCUGAAUGCCGAGUCUUUCUCCGCCGCCAACUCGACGUCGUCGUCACCUGCAAGAUAAGGCCAAAAACUUGACUUUCUAAACAAGCGAGAAAAGAAAGCCCUUUCUAUGUUAUUAGUAAAGCGCGCUAGCAGACCUUUUUCGUGUCCUAAUGUAAAUUUUUUUACUUUGGUACACUAAUGGUCGGCACUAGAGAUGUAAAAAAAAAUAUUUAAGUGAAAUUUAAAGGACUACAUCCUAAAAGCCUACUAUUUGACCCAAUAAUUCAGAGCUAAAAAAAUAAAAUAAAAAACCCAAAUGAUUUUAAAUAAGAAAUUUUUUUAUUUAAGUGAAAUUAAAAAAUUUGUAAUGGAAUGAUAUUUAAAUUGAAAAAAAUUUAGAUAAAAUCUGAGAAAUUAUAAAUGACCCUGAUAUUAAGACUACUUAUAAUCAAGUAUGAAAAAAUAUAUGAAAUGAAUUGAAAAAAAAAUUAAAUUGAAAAAAGAUAACUUGAAUAUGAAUAUGAAUUGAAAUGAAAUGAUGAUUCUGAAAUGGAAUAAAAUUUUAAAUGAAAAUAAAUUAUAAAUUUAAAUGAAAAUAAAAACUGAAAUGAAAAAAAAAGUGAAAUGCUAAAUAAAUAAAUAAAUAAAAAUAGAAAACUUAAAUUUAAAUGAAAUAAAAUGUAAAUAAAAAUGAAAAAAAAAUUUGACAUGUUAAGGCCUCUGCCUGUGUUAGGCUUACAUUAUUGCCCAAUGUCAAAUUGACCUUUUAAUGGCCGACAAUAGUAUGUCAAUUUAGCAUUAGGCAAUGAUGCAAGCCGGACUCAAGCACAAGCUCUGACAUGUCAAGCUUUUUUUAUUUUUUUCAUUUCUAUUUGAAUUUCAAAUUUUAUUUAUAUUUCAUUUCAUUUAAAUUUAAAUUUUCUAUUUUUAUUUAUUUUUUUAUUUAUCAUUUCAACUUUUUUCAUUUAAAUUUAUAAUUUAUUUUCAUUUAAACUUUUAUUUCAUUUCAUAAUCAUCAUUUCAUUUCAUUUCAUAUUCAUUACAAAUUACAUUUCAUUUCAUAUUCAUAUUCAAGUUAUCUUUUUUUAAUUCAAAUUUUUUUCAAUUCAUUUCAUUUUUUUCAUAUCUGAUUAUAAUUAGUCUCAAUAUUAGGGUUAUUUAUAAUUUCUCAUAUUUUAUUUAAUUUUUUUCAAUUUAAAUAUCAUUCCAUUACAAAAUUUUAAAUUUUACUUGAAUAAAAAAAUUUCUUAUUUCAAAAAUUUCUUAUUUCAAUUUUUUUGGGUUUUUCUUUUAUUUUGUGGGCCUGAAAUAUUGGGUUAAUUACUAGGGAGUAGGCCUUUAGGAUGUAGGCCUUUAAAUUUCACUAAAAUAAUUUUUUUUACAUCUUUGGUGUCGGCUAUUAGUGUACCAAAGUUAAAAAAAUUAAUUUUUUAAAGUCUAACACUAUAAUCAUCCAAUCAUGGGACUAAAACACUGGGUAGUGCCGGUUAUUGGAUUCUCAAAACCCUAUUUUACUGUUCAUUUUAAGUUAUUUUAGUGAUUAUUUUUAAACCUGAGUUAUUUUUAUAAAUAUUAAAAAAUUUUGAAUUAAAUUAAUAAAAUAGCCCUAAAUUGAUAUGGUACGUUAAUCAUUUCUCCCUUUCGUAACAUUAGCUAGUACCGACGCUAACAAUGUCUCUAGUGGUCUUUUCCAGUCGUAACAUCCAAAAUGCAUAAAUAAACUAUAGAGUAUCCAUAUAAAUUAUGAGCAAAAGAUUAAUCGAGAUUUAGAAUAAACAACCACUUUUUAUCUACACGUCAAUAAAAUCCAUGCUUCAAAUCCAGUUGAAUAAAUGUAAAACAAAAACUACAUCACAACUCCCUAAAUAUAAUGGAGUUUUCAUCUUCAUGCUUGAUCCUCACAAGGUUGGAUUCACAAUUUCUAGUUAAGCUUCGUUCAGCUUACAUCAUAAUUAGAUAUCUCCAUGGACUGGGUUGAGCUAAGUUUGAGUUUGACAUUAUUAAAAUUUUAAGCCUAUUUGCUAGGCUCGAGCUUAGCUUUAUUGCUUGAAUUAAUUUUUUAUAUAUAAUUUUUUUAAAAUAUAUAUAAUACAUCAAAAAUAUUAAAAAUAUUAAAAUAAAUGCUUCCUAACAAAUUGAAAAUAAAUUUAAAAAAUAUUUAUACUUAAAUAACACUCAAGACAGGUGUAACUUAACAAACAAAUCACUCUAAAAUAGUAACAAAAUUAAUAAUAAAAUAAGAGUUAUACAAUAUCCAAGCAAUAACAACAAAAUAGUAAUAAUAUAAUAGUGAAAUUGUAGCAAAACAGUGAGAAAACAAAAAAAAUAGUAACAAAACAACAACAACAACAAAAUAAUAAAAUAGCAUUUUUUUUUGCUAGUUCGAGCUGGGCUGGGUUUAGGGCCAAAAAAGCCUUAAACAGACUCGUUUCAUUUGUUUUUUUGCUUAACCUAUUUUUCGUGCCUAUAUUUUUACUAAAAAACUCUUACUUUUCGGACAUGCCUUCAGACUAAGCCGGGUGGUCUAGCCAUAAAUAGGUCUAAUCAUAACUAACUUAAUUUUUCAAAUUUUUAUUCAUAAUUAACUUAAGUGACAAAUAAGUUAAUGAAUAAACUAGAGCAGAGUGUAAUGAGAUGUUAACUUAACCAAAAUAAUAGAAAAAUUAGUGUAUAUCAAGAUGUUAAGUUCGAGAAAUGAGGAAGUUGAAAUUUAGAGGCAUAAGAAAAACAUUAUUACAAUUUCUUUACGUAUUUUGAAGAAGAACAAGAGACCACGACAUUAAUGCAAGACCUGAUCCCUCCAUCUUCAUCUUCUCCUAUCCAUGUUGGAGAAAGCUCGAGUGAAAGACCUUGAAAAAUGAGAAGUGUCUAUGAUUUAUUUGUAUUGCUACUAAAGCUAUUAAUGAUUUGUUUUGCCUUUUGUAGAUAGUGAACUAUGACAGACAAAAGAUGAAAUUUACCCAUGGAUGAAAAAAUCAAAUCAAUUCAGAAAAACACCACCUAGAAGUAAUCAGUACUUCAAAAAAGGGCAUUAAACUAUUGGAGUUAAAAGUGAAAAACAUCACUUAAAAAUUUAAAAUAAUAAAAUUUAACUUAAUGAAUUUAAUUAUUAAUAUUAUUGGAUUUGAAACUUCAAGAAUUUUAAAGUAAAAACAUUAAAAUUGACUAAAUUAAAGUAUAAUGACUAAAUUUAUAAUUUAUGAAAAUACAUCGACUAUUAAACAAUUAAUAAAAGAUUAAAAUAUACCAUAUGUUCUUGUACUCUUCGUAAAUUUAUAAUUUAGCCAUUGUACUUUUAUUUCUAAGAAUUUAGUCAUUCUACUUUUUAGAUUUUAAAAUUCAGGUCCAACAGUUAAUUCUAUUAAAAUUAUUUUGUUUAAUUUAAGUUUAUUAAUGUUUUUUUCUAGUUACAUUGCUGCCAAACGAUUUUUUUUUAAUUUUAAAAUGUCACACCAAUAAAUUAAAAAAAGAAUUAACAAUGUUAACAAUUGACCUUAAAUUUUAAUAUCUAAAAAGUAGAGGGACUAAAUUUCUGAAAAUAAAAGUACAGGGACUAAAUUAUAAAAUUUUAGAGUAUAGGGACCUAUGACAUAUUUUAACCCUCAUAAAACUUCAUGCUGUUUCUAUUCAAAAUAAGCAGCGAAAGCGUUAAGGAACGAUGCCGUGCAGAUGACUCAGGUUUGGACCAUGAUGAAAACGGUUGUUCCAGAAGUAAAAACAGUACACUGUUUUCUAUGUAAGAACACAAAGAGAGAAAGAGGAGAGGGAGCAAGAAGCUAACAUCUCCGAUACGCCUAAAAGGGAUAAUGAAUUAUUAGAACAAGUUUUAGAAAGAGGGGAAACUAAAAUCCAUUGCUUGUCCUCUCAACUGAACCUUUUUGGUGUGAUUUCCUGGUAAUUCUUUCUUUCCUGAUGAUUCUUUUCUAUUUCCAUAAUCCAACCCUUUAACCCUUUCUUUUCAUCUACUCUUAUGAUCCUUCCCUUUUUCGCCCCCUAUUUUCUUCCAUUUCCUUUCCUUUUCUUAAACUAUCAUUUUCCAUUUUCUCAUCCCAUCAGGUUUGCUUUCUCCUUUUCUCUUUUCAUAUUCAUCUCUCUCUCUCUCUCUCUCUCUCUCUCUCUCUCUCUCUCUAUCUUUUUCAGAAUUUUUCUUCGUUUUUUUAUUAUUAGGGCACUUUUUAUUUAUUUAAUUUUGUCUCCCUGUUUUUUUUUUGAACAUUUAUGCUCUUUGUUGUUGUUACAAUUAACUUUAUGAGUUUUAACAUUGGCCUUAUAGUUAUAGCAUUGGAUAAGAGGGUUCUAAUUUCCAAAACAGAUGGGUUAGUUGGUUUGGUGAUGAACUGAUGAUAUGACUGCUUUUGUAUCUGCAAUACAGAAUCAGCAUUAGUAAUAAUAAUAGAAUCAUAAGGGUCUAGUUUCUUGUUGUUUCUAUAAGAUGCUAUAGAGUAUUGCUUUAAGUAAGAAACCGAUUAGUAUAUGAAUAUGGCAAAAGGAUGAGUAGUAUUCAGAAGUGGUUCCAAAGUUUUUAGGGAUUCGAUAAAAAAUGGCAUGAUCAUUCUAAUGUUUUCCUAAUUGCUUCAGAUCUUAACUUUUUCUAAGUAAUCUUUUUUUUUUUGUGUGUGUGUGUGGGGGGGGGGGAAUUUUCUUUAUUCAAUUUUUCAUGGAAUUGAAUGGUGCAAAAUGAAUCUUCAGUUGACAAACAAUGAACCUAAUCUGAUUUUUGGCCAGGGUUCUCAGGUUGACAUGAAAUUUAAAGCUAACCUUGUUCAGAGUUUCAAUUUGAGAAUUGAACAUUCCUAAUUCAGCAGUCAACCUAGUUUGUUCUUUGGCUUGGGCUGAUCAGGUUGUCAUGAAAAAUAUGGCCGAUUAUGAGGUCAGGAAUCAACAAUUGAGCUAACCUAAAUCUGAGACUUAUUAUUUUAUUCAAGAGAAUUUUUUUUGUCUGUAUGUAAUAAGAUAACUCUUAUACGGACUUUAUGUGUUUCAUCAUAAGAAUAUAUGUUCUUGUGAUAUGUUAAGUACGAGGUGGGAAACAUUAGCAUUUGGGACCCCAUUUGGAGUAGACAUGCAUUAUGCUAUUGCCUUUCUCACCAUAGGUCCAAUUCUGAGAAACUGUUUUUCAUAAAGUAAUGGGUAUCAAUGAUACUAUUUACCAUUGAAAAAACCAUUUUGCCCAACUGCAAAGUAUAAAAUUUUCAAGUCAAGGUACUGAAAUGUAGUAUUUAACCUACUUAUACUCAUGCAUGAUGUUUUGAGUAUGGUUAUUCCAUAAUUUGGCUGAUACUUGCGUAUAAUCUCUAUAAAUUGAAUUAUACACAAUGGGGAAAAAAUGCAACUUGAUUUUUUCAAAUUGAUGAUUGUUUUUUAAGUCGACUAAUUGUUUGAUUACAUAAAUUUGACAUUUAUUCCUUUGGGUUAUUGUGCAUUAAGCUCUCUGUACUGUGCUUGUGUAUCAGGUUUCGCCAACAUGAUGGUUUGUUCUCCCAUCAGCACAUGUGUUAAGAAUGUUGUCCACUUGAGGGGACGGAUGAGCAGCAGUCUCCGCGGCAUCAUUUCCUGCGGAUCAUCCAGUUCCUGCUGCUAUUGUUUAUACUCUGGAACCAAGGUGAAAUAUACUGGUCUUUCUGUAUCCAAUACAACGUCUUUUGGCUGCCAAGACUUCCAAGCAAGCUGCUUCCGCUCAUCUAGGCGAAGUGGCAAAUUCCAGACUCUAGCAAUUAACGAAUCAAUUAGUAAUAAAGAAAAACUGAAAAGACAGCUUGAAAUUUCUUGGGCCGGUCAAAGUAUGAAAAUGAGGCUUUUGCUGCCCAAACAUGGAACAUUUCAAAAAUUCAAAUGCAUCGGAGGAUCUCAAUCCUGGCCUCCAGGUUCUGUAUCUGCUGGCUUAGCUUUUGGUUUGUUAAUUUGUUAUUCGAGUUCUGAACCAGUACAUGCAGAAGCUGGUGGGGCAAAGCAGGGAAAGGAAGAUGAGCAUGAUCCUUCUCAUGCUCAAUUCUCUCAUGGGAAAAAGGUCUAUACCGAUUAUUCUGUUAUUGGUGAGUGGCAGAUUAUACCCUAGUCCUUAUGCAGCCUGGUCAGAAAGUACUUGCUCACAGUUAUCAAAUUUCAACUGGAGGUAUCAGUUUAAUCACUUCCCUAAGUCUUAAAUCAUGCAGGAAUACCUGGAGAUGGAAGAUGUAUGUUUCGCUCUGUGGCUCAUGGAGCUUGUUUAAGAUCUGGGAAAUCAGCUCCAAGUGAGCAAGUUCAGAGAGAGCUGGCAGAUGACUUAAGAGCUAAAGUACAUUCUUAAUCUCUGCUUCCAUAAACUCUUUUCUUUGGUGUUGUUUUUAUUAAAAAGGCAUCUUUCCUUCUGAUUGGUUUCUUGAUUAUAUACUAUGCAUAUCCCUUCUUAUAACUUGCGAUUGCUAAGUUUGCAGAUUUUCCUGACCUUCUUAUAAAAUAUUUUACUGAAUCAAAUUUGAUGCUGGUUUGUUUGAUAUAUGGAUAUUCUGUUAGAUUCCUGAUCUUUUUAAGCCGACAAUUUCGUUUGAUGCAUAAUCUAGUGUUACCUUCUCUGCAAUAUGUAAUUUUUCAGGUUGCAGAUGAAUUCAUCAAACGAAGAAAAGAAACGGAAUGGUAAGCCUGUUUGGUUUUGUCAGCUUUUAGACUCAUUUCUUUGUCACUUUUUCUGGCUGCUAUUUUUUUGCCAGAAGAAACUUCCAAAGUUCCACCUAUUGUUAAAUUCUAUGAAAGGAAAGAAAGACUUCGAUGAGAGGAGUCAUGUAGGCAAUUCUUUAUCUACAUGAAAACAAAAAUACUUUGUCAUUCACCUUGGGCAAAAAAACAUACGACAUUCACCUUUCUAAAGAAGACAUUGCAUGAUUUGGGUUAAAAAACAUUUCUUUUAAACAUGUAUCUGAUUAAUAAUGCCAACAGGUUUGUUGAAGGAGAUUUCGAUACCUAUGUUUCACAUAUAAGGAAGCCACAUGUGUGGGGAGGUGAACCUGAACUGUUCAUGUCUUCACAUGUUCUCCAGUAAGUCUUUGUUUUGUGUAUUUUAUUGAGCAUGGCUUCUUUCCCUCUUUCCUUUUAUAAAUCAAAUAAUGUAUAAAUGUACUGUUAACUUGAUGAUGGCAUCUGGCAGGAUGCCGAUCACGGUCUACAUGUAUGACAGGGAUGCCGGUGGCUUGAUUGCCAUUGCUGAGUAUGGCCUAGAAUAUGGUACUGAAAAUCCAAUCAGAGUUCUCUACCAUGGUUUUGGUCAUUAUGAUGCGCUGCAGAUGCCUGGAAGUAAACCAGGUAAAUCAAAGCUUUAGCUUUCAGAUUCUGACUGCUAAUAAGUAUUACCAUUGAAUUUCUAGGGCAUAUAACGUGUAACUAUUUGUAUGCAAAUUAAAGAUUAUUCAUGAUUUUUUUAUUGACGUAAUAAAUUACUUUUUCAUUUGACCUUGUACAUGAUGUGAGCAGAAAACUCGUUUAAUACACACAUUAUAUUCAUGUUAUCACGAAAAGAGAUGUAAAAUGACAUUUAUGUAGGGAUAGUGAGGUGAGAAAUAGUGGACAGUUUGUGGGAUAUUUUGUUUGUUUGGUUUUGGUUUUGUGAUUGAUGGGUAAAAUGCGAUUAUAGUACAUCUCGUGGGGUUAAAAAUGACUAUAAGAAAAUCAAAUUAGGUGACUCAGCAGCAGUUGGGAGUCGAUCUCUAUUUGAAGAUGUAAAUGGGCGUAGGAUGAGAUUGAAAAUAGCGAUAUUGAUCUUACUUAUUGUAAUGAUAUUGGAUAAUUUAGUUAUUAUAUUAAAAUUAGUGGUGAGAUUGAAAAUGAAAAUUUAUUUUUAAAGUCUGUAUUAAUUAACAGUAUUUAACAUUUAAAAUUUUAGCUAAUCGCAUCUUUUAUAUUCAUUAUACUAUAUUAAAUGAUCAAAUUUUAAAAAUUUCAAAGCUAAAGUAAAAGUAAUUAUUAUCUUAAAACAAAAGAUGAGAGAAAUAAAGGAAAUAAAUCCUUACAUUUGGAGAAAAUUGGAGUGUGAUGGAACUACGGCAUGGAUGCAUCCACGAUGUAGUUGGGUCAAGAAUAGAUGUUUUUAAAAAUAAGAAAUUUUUAUAAUAAAUCUAUGACAAAGUGUUUGAAUUUUCUAUUUAUUAGAAUUAUAGUCUAAUAUCUUCUUGAAUUCUCGGAUGCUCAUGAGAAUGGGUUUUAACUCCAUAAAACUAAACAUAGUGUAUACAUCCAGAUUUCUUACCUAUCUUCAAAUUGAAAAUUCAACUUCUAAAUUAUAAUUCGCGCAAAUUUUGACAGUUUUUUCUACUAAAUUGAUGCAUAUUUUUUUGAGAUAAAUUUUAAAACUAUACAUGAAUUAUAAUUUAAUGUAUAAUUGUACAUAUAAAUUUUAGUUUAAUGUAAUUAUACACGUGAAAUUUUAAUUGUGGUUCAAGUUUAUAUUUAAAACUUUAAUUUUAAUUUAAUUAUACAUAUUUAAAGAAAUAAAUACAUCAAUAACUGAAAUUAACAAUUAUAUAAUAUAUAUUAUUUAUUUUGAUUAAUUACUCAAUUUCAAGCUGAAUUAAUCGAUAGUUAAAAAUUUUAAAAAUCAUUAAUUAAUCUUCAAUUAAAUUAAAUUUAAUCACCGAUUGAUUAAUAGAAUUUAAUUAAAUUUAAACUUAACUAUGAACCCACUUACUUCUUAUAAUGCUGAGUAAGGUAUUUUUAAAAAAUUACUUUUCACUCUUUUCAGAACUAAAAGAAGAAACAUUAAAAACUAUAUUUAUAGUAACUUCAAAAAAGAAAUGGAGAAGCAGGUGAAGUAGAAAAAAAAAAACAAAAUAGGUUGGAGACAGUACGAAAAAGAAAUAAUAAUAAAAGAAAAAAGGGUGGGAGAUGAGAUGAAUGGAAAGGAGGCGGUAGAUUAAGUGAUGUCACGGGUGACGUGAGUGGAGGCGUAAUCACGGACCCAAUAAGUUUCAAUUUUCGUGUGGUUUCCGCCUUAUCCCCGUGGUUUCUGUUCCACUAUUCAUUCCCCUUCUUCUCUUUCUUUAUUAAUUUCAUUUAAUCAUAAAGGUUAAUUGAGUCACAGAUUCAUAGUAGGGUUGACAUUCAUUUUUUAUUACUCUUAACAUCAAUUAUUAUUCUGAGUAAGAAUUUAAGCUUAUUUGAGUAGAAUAUACAUGUUUCCAGAUUUACUCCCUAAAACGGAUGUCACUAUUUCUCUUUAUUUUCACAUCAUUCAAGUUUUUUAAAAUAUUUUAAUCUAACUGUAAUUAUUUUAAGUCAAAAUAAAUUCUUGCAAUUUUAAAAAAAUGAACUUUAAAGUGUAUUAAUACAAUAAUUACAUAAAUAUAAAUUAUAGUGAAUUAAUCGAUUGAAUUACAUAAAAUAAUGUCGUUUUUUCAAAAAUAUUUAUUGAAUUAAGUUGAUUUUUUUGUAAAAUGAUGGGAUCAAGUUAAAAUAACGUAAACGCUUCCCUCAACGAUCACCCCCUUAAAUAGCCAUAGAGGUGCUCAUGGGUCGGGCUGGGUCGGGUUUGGGCUCAACUAAAAUUUUAGGCCCAUCUACUAGGCCAUAGUUAGCUCGGCCCAAAAAAUGGGCCUAAAAUUUUAUCCAAACUCGACCCGGAUAAAAAUGUUGAAACCCUAGCCUGACCUGGCCCGCCUGUAUUAAUUUUUUAUAUUAUUUUUAUAUAAUUUUUAAAUAUAUAUAAUACAUCAAAAUAAAUAUUUCCCAGCAAAUUGAAAAUAAAUUUUAAAAAAUAUGUAGACUUAAAUAAUACUUAGAUAAAUACAGCUUAACAAGCAAAUGCCUCUAAAUUAAUAACAAAAUUAAUAAAUGCCUUUAAAAUAAUAACAAAAUUAACAAUAAAAUAGGUUUUAUUCAAUAUCCAAAGAAUAACAAUAAAAUAGUAGCAACAUAAUAGUAAAAUGGUAACAACAUAAGGAGAAAACAACAAGAAAAUAACGUUAAAAAAGAGAGAGUAGAUUUUCUUUAUCUUUUAGUGAAUUAGGGUCGAGCCAGGUCCAGGCCAAAAAUACCUUAUCCAAAGCCUGACUCAUUUUUUAAACGGGCCCUAUUUUUUUGCCCAAACCCUCUCACUUUUUGGGCAAGCCUUUGGGCCAAGCCGGGUGGCUCAACCCAUGAUCAGGUCUACGUGGGAACCAACAGCCCCCCAAACGAUCACUUUUUAUUUUCUAUAUAAACCUUCCCAUUUCUUUUUUUUUUCUAUUCAAUCUCAACUCUCUCACAUUCUCAAAUUUCUCUCAAUUCCCUCUUAAUUUUUCAAUCAAAUUUUAUUUCUCCGUCAACUCUUUUUUUUAUUAUUAAAAUUGUCUUAAGAUUUUCGUAAAUUAUUUUCUCUAUUACAAUUUAUUUCAUGUUUUUUGAAAUUAACAAUGACACAAUCUCUAAUUUGUUUAGAUGACAAGCAUAUUUCGAUCGAUUAAUUGCAAAUGGUAAGAAAUUUUUUUGUAUUUAAUGUAGUAUAAUUUAAAUAUUUUCUUAUUAUAUUAAAAUUUAAUAUUUUGUAUAUUUUUUUAUAUAUAUAGGUGAAAUAUCAAAUUUUAGAGACGUAUAUUUAUAAUUUACCCACUCUUCUAUCACACUUAAUAAAUCUUACUUGAGAAAUGUUAAAUUUGUGCAUGUGGCCUUUAUGGAUAAAGGGUGUAAACUUGACCCUACACUUGUAAGCACAAUGAAAACUUGAAACACAAAAUUUCAUUUUCCAUGUGAUGAAUGUAGUAUUACUACGAAGAACACGCACUUAGAGCUUAAAGAUUGAUUUUUUAAUAUAUCAACCAACUAAUUAUCAUAGUUUUACCCAAAAUAUUAGAGACAAUAUUGUUGUAGUACUGCAUAAGUAAUUACUCCCGUUAGCAACUCUAUUUUUGAUAACUACCUAAGUAUCAUGUCAAACAUUUAUACCGUAGAUUCUUUAAUAACUUUAAAUUCUUCGAAUACUAAUUUAAUUAAGAUAUUUAUACAUAUAUAUAUAUAUUAUCGUAACAGUAAUUUUUUAAAUAACAUUAAUAAAAAUUCAUAUAUAUUGAUAUUUCAACUUAUGACUCUAAUCUCUAUAAAAAUUUUAAAACUUCAAUCAAAAUUUUAUAAAAAAAUUAAUAAUCUUACUUAAAAUAACCUUUUUACCUUAUUAUGAAUUUGAAAAUCUAAUAAUAUAUUAUUUGAAAAGUAUGAUAAGAGAGGCUAACUUAUCAAUAUAUGGUGGAAAAAAAAUUAAAAAUAUGUUUUUUAAAAUUUAUUGAUUUACCUUGUUUGCUUGAGAAAAAAAAAACACGCCCUACAAAUUAAUUUUUUUGAUUAAAUGGUUAAAUAUUAGUAAUUUUUUAUUAAAUCCUAAGUUUGAUUCAUUUCCUACUAGCAUUUGUAUUUUUUAUUAAAACAUGUUGUUUUAAGUUUUUUUUUUUAAAAUUAAAUUUUUUGACACAGUAAUUUUUUUGGUUAGAUAAUUAGAUAAUUGUAAUUUUAUGAUUGAGUCCUCAAGUAGAAAACUACUAACAUUUAACCCUCUAACUAUAAAAACUGAUGUGUUAAUUUUCAGGAAAAACCGUAUUGUAAACUACGUUUUUUAUUGAUGUAGUUGAACGCGUGCUUUGUAAGACAAUUUUUUUUCUCUCUAAAAAAAUAAUGUAAAUGGAUAAAUUAAAGAAACAUAUAUUGUUAAUUUCUUUUUCAGCUUAUGCUGAUAAAUUAGCCGACAAGAGAAAAUGAUACGUCACUGAAUUAUUUAAAGAAAACGUCAUCACACGGUUUUUAUUUUCCAAGACAAAACGGUGGGAAUUACAGUGAGAAUUGGUUGUAGGUUUAAAAAGUGCGUGUCUUAAUUUGGUUCUUUAAAAAAUUGCUGAUUUGGAAUAUAUCAUUGUACACUUUUUCAAACAACUAAUUAAUUAAAAUUAAACGUUUAAUUAAUCAUUCUAAAAAUAUUAUUUUUCAUCUUUUAAUUUUAAAAAUUAACUACUUACUUAAAAAGUUUAUUUUUUAUUUUUUUAAAAAUAAAACAUAAUAUAAAUCUCAAUUAAAAAAAAAUGUUAGAUUUGUAUGAUGAUGAUUAAAACUUUUAUUAAGCACUUAUUUAACACAAAUUCAAAUUAGAUUACUCUAUCUUCAUCUCUAAUAUUGUAUAAAAAAUUCAAUUAUAAUUUUUUUCAUUCACUUUUUUAUUUUAUUGCAAAAGUAUUUUCUUAUACUAAGAACUAUACUUAACAAUUUUUAAAUCUUAAUAUAAACAUAUAUUUUCAUUUUCAUUAGUUUUUAUUUAAAAAUAUUUUUUAGGAAUUUAUAAGUACAAUCACAAAUAUAUAUUUUUUUAAAAUAUUUAGAACUAGGAUUAAAUUAAUGUAAAAGAUAAUUGGAUUGAAAAUUUCAAUAUAUUUUGACUAAGAUAAAUAAAUUUGGGUAAUGCCUAUGGUAGAGAUUAAACACAAAAUAUAUUUGAGAGAGAAUUCAUGCAUAUAUUUACGGCAUGGUUACAGAAGUAGAUUAGAUUAAUUGAUUGAAUCAUUAUUUUUAAAAAUUGAAUCAAAUUAGUCAAUUAGACCAACAUCCGUCUAAUGUACUUGUCCAAAAUAAAGGGUUAGAUCAUUAACCUACAAAUUGGGUUAAGAACAUGUUGAACCAAUUUUCUAUAUUUUUAAUUUUUUUUAUAAUUUUUAAUAAUUUAUUAAACAAAAUUAAUUAAAUUAAAAAUCGAAAAUCUAACUCAUUUAACUACCUACCCGAUUUUAAAAACCUUAGGUUGGGUUGAAACGGGACGGUGGAAUUGGUGAUGUAUAACAAAAUAAUAUUCAUAACCUUUUUUUGAAAUGGUAGAAACCAAAAUUUGAGAAUUAAAAAAUGGAAUUUCAAAUAUUUUAACAAAAAAUUUGGAAUUUUAUCAUCUUCUCGUUCAUAUUUAUUUAGUACACCAAUAAUGUUCUUUUUUAAUUUCACAAGUAGAUUUAAAAAUUUAUUAUGUGUCCCAUUUUUUUUAUAUAGUUUAUCAUAUUCUCUAUAAAAUACUUGUCAUCACUUCGGCAGUUGUGAAGUCUAAAAACUUCAUUAAUAGUGUAUCAAAUAUUUUUUCUUUAUUAUUUGUUUUAAUUUUUAAAGUAAUUGAACUAGAUGAACUAAAAAUCAAAAGAUGAAUAACUUUGACUUCUUAGGUUAAAAUAAGUUAUAAGUCCUUAUACUUUUCAUAAAAUUAGAAUUUACUCAUUUUACUUUACGAAUUUUAAAAUUUAAGUCUAACUAUUAAUACUAUUAAAAUUAUUUUGUUAAAUUUAUAUUCAUUGCAAUGUUAUUUUUUUUAGUUAAAUUAUAACCAAGUGAGUAAUUUUUUAUUAUUUCAAAACGUUACACUAAUAAGUUCAAUGAUUUUAAGACUUGGAGGUGUAUUUUAAAAUUUAAAAAAUAAAAAAAUUAAAAUUUAAAAAAUAAAACAAAUGUUUUGAGUGCAAUUGAAAUGUUAGGCAGGUGCUGUAAUUGGAAGAAGAAGAGUAAUAUUUAUUGAUUUAGAAAAUAGAAAGGGCAUAGGUGUAAAAAAGGGAAGACAUGAAAUGAAGCCAUGGAUUACAUUGAUGACUCUCCCUCUCCUUGUACUUUUGCCCUUUGACAUUGACUGCUUUCAUUUCAACACAAAACCAAAGCAAAGCAGAUAACUAUCGCAGCCUUUCUUCCUUCUCAUUUGUUUCAGUGUUUCGCUUUUCUACUUUCAGCGCCCCCUUUCUUCCUUGCUUUUUUUGCCCUCAUACUCCAUAUCUCUCUCAUCGUCUUCUUCUUUCCCUUUUUCUCUGCCCACAAAAUCCCUUCUUUAACCAAAAAGUCCAUCUCUUUGUAUAACUUUCAAGUUCCACUUCUUCCCUGGAACACUCUUCUAUUUUCCUUUUUCUCCUUCCCUUGUCAACUUAUUAUCUUGGGCUUUGCUUCUUCUUCAAGAUCUUAUCCCACUCUGCUUACAAAUCAAGCUCAAAUUUUGCUUCCUACAAUUUUUAUGCUUAAAUUCCCCCUUCCACACUGACUUCUGCUACGUACAAUGCCUCUCUAGCUUAAAACUUCUCACACACAAGUAAAACAGGGGCAAAACUAGAGGAAGUUGGCGAUGGAUUCAAGUACCCCUCCAAGUUGUCAAAACCAAAACAGCCAACCCAAUUCGGAGUUGUUGCGUUUCCUUUCUGCUCCCAAUUCUCUUCUCGCUACUUUCAGCGAAAGCCUUGAUACCGGCCUUAGCAAAGGCGGUCCCCACUCCGACAGAUUGACAUACAGAUUCAUGAAUCCAAGCCAGGAUAAAUCUGGGACAGAGGCGACUAUUGACCACGCGAAUUCCCGGCGGACGUUUCCCGGAUUACCCCCUCAUUAUCCCAGACAAACCUCCUCUGCUAUGGAUACCUCAUAUCUCUUAUUGGGAAUGGAUCCACGUUGUGGGAAACCGGUUACGUCCAGCCUAUUGAGGCAAAGCAGCUCGCCCCCAGGGCUAUUUACCAACUUAUUUGUCCAAACUGGUAUUGUUCUUUGUCCCCAUUUAUGAUUGCCAACUUCUUUUCUUGAGGUUUUGAAUGCUUUGGAACAUUUUGAUUAGUUGUUACGGACCAGUCCCUCUAAAAAAAAAAGAAGAAGAUAUUUGUUUUUCUCUUAUCGUUCGACAUUGGAUAGCGACCUAUACCCUUUAAAGUUGACAUUUUGAUUGUGCUGAAUAGAUAUGGUGUUGGAUUAUAGAUCUAUCAAGCUGAUAAUCAUUAAACUUAUUGCAAAUUAAAAUAUACUGAAAAUGGCUUCAGGUGAAAUUGCAGGCUUGGGAAGCUAUACAAAUGGAGAGCUAAGUCCAUCUUCAAGUUCAAACAGAUUGAAGAAUCAGAUUAGCUUCUCAUCAAGACUACCUUCAUCCUUGGGCAUCUUGUCACAGAUUUCCGAAGUUGUCGAUGAUGCUAAACUCGAAACUGGAUGCCAAUACGGUUCUUGGAACGAUUCUGCAAACUUCCCAGAGAACUUUUCUGGCUCGAAAACGACACAAGAUAACGACCCCAACUUCUUUUCCGCCAACCAGGUAUGAUCGAAGUUGCUUAACUUCGAAUAUUGCUUUUCUAAAUUCCUCCGAUAAAUGAAGAUUAGAGCUGUCUUAAUCAAUUUUCGUUUAUGUGUGUUUCUUUAUCAAUAGAACAGUGCUAGUGGAAGUCGUCUUCAUGUAUUGUCUCACCAUUUGAGUCUGCCGAAGACAUCGAAUGAAACGCCUGCCAUGGAGAAGUUUCUAAGCUUUCAAGAUCCAGUCCCUUGUAAGAUUAGAGCUAAGCGUGGGUGCGCUACACAUCCUCGAAGCAUUGCCGAAAGGGUAAAGAAUACCUUCAUCUCAUACUAGUGUACAUGCAUGAACACAUCAUUGUAACUUUGAGUUGCAUUAGAGAGGAUCAUAAAGGGUAAAUUACUUCCAGGUGAGAAGAACCCGAAUUAGUGAACGAAUGCGAAAGCUACAAGAGCUUGUCCCAAACAUGGACAAGGUAUGGUUUCGUUUGUUUUUUUUCGCCUUAGCAGUUCUAGAUUUGGAAAUUGAUUGUUUUGGGGUUCCAUUUUAGCAGCAAACAAACACAGCAGACAUGUUAGAUUUGGCUGUGGACUACAUCAAGGACCUUCAGAAACAGUUCAAGGUAACUGAAAGAGAACCUCAAUUUCCAAUUCAACAUUUCUUUCUGGUGCUCUUUGCUUUUUUUUUCAUCCUACACUUGCAAUAAUAUUAUCUGUUUCUCAGACGCUAAACGACCGUCGUGCAAACUGCAAGUGCUUAAAUAUUCAGAAGCCGAUCCCUAAUCAAGUUUUAUGAUUUUACUUUGUUUUUCAGAUUUCUCUCUUUUGUUUAAAAAUUUUCCUUUUUGUGAUGUAAAAAGUUGGUUGCGUUUUCAUCACAGAAUUCUUAAUCGUGUAAGCUAAGAAAGCUUCCCACUUCAUGGCAGUAUCGGACUAAAGAGAAAAUUGUAUAGGACAGGUUUAUGCAUUGCAUUCCUCAUAUUACCAUUUCUCACACUACAAUCUCUUCUCAGUUUGUUCAUUUUUUUUGGUACUGCAUUUCUAUGUUAUAUAGAUUCAAGUAUUUAUCAAACAUGAAUGUAUUUUGUUUUUUUAUUAGGUAAACUAUACUCAACGUUAUUAAAUUAUUAAUAAGUUUAUAUUUUGAUCACUAUACUAUUAGUAAGUUUACGUUUUGAUCACUCAAUUUCAAAAAGUUACAAAAUGACCAUGAGCUAUUCGAAAAUUUUCAUUCAAGUCAGUGAACUAUUAAUGUUUUUUCUUUUGACUAACAAGCUCUAAAUGACGAACCAACGAUUGGUAUGAUGGACCAGUACUCAUUAGCAAGUAGAAUAACAUGCCUUAGAUCCAAGUUGAUUUGAUGAUCGGUGUCGGAGAUUGGAAAGAAAAGUUGUUUGAAUUUUGAUUCGUAAGUUCGUGACAUUCAAAGCUGUUUCAUAAAAUAAAUAAAAAAAAGAAUUGUAGAUGAGAACAAGUAGAAGAGCUUUCGAUCAGUGUAGGUAAUGUGAACAAAGAAAGUCGUACAACAACAAUUUUAAUAUUUCAACAACUCAAAUAAAAGCUUUGGAAUAUUUCAAUAAUAAUUGUAUUUAUUUAAAAUUAAGUGCUUAAACAUACUAAAUAGUUUAAUCAACAUAUUUAGAUGAAAAGUCAGGGGAGAGUAGACGUAGAGGGUUGCACUCUUGGUUAUAAUUUCUCAGGUGGUUAUGAUUUUGGUUAGUUGAAAAUAGCGGAAGUGUAGGUGGCUAACUUCUAUUUGUUUAUCAUCCCAUAUCGGGGAGAGUAAAUAAAGAUUUGGUCAUUCAACAAUCCUUAUCCACUUCCAUAUUAAUUAUUCAAAACCCACAUUACUGAAUCCAAAUUACUGACUAAAGAUGGCUUUUGGCAGCCUUUAUGAUUGUAUCAAAAAUUUUGGAAUAAGGAAACCUUCUCAAAUAAGUAUACUCUUAAUUUCUAAAAUAUGGAUUACCCACUCAACUUAAUUAUAGUCCCACACAUUCAAAUUGAAAUAAAAUUUAUUAAUAAAUUAUUGUUGCACAUCACAUGUAUAAUAACAAAAUCAGUUUAUAUAAUUUUAUAAAAUCAUAUUUAUUAUUUUCAUAUAAAAAUAUUAUUUUGAUAAAAAAUAAAAAAGAUCUUUUUAUCAUUAAUAACAUUAUGUAAUAUAAAAUUAAUAACAUUAUGUAAUACAAAGUUAAUCGUGGAAAUUAUGCCAAUUAAAUAUUACGAAAAUUUAAAGAUUAUGGAAAAUAUUAUUCAUUUGUAAUUGGGAAAUAAAUUGGACAAAUGUAUAUACAUAUUUUUAAGAAAAAUAUUCAUUUCUUAUAGUCUAAAGUUUUGUAAAUUAAAAUUAAUUGAACGUCCAAUGAUAGUUUUACUUUUAACUAAUUAUAUUUUAAAAUAUUAAGAUUUAAUAUAUAUUUUUUAAUAUAUUUAAAUUUCAUUUCAUAUACUUUUAAUUUAAAUAUUCUAACCUUUUGUAUUAGUUUUAAAAUAAUUGUAAAAAUUAUUUAAAUAUUCAUGAAUUUUGUUAUUAAAUAUUUUGAUAAAAAGAUCAUUAACAUUGUAUUAAUUUAAAUAUUUAAUAAAACUUUUUUAAUAUAUUUAAAUUAAGUCCUCUAAUUAUUUUUACCAUUUUAAGUUCAUGGAUAAAAUCUCAAACUUGAUUAGAGUAUAGGGACUAGCAUCAUAUUUUAACCAUUGUGUUGUUUGAGUUGAAUUCAUAAUUGGAAGGAUUUAAUUGAAUAUUAUUUUUAAUUAAAAACUUAAUUGAUUUUUACAUGAUUUUAUCAAGAGUUUUAUUUGUUUAUUUAAAUAUUUAAGCCAUAAAUAAAAGAAUAGCCAUAGGUAGAACGUUAGAAACUAAAAACCGUUGAUGGGGAAGUGAUCGUCUUUCUCCUUCACCUAUUAGCCCAAAAAAUAAAUAAAUAAAAGAAUAUUUACUGUUUCACUGAAUCCAAACUUUUUUUAUCUUCUUCUUCGUUAACUGGCUUCCUAUAACCCUAACCCUAACCCUAAUUACCGGUUCGAAUCUCCCAUUCUCCAUCAUCCCUUUUAGCCAUUCUCCACAUUUCAUACUGUGAUUAUAAUUAUGCCAUGCGAGGCUUCAUUUCUUGCAUAUUGUGCCAGAUCCACACGAAUAAUCUGAAUAUUUAUCAUUGUAUUUUAUGAUCGGGUUAAAUUCGUGGAUUUUGAGCGGCGGAUUCAUCUCAGUGGGCAUCUGAUUGGGUGGUGACGAUGUCAAACUUAUAUGGCGAUUAUAACCAAAGGAUUGAUUAUGUAUUCAAAGUGGUUUUGAUUGGGGAUUCAGCAGUUGGGAAAUCUCAGCUGCUUGCUCGUUUCGCCAGGAACGAAUUCAGUGUGGAUUCAAAAGCCACAAUUGGUGUUGAAUUCCAGACUAAAACCCUUGUAAUCGAUAACAAGACUGUUAAAUCGCAGAUUUGGGAUACUGCUGCCCAAGAAAGGUGCGAUUUUUUCCCCUGAAAUUUUCAGUUAGUUAUUUUACUUUAUUUUAUUGAAUUUGCAUAAUUGUUAUAAUUGAUGGAAAUAAAGAAUUGGAGUAGAAAGUGUCAAGGAACAGUUAUGUUACAUCCUUCUUUCUAUCCUUGGAAUAUUUGUAUUAGGCAGACCAAGUCUAAUUAUCUCAAGCUAGGAAAUUAGGGCACUAUCAUUAUUUCUAGCUAGGUAAUUAGGAAACUUAAUAUACAUUAGAAGGUGCAACUGGAUCAAUGUUUCAUUGGAUGGACCAAGAAUAAGAUAGGAAGACAAUGCCUUCAUACAUCCUGUAAUGAUAAUAUGGGAGAGUGGUGCCGGUGUUAAGGUUGUUUAAUGUGGAACUUGAGUCCUAUAAAUUCUAUUUCUGAUCCUAUCACUAUGCUGGAUUGAAAUGGUUAGUUGCAAUGUCAUAGAAGCUGAGCUACCUGGCCAACAACCACUUACCAGGUUUUUUUAUUGUUUGUGCUCUCUAGGAAUGCUUUUAGAUGGAAUUCAUUGGAAAAUUUUAGUCCUCUAAUGUAGAGUAAUUUUCUGCUGGUUAAGAUGCUAAUUUUUUAAAUGAGAAGUGAAAUGUAAUGAUCUUGGCUGCUGUUGUAUUGUUUCCUACUCUUAUAUGUUGCAAUGCCAACAUCAUACAUACUAGUAAAACAUCAAAGUUAGACUUCAGGAUUUUCAGACUUGAUGGAUUGUUUGUGUUAUGGUUUAUUCUUGGGCUGGAUUUGUCCAUAUAUCACUGCCCUGGGUUCUUAGCUUAUUGCUGCAUCAUUUUACUCAAUGGUGAACCCUCUGCAUAAUGGUUACUGUUUCUCGUAUUCUUUACCCUAACCCUUCAUAGUGAGAGAACACAAUUACAUAUAGAUAUAAGCAGGGGCAAAGCCAAGAUUAUUGCUAGGCUGGGGAAAUAGAUACGAAGAGCAAAGUUAAAAAUAUUGCUAGUUUGAAAUAUAUGCAUAUGUAUAUGCAUAUAUAAUGACUAAUUUGAUGGCUUGGUCCAAAUAGUUGUCUAAAUUUGGAUCGACAUGGAUUUUACUUUUAUUAUUAUUAUUGUAUACAACCCCUUUUUUCUUUUGUAAUAUGAAAUAAUUCUAUAUUGAUUUUUAUUAUUUUAGUUAGACUGGAUAUCUUUCUAACAUAAAAAAUUUACAUAUGCAACUAUGCUACGAUUAUUAAAAAUUGAUAUUUUAUUUUAUUUUAAGGAAUUUAUAUAUUGUUUGCUAGAUUAAUGUUAUAUGUGAUAUUUAAACUUAAUCUGUUCAUGCUAAGUUAUUUAUUUAUGGAUCAAGCCAUGCUUGAAUGACAAAAAAUUUAGCUUGUUCAAAACUCAAUCUAGGUUGUAAGACCUUUGAAACUUUUUUAUUUAAACUUUUAUUUUUUUAAUAUUUUAAAUCUAUUUUAUAAUAAAAUUAAAUAAAAUAUAUUUUAUAAGAUUUUCACAACAAUUUAUUUACUUUAAAUCUUUAUUUACAUAUAUAUCUAUGUCUAAACACACUUCAGCCUUGCAAUACGACAAAAACCUAUAUGCUUGGUAUUCUUCAAGGACCUUGAAAUAAUCCUUGAAUUGUGAUGAAACAUGAAUUUUCUGUUUGCAUCUAGAAAGUCUUAACUAAAAUGUGCAUGCAUCCUUUUUUUUCUAUUGCCUCAAGAUUACUUUUUCUUAUCCCGACUGAAAAGCCAUAGAGAAGUGUUGAAAUUUUAGAUGAAGCUGCUCAACAUUUUUGCCAGAUAUUUUGUUCCCUAUCGAGUUCAAUUACUGAAAGAUCAUUUUUGGUCACUUGUCUACUACUAUUGUAGCUCUCUGCUAUUUUUUUUUUGUAUGUGUUUUUGCACAAGCACAUGGAUGAGCCUAUCAUGUAUAAGUAUGCUUGUUUUUUCAUUACAUGGAUGCAUAUACCUUUACCUAUUUGCAUGCAUGUAUGCAUGUGUUUAUCUGAAUGUGCUAGUGCAUUCACGGACAUAUUUAGUUUAUUUUUGCGAUUUCUAGAGGAGCUCAAGCAUAUCAAGGGAUUUGUGUAUAUGAUUUUUAAGAGGACAGUGACUUGUUGUCUAGGGAGAUCCACAAGUUCUGCCAGAAUUAGAUUGAAUCUAUAAGAUAAACCCUGAUAUAGAUUCCUUUAUGUGGUAUGCAUAUUGGCAAAAUGGGUGUUAUUGGUCAUACACAUUGCAUCCAAUCUAAUCUUGAAAUGCUACUUAUUAGUGCAUUCACAUAAAUGAAAGGAAGAAAUUUGAUUUAUCAGUUUGUUAUGGUUGUUCAUCUUAAAUGUUGAUGAUGACAAUUACUUUGCUUUAAAAAAAAACUAGUCAUCCUGCUGUGGCAACAAGCAGAGAUUGCUAAUAUUUAUAUUUGACAGUCUUCGUGCAGGCUGCUUUGAUGUGAAACUAUAUAAAACCAAACCAUUCAUCAAUGUGGAACUAUAUAAAAUCAAACCAUCUUCUUUGGCAUACUAAGUGAUUUAGAUUUGGUCCUUAAUCAUUUUAACUCAGUGAUUAAGACCCCAAAGUAAACAUGGCAACGGCUGUUUCAUCAAGCUUUUGCUUUCCUUCAUAAUGUAUGAUGUGCGGCUGAAGUACCCUUGUUGCUUUAUGAAAUCAGGUACAGGGCUGUGACAAGUGCAUACUACCGAGGAGCAGUAGGAGCGAUGUUGGUUUAUGAUAUGACCAAGCGGCAAUCGUUUGACAACAUGGCAAGGUGGCUAGAGGAAUUGAGGGGACAUGCUGAUCAGAAUCUAGUGAUCAUGCUUGUGGGAAACAAGUGUGACUUGGGAAGCCUGAGAGCGGUAGCAACAGAAGAUGCACAAGAGUUUGCACAAAGAGAGAACCUGUUCUUCAUGGAGACAUCAGCACUAGAAUCUACCAAUGUUGAAACAGCUUUUUUUACGGUUCUAACAGAGAUAUAUCGAAUAAUCAGCAAGAAAACACUUACUGCUAAUGAUGAGUUAGAUCCUAAUGGCAAUGCAGCACUUCUUAAGGGAACCCGGAUUAUUGUUCCCAAUCAGGAGAUGCAAAAAGACAGUAGAGGUGGCUGCUGCGGAUAAUCCUAAUGUUAAUUUAGGUUCAGUUUUGUAAUUCAUCUAUCUACGCGCUUAAGGGGGCAAUUGCACCCACCCAAUUUUUUAAAAUUGAUUAAAUAUAUCUCUUAAUAAGAAUAUUACCCUUCCCACUCCAAAUGAACAAAAUUAGUAGUUUUAUUCCCACUUAAUUUACCAACAUCUAAAUUGUUGAGCAUAUAAAUAUUAUUUUACCUUUCAUUACACUAUCAAAACCCUAAAAUCUAUAGUGGAAAAGUACUAUCGUUCUUUCAAAAAUUUUGUGAAGAAUAAAGAUAUGAUAGCCUUUCAAAAAUUUAGUGCCAUGAACUUUGUUUUCUUCAAAAAAGACAAAAAAUCCAAUUUAAUAUAAACUGGUUAUCAUAUGCGAUUUUCUGUGUUUAUUUCUAAAUUUAUUAAAUAAUAUAUUUUAUAAAUUAAAAAAAUAUUUACUAAUUAGUUUAAUUUACAAUAAAAGUUCAAUGAAAAUAAAAUCUGAAUAGUAAAAUAUUAAGCAAUUAAAUAAAAUAAUUUAUUAUUUUAAUACGAGUCAAAAUUUCACAUUAAAAAAUCAAUACUUUAAUAUUCCAUUAAAAAAAUAUAUAUUCUUCUUUACAAUUUAAAAUAUACAAUUAAAUUUUAAAUUACAAUAUAGAAGCAAAAUAUUUUAGCAUAAGUCAUAUUCGAGGACAGCUUAUUUUUAAAAUGAUAAUAUAGUACUAAGUAAUUCAUAUUUAGAAUUAACGUAUAUAUAUAUUUUUAAAUAAUAAAAAUAUUAAUUGAUGUUUUAAAACAAUGUUGGUUUUUUUUUUUUGUACAAUCAAAAUAUCUUUUAUGUUUGUUUUACGGUUCAUGAAGAUUAAUUCCUUUAGGAGAUAUGUGGUUGCCCCUCUUAACAAUGUCAUCUUCAAGGUUUGGGCUUACAUUUUUCUGUGAGAGUAUAAUAUAUUUUACCACUAUACUUAGCACUUGUUGAUAAAAAUAAAUGGCAUUUAUAACUCAAAUCAGAAUAAAAAUUACAGAAAACAAUGUUGGUUUCUUAUUACUUUCUCAAUAUUAGUAUUGUUGAAAUGUUACGACAUUUAAUUGAUAUAUACAACCAAACAUGUACUUCGUACGGGGUAAAAAACUAGUUGUAUAUAUUUAUAAAUUAUAAUAUACCAUAAAAUUAGUUAUAUAUAAUAUCACGUAUCAUUAAUAAUCUACUUUAAUUACAUGUAUAUACUAAUUGUAUAUAUUAGGUUAUGUCACUCAUAAAAGAAUGCAUGUUAUAAUUUACAAUUCUAUAAUACUUAUUAUACAUUCAUAAUUUAUUUAUAUAUAACAAUUGAUAUGUUAUAUAUCCUUAAAUUUCAAUCUAUAUAUUUUUAUAAUAUACUAAAUAUAAUUAUGUCAAAUUAUAAAAUAAAAUAAAAUAAAAUUAUAUUAUUUAUUUUAAUUAUAUAAAUAUUAAUUAAAUUUAACUAAUUAAGUUGAUAAAAUAAUAAAAAAGGGUUGUGACAAAUUUAAGGAUUCUUAUAAUUUCAUCCCAUUGUCUAAUUAGGUUUACGGACGCAUAAGAAUAAGAUUUAAGAGAAAUUAUAUUAGACCUAUCCAUAGGUCAAGUAACCUAUUGACCCAAUAGGCUUGACCUUACUAGACUUGAGCUUGAAUAAUAUAUAUUUUUUUGUUCAAAUUCAAUUUAAAUAAUAAAAGUAUUUUUAAAUUUAAAUCUAAUUAUAAAUAUUAAUAUUUAAUAUAUUAAUAAUUUUUAAAUAGCUAAAAUGAGCUUUUUAGGCAAGUUGCAGGCUUAGCUUGAAAUUUUUUUUGGAAUCAAGAUGUGGCUAGACUUGACUCGGUCUAUGAAAGAUUUAAUUAUAUAAAAUUUAUUUAAAAUUAUUAUAUUUAAUAAUAAUAUUGCUUAUUAUGUUUUUCAUACAUUUAUGUAAAAUGGUUAAAUCAUAGCUAAGAGGUGAUAUAACUAAAUACGAAAAUCCGAAUCUGCUAUUGGCAUAAACAACCGGAUUUCAUAUAAUAAUAGAUAUCUAAGGGGUUUAUCGACAUUUACAGCCGCUAAUCAUUCUGAAUAUUUUGUCUCCAAUAUCCCCGGAUUUCCAAAUUGUCAUUGUUUAAUAUAAUUAAAAGAAUUUAUAAUGCAGGCUGUGGGGUUUGAACCCACGCGUGCUUAUGCACAGAAGAUCUUAAGUCUUCCCCCUUAACCUCUCGGGCAAACCUGCUGUUGGGAUACCUUUGUGCAUAAAGGUAUAUAAUGCUAACUAGAAAUCCUGCAAUUCAGCAUUACAACCCGUCUUGAGUUGGUGUCACGAGUUAUUCAAUCACCAACUCAGCUAAAAAAUACAAUAUUUUUAUAAAGUAAAUCAUAUUAUUUAGAAGUUACUUUUUUUUAUUCUUAUAUAAAAUUAAUAAAAAAAACACUAGAGAUUUAAACCUAAGAUAUCAUGAAUUUCAAGUAACAAUUUUUUUUAGUGCAUAGAAGAAUUGCAACAAUUUUACCUUAAAAAGAAAAUUUAGGUUUAAGGAUUCAAAAAAUCAUAUAAUUUUUCAAAAGAAAUAGUUAAGCCUUGACGAAAGUUUUGAACUCAAUCAAGCUAUCAAACUAAGAAAAUACAUCAAGUAAUUCUUUUGAUGGACAAAACUUUACAUUACCUAUUAAGUCCUCACAACCAUAAUGAUGUGUUUGCUAACGAUUGUUAAUUCAGUUUAUUGUAAUGAUGUGGCAUGUCACGUGUAUAAUGAUGCUGAUGUUGUACUGUUUUAUGUUAGAGGAGAAAUUCACUUAUUUCAAUGUAAAACUAAAAUGGUUUUAUACCAUUUCAUAACUUUUUAUAUGAUUAAUAUUUUAAUAAUUCAACCAUUAUAUUUCAUGCUCCAUUCAUGUAAAUUAUGCAUGUCAAGUUUGACGUAAUUUAAUAUUUGAACUAUUUUAUAUUAUAUAUCACGCCAGCAAAUAACUAAAAAAUAUUAAAAAUAUUAAAAAAUAUAAAACAAUAUAAUAUUUUUUUUAAAAAAUAAAAAAAAAUUAGUUCUAGGACCGUAAUGGGGAGAGCGUUUGUAUUCAAGAGUGACUGAUGCUGGGAUCUUGGUUGGAAGAGAUGGCAAACAAAGUUAGUGUCCAGGGAGGAAGAGAGACCGACAUUACCUAGGUGCGUGAUGUGGUCUAGGGGCCCUGAUGUGGUGGCGAUGAUGCCUUGUAGGUGCCCUCCAGACUCCUCUUAGCCUUCAAGGAAUGAAACUACGGAGUACGUUUAAGGAGAAGCUGUGGAGACUCUAGAGAUCGAUGUGUCGGGCACCAAAGGGGCUAAUUCUAGAACUUCAGAGCUUCAACUAACCUAUGCUAUACUACAAUCCAUUGUAACUAGGAAAUGACUAUCAUCAUAUCAAGCAUGGUUGUUAACAAAAAGAAGGAAACUAUUCUUUACACGGUAACAUCUUUUAUUCCAAUUGAUCUUGUCAAAUUAAUUUUUGAUGAGAUUGUCAAACACGUAGAGACCUAGAAAUAAAUGGCACAUGCUACUAUUUCUCUCACUCAACUAAAUCUUGUUGCAACGAAAGAAAGACUUAGUUCAGGAAUGAGAUGUCACUAUGCCACCAUAACCUGAGUUGAAGUAUUCACACAAGUGGAGCAGAGGGAAACAUGCAAUUGUUGACUCGAAUCUUGAUAUUGAGGACUAUGAAGCUAAUGAUCAGAACCAAGUGUGAGAUGUUGAACCAGUUGUAACUGGGUUUGCAACUACCAGAACAACUAAUGUUGAUUGGGCUAGACUAAUAGAGUAUCUAGAUGAAGAAGUGACUUGUGUUGAUAAAUAGUUGACCCGUUAAGCUCUUUAACAAGCAGAAGAGUUGAGAUUAUUCAAGUACAAUUCUAGGGUUUUCAUGUUAACUCUAGUUAAAGAAUUGCAAGCUUAUAGUGACUUUAAAGAAGGUUUGUUUACUUGAUUUUGUAUGAUUGAGAGAGAUCACUUAUCCAUUCAAUGUUAAAAACUUAAUUUUAGUGCGAUUACUUUAUAUAUAAAUUGUUUUUAUGUUCAGUUUGUAAUUAAGUUUUAAGACGAAAGUUUAAGUGGCGAGAGUCGUCUUAGUUGAUGUUUAGGAGUGAUGUUGUAAAUUGAUAAGUUAAACUUAAAUUAUAUAUUGUGCUAGUGAUUGAUAAUGGAUUAUUCUUUGGAUAGCGUUCCACAGACAUAAAAUCUUCCGAACUAGUAAUUAACUCUUGUGUCAAUCUCUCCGAACUAGUAAUGAACUCUCGUGUCAAUCUCUAUUUUGAUUCUUUUAAUUGUUGAUCCAUUUGGCACUUCACUGGCAACUAACAGGCAUUUUUCAACAUUUUACAAACCUAUAUAUUUCAGAGAAGCAAUGAUAGCUAAAAAUUGUGAUAAUUUCUUUAUGACUUAUGGAGGCUUUUACGCUCCUUAAAGAAAGAGAGAUCAAAUUUUGUUGAUUGAUAAACAAGGAAAAGGGUUAGACCAGUAUCAUCCUUGGUAAGUCACAGGUGAGUUGGGAAUUCUUUUUGACAUACAACUAUUGACAAACCAAGUCAAACUGGUUCCAAGUAAUAAUGAAGUUUUGAGAUUAAGGAGACGGAAGAAUAGGCUCGUUGGUAAUGUUAUCAAAGAUGAAUAGACAACAAUAAGCACAAACGUGCAGCAAGGGAGCAUGUAUCUGUUGGCUCUAGCAUUCAACAAGAAAACAAUACAUUUAAAGUGAACUACACCACCAGAUACUCAACUAAUCCCACUAAACUAUCUUGAAACUUGAAAACAUUAUUUGUACACCAAAAUAAAUCAACUAAACAUGUCAUUCUUUACCCAAACACAACAAGGCUUAACAACUAAGUUCAUUUUCAACAAAGUAACAUAAUAAAGGAACUAAACAAAAACCAAACCAGUGACGCAUGCAUUCGAGCUGAGUUUGCAUGCAUCAAGACAUUAGCUGCAUCUCGCCACCUGCGAAGUUAUCUCGCACUUUGCUAUUUCGUAGUUCACCACUUGACUGUGUCAUUUCAUAGUUCAUUUCGCAGUUUGUCACUUCACGAUUCAUUUCGCAGCUUAUCACCUUACGGUUCAUCAUGUGUUUGAGCUAUUGCAUGGUUGAGCAAUUUGUAACAUGACUUUAUGUUUCGAGUAUUAAUUUAUCCUUUUAUUGAAUUUAAAUUUUGUACUGUUUUUUGUUUCUGGUUAUAAUGGCUUAAUCUAUAAAAAGAAUUAAAAUGUUAACAUAGUAGAACCAAUGGUUUUAGCCGCUAGAGUCGGAUCCUGGGAAAUCCAACAAAUGAAUUACCAAAAGUGUUGGCAAUUUGAAGUUUGAACAAACCUGUAAGCCAAUCAUCGAAUUCUCCAUUCUAAAUAAUGUUGGCUUACUGGAAAUCCCAUGUCGUCCUAGCGAAGCAAUUAGACUCGAAGCAAAGUCAUAUUAGAAGCUUUAAUUAACAAAAAAAAGUACCAUUACAGUGGUAAAUCAUGUGCUUAAUUUUAUAUGAAUUUAGUCCAUGUGACUACAUGCAUAGAAUCGGUUGACAUUCAGUUAUAUUAAUUACUAGGUAGUAGUUUAUAAAAAAAAUUAAUGAAACCGAUGAUCCGAUAAAUGCAUGGGAUGCAAAAUUAUAAUUAUAGAGAUUAAUGUAUUAUUUUUACACACACAAAAAUACUCAUUUAAUCAAGCCAUAUGCUUAUGGUAGCUAAUAAAUAUAGCAUAAGCAGGACUUGAAUCAUCGUAUAUGUUUUUUUUAAUAAGAAGAAAAUAUGGUUUUCCCUUACAUUACCCACAGUAGUGCUGCCAUGGCGACAAGCAGCAAGUUCUUGCAUUGUAGAAACCCCUUGUUGGUUUCCGUCCUUUCAAUUAUCAUCGUUUAUUUGCUCAUAAAAAGGUGGGCAAAACCGAAAUCGUCCAUCCGGUACCCACCCGGCCCUCUGGCACUCCCGAUUAUCGGCCAUCUCUACCUCCUAAGCUCCUCCUUGCCCAAGUCUUUCCAAGCCCUAGCUCGGCUGUAUGGUCCCCUCAUGCGCAUUCAUAUAGCCCAAUCCAUCUUCAUAGUUGUUUCAGAUGCCGUCGUCGCCAAAGAGGUACUGAAAGUCCAUGACGCUGAGUUUGCUUCAAGGUUCGAGUUUGGUCCAGCCCAGUACAACAUAUACAAAGAUGCUGGUUUCAUCACUGGUCCUUAUGGCUCCUACUGGCGGUUUAUGAAAAAGCUUUGCAUGACAAGGCUCUUCACAGGACGACAGCUUGACCGUUUCAACCAUAUACGGGAAGAGGAGAUGGUGAAGCUGUUGAAAUCAUUGGUUAAGAAAUCCAGGGAAGGGAAGUGGUGUGAUUUAAGUGCGGAGUUAGCCAACUUAACCAACAACUUGAUAUUCAGGAUGACAAUGAACAAG